ACAUACUCAGUCAAUUGUAAUGGAUAAUCAUUGUCAUGGUUUAAAAAAAAAUACAAUCUUAAUGAAGCCACUCUGUGUUUGAUCUAUCGUUUUCAGGAACUCACAAACUAGGUAUACAAGUUUUCUAAAUAAAAAUUGAGAGUGGAUUAUUUUGUGACCUGAAACAGAGAGUAAAACAGUAUUGUAACUAACUAACUAACUAACCUGAAAUGCAGAAGAAGCAGUCCCAAAUAUAAAUCCAUGUGGAAAAUCAGCCCUGCUAAACUCCGCCGAUAGACAUAUCUGAAUCUCUACUGAUAAUAUUAUUAGAACAACAAUGCUUCUUCUCAACGCCAUUUAAUUUAAUUAUAGGUGUGUUGUGAAAUAGGACCUAUAAUUGAGGAGUGAGGAGUAUAUAUAUAUAUAGGAAUACGAAUGAAAUGGGAAACAACCGAAUAAGGGAGUGGGGAAUGGAAUAGAGUGUGAAUUGGGAGAGAGGAAUUAAUUGACGACAACGAAUUGAUGAAUGAAUAUAAUAAUUAAUUAAUUAAUGUAUGUAUGUAGCACUAAAAAUCAAAUCAAAACAAAAGAAACACGUUUGGGAAAGUGGCUUAGGUUGGUAGUAAACAUUUGCCUUCACAUUCACUCUUUUUUUAGAUAGAGAUAGAGAUAAUAUUGCACCGAUAAAUUAAAUACUGUGUUUGUCACCAAUCUUAGCGAGUUGCCUUCACAUUUGCCUUCCGAUUUCUUUUUUAUGUCUAUCUAUAAUCAACAUUCUAACUCAAGAAAUAUUGUAAGUACUUAUGUAAAUUGGUUAUAUAAAAGAAAAGAUUUUGAAAGAUAAUUCAAAUUAUAUUGUGAUAUAAGUCACUUGGCCCUCCGCACCACCCUCUAUCCAAAUCGACACAAUCCAGAUUGACGCAAAUAGUUUCAAAUUGUGCUGGUUUCGUUUAUGUUGGUAACAAUGUGUUGUUUUUAUGUCAGUGGUUGUGGUGGUGUUAGAUCUGUCCGGAUCCGCUUCACGGUGGCUCGUGGUGUGUGUUUCUACGAUAUGUUCUUCUUUCACCAAUUGCUGAUAAAACCUCAUUACCUAUCACUCAUGAAGCCGAUUUACAAUAAUUACGUAGCUUUGAUUCACGUUUGGGAAUACGUAGGACCAGUGAUCCUCCCUGUUGAGCUAAUCGCCGAUUAGGUCUCAGAACAUUAGUAAGAACAAAUAAUAUAAAAUAUUUAGGUUUAAAUGCAGUUUUGACCCCCAAGUUCUACAAUUGUGAAAUUUUGACCCUCAAGUUUCAAUUGCGCGAUUUUAACCCCUAUGUUUUACAAAAAUAUUCCUUUUCAAAAAAAAAAAAAUUUAAUCUUAAAGUUAAUGUAUUCAAUACUUUAAUUUUUUUUUAAUUUUUUUUUUCUAUUUUCUAUUUAUAAUUUUGAUAUUGUUUUGGGACAAUACAUUAAUUUUGAUUUCUAUUUUCUAUUUAAUAACUUCACAUUUGUUAAACAUAUCAAAAAUAGAAAUAAAAAAUAAAAUUAAUGUAUUUUUUUUACAAACAAAUAAAAUUAAUGUUUGUGAAGUAACUUUUUAUACUUUUAAGUUGUUAGAUGCACAAGUUAUAAAAUAAAAUUUCAUUGUUAGCUGGAACAUCAACCCGUGCGGUGCGCGGAUCUAAUUAGCCUAAUAUUAACAAAAUAAAAUAAGAUAUAAUAAAUGUAACAUUAACAAUUAGUUCAACAAUAAAUUUAGAAAAAUAUUCAUAUAGCAAAAAUUAUGGUAUAUUACGAAAUACUUCUUUUAUAGGCUACAUUGAAAGUCUUAUUUGUAUCUUCACCAUCUUCGUCGAUAAUCAAUAUUUUUAAUCCUUCUCUAGAAGUAACUCUUGAAAUCGCAACAUACAACUGACCAUGUAAAAACACUGGCGACGGAAGAUAUAUCCAUGCUUACUGUCCUUAACUCUUAUUAAUAGUCUUCGCAAAAGAAACGAUUAAAAGAAAUUGACUCCGUUGAAAUUUAAAAGGAAUUCAUACAUCAGAUGGUGUUAGAGACAAUCGACGUAUGAAAAUCUGAUCACAAACAUUACUUUUUGAAAUAAUUUUUCCUUCAAGAACACGUUUUUCCAGUCUUGUUCCGUUACAAAAUCCUAAUUUUUUUAUUCAAAUUUCUUAAUAGCAUAACUGAAACUCAAACUUUAAGUCUCAAACUUGUGAUUUGGAAGGCCAGACGAAUCCAACAACAUCAUAUAUGUUAAUCGACUGUGUGUCACUCAAUUUGAGACGGCCGGAGAAAGAGAUUAGUAGGUCCGGAUGACUACAAAAGAUACUCAUGCAACAAUGAUAGCAAUUGAGAGCAGUGAUUUGAACGGCGCUAAAUGAGUAAAUUACCGAUUCCCACAAGAAAUUGACUUGGAGAGAGGUGAAAUGAAAAAAAAUCCACUUACUCACUCACUUAACACUGAGCUGAUAUGGAUCUGCAAAUAGCCUCGUAGACAUCACAUCGGGAAUUACGUCCUUGUAGUUGUUGUUGUUGUAGCUCCACUUCACACUCCACUCUAACAUGCUCUCUACUAAUUUCCAACUCCAACUCUCACUAUUCUAAGUAGUUGGUGGAGUUUCUCAACCCUAACAUAACCACAAUUCCAACUCAGAUCUGAUCCUAAUUUAUCAAUUAGAUAGAUGGAGGGGAACUCCGGAGGGGGUGGUGGUAGUAGUGGUGGCGGUGGUGCUGACGUGGAGCUUCUUUGCAAGACGUUACAAGUUGAACACAAGCUAUUUUACUUCGAUCUGAAAGAAAAUCCUCGUGGUCGUUACCUUAAGAUUUCUGAGAAAACCUCUGCUACUAGGUCCACCAUAAUCGUUCCCUUUUCCGGCAUUUCUUGGUUCCUCGAUCUCUUCAAUUAUUACGUCAAUUCCGAUGAACAAGAACUUUUCAGCAAGGAAUUGCAGCUCGAUACAAAGGUUCUAGUAAUAAUCCACUAAUUCAAUUCACCUAAUUUUUCUUUCCCUGUUUCUCUAAUUCCUCUUUUUCUCAGGUUUUCUACUUCGACAUUGGAGAAAAUAGAAGAGGCCGUUUCUUAAAGGUACCUACCUACCUACCUACACAUUUAGGCUUUGUGGAGUUUUCAAUUGCCAAUUUUAGCAAUGUGUGUUUACUGUUUUCUUUCCCAUGAGGGAUAAGGAAAUUGAGUUAUUUAUUCUUGGGAAGGAGUCUGGUAAGGUAAAUAACAGGUAGAAAUUAAUGACCUUAAGAUUUUCAAAUAGGAUUACAUGUCAAAAUUAGAAAUGGUUCAAAAUGGAAAAUUGGAAAUUUUAAUUUGGAUUUUGCAGUAAAUGUUGAGCAUGACAUUUCUAUUGCGGUUGCUUGAAAUGCAUAAUACUACUGUAAGUAAGAUUUAGGAAUUCAAAUUUCACAGUUUCCUGCUCAUAAUGGUGGGUAGAUAGAGAGUACGUUGUGUUUUGCAGUGUUUAAGUAGAAUUAUUUUGGUACCAGUGAAGACCAAACACCUGCAUAGCAACAUGUCGGAUUUGUAUCACUAGAAGCCUUGAACUCUGCAAUAGUAAGUAAAACCCCUUUCUACGAUGAGAAAACUAGAACAUAAUAUUGGUAUGUUUAUGUUGAAGUUAUGUGGAGGCAGAGUUUCUGAUGUUUCUUAGGCAUUGACUUCUGAAGCUUAGUUUAGAUGUCUGUUUGAUGAUUGUUUUUAGGGUCCUUUGCUUAUGGAAUUUUAUAAUACUAAAAUGCCAAAAUCCUUGUUGUCAACUUCGGUUUCUUUUGAAGACUCUCACUUAACCGUCAAGUUGUAUAAAUUGCACUACAAUACAUAUCAUCCCCAUACCUACACAAUUGUUUAGUCUUCAACUUGUAUGUUCAAUACAUCAAUCUUUUAUUCCCUUCUCCUUCAAACCCUGUUUUUCUCUUAAUUAGUUACUUUCUCUUCUAACUCCAUCUGGAAAUAAUCAAUGAUUUUCCCAUUUAUCACACAGUUCAUAAUAUGUGGAAAUGGAUGGACCUCUUAUUUUGUCUGCGUAAAAUCUUAUGUGUCUAAUAUUUUAGGGGUAUCUUCAUUCUCCCCUUUUAUAUUCAUGUUGCCAGAUUGUUGUUCCUAUCCAAUGCUUGCCCUUCAAUUUGGGUUUGAGGGUAGGGAAGGGGUAAAAAAGGCGUUGAAGACCAAGUCAUAAUUUUGUAUUGAAAGUUUAGGGUUGCUGCCAUUAUUGGUUCCUCUCUGUUUUUGCAUGUGCUGUUACACAAUGGAAAAACUCUUCUUAUUUUUGGUGCGACAUCAUUUAUUAUUCGAGAAAAUUGAACAAAAAAAAACUAGUUUUAAAGCAUGCAUCACAGUGGAAUAUAAGAACACUAAAACCGGCCUGCACUACAAGGAAGUAGCUAUGCAGUCAACUGCUAUAUUCUGCAAUUCCUACAUCUUCUAUAUAAGUCGCUGUCAAUAAAUUUGCAUUUGAAUCUGGUGACAGGUUAUGCUAAGUAACAUCUGCAAAAACAUUCUUUGCAAACAACUCUGGUAAUUGGUGUUUCCAAUUAACCCAAAUUGUUUAAAAGAGGCUACAUGUAGUCCUUCAUAAAAAAAUUGCUAUCUUGUUUUGCAUCCUUUUGGGCUUACCCUUAUAUGUGUAUUUUGGAAUUUCUAUCUACGGGAUUACAUUACAUGUAUGCUUAUUUUUUUUUCUUUUCAAUAUCCUGACUAAUUUAUUUUGCGAAGGUGUCUGAAGCUUCUGUCAGCAGAAACCGUAGCACUAUAAUUGUUCCUGCAGGAAGUGGCAGGGAUGAAGGGUGGGCAGCAUUCAGGAACAUUUUGGCAGAGAUUAAUGAAGCCUCGAGGCUUUUCCUUCUGCCCAAUCAGGUUUCUUUCUUUUGCAAAUAGAUAGUUAUUUUCCUGCUUAGCCACCAAUAUUUUCCUAGUUGUCUUUUUUGUGUUAAAACUCAUGUUGUUUGUAUUUCACAACAGCAAAAUUCUGAAUCCUCAGAGCGACUGGUUGGACUUUCGGAUGAUGUUGGUGCUGGUUUCAUAUCGGGUCAUAGUACUCAACCUGCCCCCUCUUCUGAACUGAAUGUCGACAGGUCCGUUGAUUUGCCAGCUCAGGAUGAAAUUGGGAACUCGGGGGUCUCAAAAGUGAUCAGGGCUGAUCAAAAAAGAUUUUUCUUUGAUCUUGGAAACAACAAUAGGGGUCAUUAUCUAAGAAUAUCUGAGGUGUGUUGCUAUUGUGUUUUUGUUGUCUUUCUGCCUUAUAGCUUAUUGGACUAGCUUAUAAGCUUGUUUGAUAAAAAUGUGAAGUGUUUGGUAACGAGCUUCUCUAACUAGCUUAUAGCGUUUUUUGAGAUACUAUUUCAAGUAACGUAUGAGCUUAUAGCUUUUUACAUUUUCCCCAUUUUUACCCUUAUGAUUUUUAUUUAUUAUUUCUUUAUUUUUUUUAAAUAUAAUAACUACCCACUAAUCAUACUCACUAACCAUGUACUUUUAUGUCAUUUUGUACUUACAACAGCUAAAUUUACCAAACACUUUAAUUUUAUUCUACUAGCUUUUCAGCUAUAAGCUACCAGCCAUCACCUAUAAACUAGCUUUUCAGCUAUAAGCUAGCUAGCUUAUAGCUUAUUUUUACCAUAGUUUGGGUGGAAGAUUUUCUGCUGUAAAUUCUUGUUAUCUCAUUGCAGGUUGCAGGUUCUGAUAGAUCCUCCAUCAUUCUUCCAUUGUCAGGGCUCAAGCAGUUUCAUGAGAUUGUUGGUCACUUUGUGGAAAUCACCAAGGACCGUAUUGAGGGUAUGUCAGUUGCUAAUGUCCGUACAAUUGAUCCCCCUCAAAGAUGAAUGCUAACAUGGGGAUUAUGGUGACAAUAAGUAGUCCCCCUUUGCCAAGGUUUCAUCAUGGAUAUGAAUGGGUGUUGUCUUUGAAUUUGAUUUGUGCUAUUUUAUUUAUCCGCAGCCUCAUCCUUUUUCUAAUAUAUAUAUUGUUCUACAAUUAAGGCUUUUGAAAUAAAUCAAACACUUGUUUGUCAGCAGAAUAAUGGGAAUAUCUCUACAAGGUUAGUAAUUUGAAUAGGUAAUAAGGGAAGAAAAUGGACCAGAGACUUGUACUUGAUUGGAUAGUUUGGCAACGGGACUAUACUUUGUACUAAUGAUUGUUUAUUUUGCUUUCCUGCACAUAUUUCACAUGGAUUAAAUUUUCAUACAGGCUAAGGUAUCAACACCUAUUCAGAUCAUAUUUUCGGUUUUAUUAUUUGCCUAUUUUGUGGGGUUAUUCUCAUCUUGCAUCAACUGAAACUUGAUCUUUAUAAGUAUCUGUUUCUAUCAGGAAUAGAUUUUCUCCUGUAAAAAUCUCUCGAGUUUUCUCGAGUGUGAGAAUCUACACCAUUACACAUUGUUUUUUGACAAAAAAUAUCCUCCAUGCAUUUAAUUUUCAAUGGCUAGGAUUUCACUGGUCCCUACAAUCACUACAGAGGAUCCAGUCCCAUUUCCAUCGUUAUUCAUAUCUUUCGAGUAAACAUUCACGCCUCGGAAUGAGUGAAAAGUCGGAUUCAUAAAAAAAAUUUAAGUAACCAACAUUCAAUACUCCAACCCAUGGCCAUAGAUGCAAGUCCCCCUUUUCACCCUCAAUAUCCCUUUAUCACAUUUUUAUAAACACUAAUAAAAAGAUUUUUUUUUUUAAAAUGAAAAAUAAAUAAAUACAUAAAGUUAUUUUCUCAUCUAUCCAUAUAGGCAAAACCAAACAUGGUGCUACUUUAUUUGAUUUUCAAUAUGAAUAAUGCUAGCAACACACUUUUUAACAAACACACUCAAAUACACUCUCUUUUAUUGGUUGAAAUUCACAUGGGUCCCAUAAAAAAAUGUGGACCUAUAUAACUUUUAUAGGAUCCAUAUAAAUUUUAACCAAUAGAAGAGUGUGUUAGAGUGUGUUUGUUAAAGAGUGUGUUGCUAGCACUCCUCAAUGUCCUUUAAGACUUAAGGGUUCAUUUGAUGGUCAGAAUAUAUGAUACUCCCUCCGGACAUAAAUAUAAGAAAAAAAGACUUCAAAUUUUGGUCACUAUAAUAAGCAAAAGUUAACUACUUUUAAACUAAUUAAUACUACUAUUAAUAAUAUACCCUUAUUUAAUUCUACUUUAUUUUAAGCAUUUAUUUCAAUUUUACACUUUUCAAAAUGGAUAAUAUAGUAAACUUAACUAAAGUUUUGCAUUAAAUCAAGAAAAUUAACUACACUUAACUAAAUUUUUUAAACGCCAUGAAAACAUUUUUUUUUCCUUAUAUUUGUGUCCGGAGGGAGUAUGAUAAUUGUAUCAUAUCAACAAGAUAUCAUAUUCUCCAACUUUUUGGAGUUGUGGAGUCUUUUGCUGCUGGUGGUACAUAUUCUCCAACUUCAACUACUGAACACAUGUUGUCUUGUAAUCUAAGGAACAACACCAUUUUAUCCUUCCAGUAGUAGUAAUCAUCUCCUUCAAAUAAAGGCAGUCUAUUUGAUGAACCUCCUUCUGAAAUGAAUUUUGCGUUUUUUGUCAUUACUUCCUUCCUAAAUUUUUCCCUCUAGCACUUGUUAGAUGCUCAAUCGAAGAGGCAGAGCUCUGAUGCCAAUUGAAUUAGCAAAGUUUUUCACAAGGAAGAGGGGUUGAAUUGUGAACCUUUUAAAAUUUUCUUAUAAAAUUAAUCUCAAACCAAAAUGUUAGAAUGAUCUUAGAUCGAUCUGGUUAGUGAUAAAUAUAAAUCAAAAGUAAAUUGUGUGUGUAGUGCUUGCACAAAUUAAAAGAUAGGGAAGAAGAGAAUCAGCACACAAACAAUUAUACUGGUUCACCCCUAAGUAUGAGUUAUGUCCAGUCCUCACGCUCCGUGAGUGUAUCCACUAAAUUCUUGAGAUACUACCGAUCACAAAUUUCAAACCUCCUUGAUAUAAACCAAGAUCAAUAACCUUAUGCACUACAAGCUUAAAUCUACCUCAGUCCAACAUACUUUAAGAGGUGUCACUCAAUCAAUAGUUACGCAUUGACUUGAACCAAUCUUUCUUUUACAAAGAAUUGUUGGAUCAAAAGCUUACAAAUAAACUACAUCUAGUUGAGAAGCUUAAACACAAAAGCACUCGGUUCACUCAAUAGUAUACUAGUCCAAGUAUUUAAUUCAAAGAGAUGGGGAGUGAGUGUGAUUAAAUACUUAUUUGGAUAAUUGGAUAAAAGAAGAGCUUUCUAGUGAGUGUGAUUAAAGAAGAGCUUGAAAACUUGUAUAAUUGGAUAAAUACUUAUUUUUUUGGACAAAUUUGAAGAAUAAUUCUAAAUUUAACUGGGAUAUAUUGAAAGUUAAAAGAAAAAGUCGAAUCCUCCUAGAGAGUUUCAAAAGCUCAUUUUUGAUGAUGUUUCUGGGGCUUGCAUGCCCAGGAAUGUCCGGUUAACUUAGUUUUUUUUCUGUUAUUUUUUGGGCGUUUGCCCUCUCAUGUACCAAAAAAAAAAAGUCGAAUAUAAGUUUGUAAUAUUUCAAAUUUAUCCAAUUAUCAGCUAGUAUUCCUCAAAUAGACACCAAAUUCUUCUCGUGACUCCGUGAGCACGGUUCAAUGAUAAGAAUUUAACUUUAAAAUUUUAGGGGACAUAAUUUAAAUUCUCUUAAUGAUUGCUGUAAAACUCUUAAAGAUUGCUGUAAAAUAAUCAAUAAUUAAUUUUAUAUAGAUAUUCAAUAAAACCCUAUUAUUUUGCAUGCCUUCCAUUUUAUAAAUGCAUUUGAAAAUUAAUUUUUAGUUUUAUGAUAUAAUAACUAGAUACUAAUAUAAUUAUUUUACGGUGGCAGUGGCACCCAUGAAAAAAUAGAGGGCUCGAGUAAAAAAGACAAGAAAAAAAGAAGAAAUCUCUAGUUAGAUGUUAGUGACACAUGAUAAACAUGUCAUUCUAUUUAUAUUAUUAUAGCAAAUGUAGAAAAUUAAAAUAAAAAACAAUAACUCUUUUAACAUAAGAGAGGAGACGAGUAGAUUGUAAUUCAAUCUAUGUGAAGUGUAAUUCUCUCAAAUAUGUUUUGCAUAAGAAGAGAGUAGAAUAUACAUUUUGACAUAUGAGGAGACAAUUAAGAUAAUAAUGCAAUUUAAGCAUCAGAGAAAAGAGAGUUUAAUUUUAUAAAAUGAAUUUACGAGAUAUAUAUAUAUAUAUAUACAUAUACACUUAACUAUUAUUUUUUCGUCUCCAUGAGCAUAAUCAGUUAGUAAUAGGGACAAUAUUAUAUAUAUGAAUUGAGGUUCGAACCAUAUAUAGUAUCACAUUAGCCACUAGACUACUCUAGAUAAAAACUAAAAAAAUAAAAUCUGACAAAAAAAAAAAAAUCUACAGGAGUGGUGUGUUCAAUUUAUGCAAAACUUAGAGGAAUUAAUGAUAUUCUAAUGGUAAAAACAUUUUUGGCUUUUAUUUCACUAUUGUUCUAUAUUUGGAAUAAUUAUUACUAUAUCCUCUUCAAAGCAUAUAUUUAUUUAUUUAUAAUAUAUAUUUUUUAUUCUCUUUAUUUAUGGUAGUAGACCUAUUAAAUAGGCUAUAGAAAGGGAUUGAUCUAUAAACGUAGAGAACUAAAUAAAGCAUGUGAAUAUUUUCAUUGGGUUUUCCUAAUUCUCAAUGAAAGAUUAAAUUCUAAAAAAAGAAAGUAAACAGAAAGUAAGAGAGAAAAAACAGACAUGAGUGGUGGAGAGACACACAUAAGGGGUGUGGGUGAGAGACAUAUUCGUUGAAAACAAACUCUAAAAAAAGGUUUGCAAAGACAUAUAUAAACAUAUUCAUGUUGAACAAGAGAAACACAACACAAUAAACAACUAUCUUUUCCAAUAAACAAAGAAAAGAAAGAGUUGAGAGAAUAAAAACACACAAAACAAUAAUGACUCGUGGGGCUAUUAUAGCUUUGUUGGUUUGCCUUAUGGCAACUGCUGUUAGGUCUGAAGACCCUUAUGUUUACUACACAUGGAAUGUUACAUAUGGUACCAUUUCUCCUUUGGGUACUCCCCAACAGGGUAUUCUUAUCAAUGAUAAAUUUCCUGGACCUGAAAUUAAUGGUUCCAGUAACAACAACAUUGUAGUUAAUGUGUUCAACAACCUUGAUGAGCCACUCCUUUUCACAUGGCACGGUAUUCAACAAAGGAAAAACUCAUGGCAAGAUGGUACACCGGGAACACAAUGUCCCAUUGCCCCAGGAACCAACUACACCUACAAGUUCCAGGUUAAGGAUCAAAUUGGUAGUUACUUUUACUACCCUACCACUGGUCUCAUGAGAGCUGCCGGUGGUAUUGGUGGAAUCAGAGUCUUCAGCAGAUUGUUGAUUCCUGUCCCAUAUGCUGAUCCUGCUGAGGAAUAUUGGCUCCUCAUGGGUGACUGGUACGGAAAGAGCCACACCACAUUGAAGCAAUUCCUUGACAGUGGUCGAUCCAUUGGAAGACCUAGCGGAGUCCACAUCAUGGGAAAAUCCAACAGUGCCGAACCACUCUACACCAUGGAGCCUGGAAAGACCUACAAGUACAGAAUCUGCAAUGUUGGUCUUAAGGACUCUCUUAACGUCAGAAUCCAAGGUCACCCAUUGUUGCUUGUUGAAACGGAAGGUUCCCACACCGUCCAAAAUGAUUAUGAUUCCCUUGAUGUUCACGUCGGCCAGUGCUACACUGUCCUUGUGACCGCUAACAAGGAACCCAAGGAUUACCUCGUGGUUGCUUCCACCCGUUUCACCAAGGAGGUGCAAACCGCAACUGCUGUUCUCCGUUACUCUAACGGUAAUGGCCCUGCUUCCCAUGUUCUCCCACCUGCACCAGUUGGUUGGGCAUGGUCUUUGAACCAAUUUCGUUCUUACCGUUGGAACUUGACCGCUAGUGCUGCUAGGCCCAAUCCUCAGGGAUCUUACCAUUACGGUCAGAUCAAUAUCACUCGUACCAUCAAGCUUGUUAACACUGCUUCUAAGGUUAACGGAAAGCUUCGUUAUGCUCUUAACGGAGUUUCCCACGUUGACACUGAAACCCCACUCAAGCUUGCUGAAUACUACGGUGUUGCUGACAAAGUUUUCAAAUAUGACACCAUCGUUGAUAAUCCCCCUUCUGUCAUCAAUGAAGUCACCGUAGCUCCAAAUGUCAUCAACGCCACCUUCCGUACCUUCAUUGAGAUCAUCUUCGAGAACCCCACCAAGAGCAUUCAAUCUUACAACUUAGAUGGAUACUCUUUCUUUGCUGUCGCGUAAGUAAUUAAUUAAUUAAUAUGAACAAAUUUUACAUCAUUAUUAUUACUAUUAUUAAUUAAUUAUAUUUUGUGUUUUUGUACAGAGUUGAGCCUGGGAAAUGGACACCUGAGAAGAGAAAGAGCUACAACCUUUUGGAUGCAGUCAGCAGACACACAGUGCAAGUGUUCCCUAAGUCAUGGGCCGCAAUCAUGUUGACAUUCGACAACGCUGGUAUGUGGAACUUGAGGUCAGAACACGCUGAGAACAGGUACCUUGGACAACAAAUGUACAUCAGUGUCUUGUCACCUGAAAAAUCUAACAGGGAUGAGUACAACCUUCCAGACACUCAGCUUGUUUGCGGCAUUGUCAAGGAUAUGCCAAGGCCUCCACCACAAUACAAUUAAUUUCAACAUUCAUGCAUUAGCUUGUUGAUGCAUUAUAUUAAUAUAUAUAAAUAAGUAUAUGUAUGGGUCGGUUUUGCUUUCAUUUCUUGUAUGCUAACUAAUGUAUCAACCAACCCUUUCUUAUAUACAAGGAGUUUGUUUACAUAUAAUAUUAUAUAAUUUUUAAAUUUCAUCUCCUUCUGAUCUUCUUUCUCUUCGAUUUCUCUUUUAUAAUUUAAUUGUAUUUUUAAUAGCUAAUAACUUGUACUUUCACUUGUUUAUAUUAACUAAACGUAUAAAUUUAAAAUUUCAUCUCCUUCUGAUCUUCUUUCUCUUUGAUUUCUCUUUAAUUUAAUCGAUGGAAAUAUUUUUAAUAGCUAAAACUUGUACUUCCCGUUGUUUAUAUUAACUAAACGUUUGACCCGCGAUAUCGUACAUGUCUUGUAAUAUUAGAGAUUUCUCUUAAAUGAAUUAUGUCAAUUAAGUCUAGCAAGUAAAAAUAAUGGCUAAUUUGAAGACAUAAGUUAUAAUAACUACUAUAAAUUUAGCAUGACAUGAUAAAUAAUAAGGCUAUAAUAACUACACAUUGCUUAUUAUUAGUAGUAUUAGACAAAGGGGUUUCAUCACAUGUAGAUAUGUAAUUUUUUGUUGGUGUAUAUCUACAUAACUAGACACAUUUGUGCUUCUUAGAUAACUCAAUCAUAAUUGAAUUUGCUUAUGAAUUUGUGGUUUUAUAAUUUUAGUUUUGAACAAUACUAGUUCUCUUAAAGUGAAUUAUAUAAGACAAAUAUGAACCCUAUGGUCUUAAAACUUGAGUUUGUGAUAGUUAGUACUAAUAUAUAGUGAAAGUAUACGUGCACUAUUUAUAAAGGAAAGUCUAUAUUGCAUUGAUUUAUAUAUUGGGUGAUUCUGAAAUAUUAUGCUUCAUUUUUUGCAUGGCUCAAGGGAUAUAAUUCAUUCCUAUAUAUAAUAUAGUUGCCAAAAAAAUUAAGUUGUGAGCAUGCGUAACUUACAAAGACAAUUCAUACAAUAAACAUCAAUAAUGAUAAAGGUCUACUUUAAUAAGUGAGUUCCAACAAUAUAGUUUAUGAGUUUUGUUUUGCGAGAAAUCUUGAUAAUGAUUGGUGUUCGUUAAUACUAUAAACAAUAUACAUGUUCUCACGUUAAUACCUAACGGUUGAAUUGCUGUAAAUAUGCAGAAAUUAAUAAGUGUUCGUUAAUGCUAUAGCCCUAGCAUCGAGUUCUUGAGUUACUUUUCCCAUUAAUGCUGGCUAGCUUUAUAUCUCAGUUCGGGAUUAGUAGUGUUGUCACGAGAUAACCUAAUUAUCCUAUAGAUUUAUUCAAUAAUACGGCCAGUAUUUUGAAUAAAGCAUUAAAGUAGUAGAUAUAAAAGAUAAUAAACUGUAUAGUAAUUAAUAUAAACUUGUUCAAACCAAAUUACAUAAUAUCAAGCAUUCAUAGUGGAGUUCAUUUACUCGAGCUAACCUAAAGAAAUUUAGCUACUCAUACGCAUAAUUAAAACAAAAGAGUAAAAUUAUGCAUACAUGGGACAGAUCAUAUCGUGGCACGAUGGGACAGAUUUCUUUCAUAAAUUUUGCAGAUUUUCUUCAAAUAAAUUCUUGUCCAUCAUGGCACGAUGGUGGUCAUCGUGUGACGAUAUUUUCAGCUAUUUUCUUCAAUUUUUGCUACUUUUGAUGCAUUUUCUUCCACUCUUGCUUCUUGGUCAAGCAUCUUCACUUCUUUAGGUAUUUAAUUGCAUUUGGUCUUGAAAAGCUACUAAAACUAAUAAAAACUAACCUAAAAAGUACUUAAAACAUCAUAUAAAUUUUUGUCAUCACAACCCCAAACUUAAAUUGUUGCUUGUCCUCAAGUAACAUGUCUGUCAAACAAAAUCGUUAGUGAAUUAACAACUCAAAACCAAUCGUUAGUUGGUUCAGUGGUGAUUGGCGUUUGACUUGGUAGGAAGGACCACAGUUCGAUCCCCCCACAACUGCGAUUGAGAGGGGUUGGAACCACUUGAUAUCGAACUAACCCCCAAAUCAGAUUAAACGGUCCAGUAGGUCGGAUACCGGUGGUAAAAUCAAAACAAAAAACUCAAAAUUUUUCUUUUCCAAACAAAAUUUAAUUACAUUGUUUUUAAGGAUGUGAAUGGAUGGAGCAACAUUUAAUAUUUAUAAUUUUUAUUUUUUUGGAAGCAUUUACCGGUGGAUUUGUAGUAUUUUCUAGCGGAAAAUUCUAUCAAUAACUUUGUGGCAGAAUUUUCUGUCAAUAAAUGAUUUUAAAUUUUAUUGAUAAAUUGAGGUUUUCUUAUAGUGAUACACAUGCACACAUUUUGUUGCGUUAUGGACAAUAUAUAACAAAAAUGAUUUUUUUUGUAGGAUAUAGUAUAUUGAAAGCAGAGAUAGAUCGUCAAUUUGUUUGAUGGCGAAACCGUGGGGAAUGAUUUAUGGGAAUGGAUGGAUCUGAUGGCUAGUUUUGUUGUGCUAUUCAAAUGUCAACAUUCUAACUAUAGACAAAGGGAAUUGGUUUGACACAUAAAUCGGAUAUAUGUAAGAGGAAGCACGCAUACUAAGGAGUAAAUGAGAGAGAUGUUAACGGAGUGUUUGAAUGGGUAAUAAGCAAUAAUAUCACCCCAAUGAGUAUAUAUAAUUCACAAGCCAAAAACCUUGAGCAAUGUGGUAAUCUUCUUACCUAACUUCUUAUAAUAGUUAUUAAAAAGAAAAUAUGGAGAGGCCAACAUUUUUGUUGUUAUUAUGUCUCUUGGUUGGUACAAUUUCAAUUGUGAAGAGUGAAGACCCUUACUUCUUUUUCACAUGGAAUGUUACCUAUGGCACACUCUCCCCUGCUGGUGUUCCCCAACAGGUUAUUCUCAUCAACAAUGAAUUUCCUGGACCCAACAUCAACUCCACCAGUAACAAUAACAUUGUUAUUAACGUCUUCAACAACCUCGACGAGCCAUUGCUUUUCCAUUGGUACGUACUACAUACAUACAUACAUAUGUACAAUAAAUGAUUUAAAAUUUGUUUAUUUGUUUUUUAUUUGAUCAAUUAAUUAAUAAAUGAAAUCUAAGCAAUAUUGUAUAAUCAUAUUUGCAGGCAUGGAAUUCAGCAAAGGAAAAACAGUUGGCAAGAUGGUGUAGCAGGAACAAACUGUCCCAUUCAACCAGGAACAAACUUCACAUACCAUUACCAAGUGAAGGAUCAAAUUGGUAGCUUCUUCUACUUUCCUAGCUUGGGAAUGCAAAGAGCAGCCGGUGGUUUCGGUGGCCUCCGCGUGAACAGCAGGUUGCUCAUUCCCGUCCCAUACGCCGAUCCCGAAGACGAUUACACCGUCCUAAUCGGUGACUGGUUUACCAAGAGUCACACUGCCCUUAGCAAAUUACUGGAUAGCAGCCGUUCCCUAGGAAGACCACAAACAGUUCUCAUUAAUGGCCAAAACGCCAAAGGUGACGGAACUGACAAACCACUCUUCACAAUGAAGCCAGGAAAAACCUACAAAUACAGAAUCUGCAAUGUUGGUCUUAAAAGCUCCCUCAACUUUAGAAUCCAAGGUCACCCACUGAAACUUGUUGAAAUGGAAGGUUCCCACACCGUUCAAAACACUUACGAUUCCCUCGAUGUCCACUUAGGAGAAUGCUUUGGUGUUCUCGUAACAGCAAAUAAAGAACCAAAAGAUUAUUACAUGGUUGCUUCAACCCGUUUCACUAAAUCCAUUCAAACAGGUAAAGGUAUUAUCCGUUAUACUAACGGUAAAGGUCCUGCUUCACCUGAACUCCCUGAAGCUCCAGUAGGAUGGGCUUGGUCUUUGAACCAGUUCCGUUCUUUCCGUUGGAAUCUCACCGCUAGUGCUGCUAGGCCCAACCCACAGGGUUCUUACCAUUACGGUCAGAUCAAUAUCACUCGCACCGUUAAACUCAUUAACAGCGUUAGCAGAGACGGUGGAAAACUCCGCUAUGCACUUAACGGCGUCUCCCAUGUGGAUACAGAAACCCCUCUUAAACUCGCUGAAUACUAUGGUAUCGCUGAUAAGGUUUUUAAGUACGACACCAUUCCUGACAUGCCAACAAGUGUUCCAAAAACUGUUACAGUGCAACCCAAUGUUCUUAACUUCAAACAUCGUACUUUCAUUGAGAUCAUUUUUGAGAACCCUGAGAAAAGUGUCCAAUCUUACAAUUUAAAUGGAUAUGCGUUCUUCUAUGUAGCGUGAGUAUACAUAUACAUAUAUUUAUUUACAUACUAUAAAAAUUUAAUUUGCUUAUGCAAUUAAUGUGUUUGUUUAUGUACACAGCGUAGAGCCAGGGACUUGGACACCAGACAAAAGGCAGACCUAUAACUUGCUUGAUGCUGUGAGCAGACACACCGUUCAAGUGUUUCCAAAAUCAUGGGCUGCAAUAAUGUUGUCAUUUGAUAACGUUGGAGUUUGGAAUUUGAGGUCAGAGAAUGCUGAGAAUCGUUACUUGGGACAACAGUUGUAUAUAAGUGUGUUAACUCCAGAACGUUCUCUUAGGGAUGAGUACAAUAUGCCAGAGGGUCACUUAGUCUGUGGACUUGUUAAGGAUCUUCCAAAGCCUGCUUCAUACGUCUAAGUACUAUUAAUGGUGGAAGCAACCAACCUCUUAAUUUCUUUUUAAGUUGUUAUGUAACUAGCAUUCCCCUGUCAGGCUCCUCAGCUAAAGUUUUCAUAUCAUUGUAUUAGCUGAGGUAUUAGGUAUUUUGUAUACAGGGACAGGGUGAAGUGGAGAAAUAACAUAGGGCUUUUCAAGCAUUAUUAGAUGUCAUGUACUAGAUCAUUUUGAAUCAACACUUAUAGAAAUUUCAUUACAUUUUUGUACUUUUACUAUAACUUUUAUACCACAAUUUCUACUAAUUUCUUUUCAGGAUUAAAUAUGUUUUUAUUCUCUAUAUUUAUGCAGCCUUCUAAGAUACUAGUCUCUAUUUAAUUUUUAUUAUAUUUUUAGUCCCCAAAUUAUCAACAUGAAUUAGGUCUAUUAUUCAUAUUUUGUGUGUUUGGGGAAAAUAGAUAAAUGGUUUCUUAUAAUUUUUUAGAGACUUCUUGAAUCAAUAUAAUUGGUAAUCAAUCAAAUGUAAGCACGUGACAGUGAAAGAAUGAAAAGAAAAAAUAAAAAUAAUUACUUAAAUAGCAUCUGUAUUUUUUUAAAAAAAUUAUUAACAUCUUCAUAUACUAAUAGGUCUCAUUCAUGUUGAUAAUUUGGUUGGCCACAUUUACAUUAUUGCAGGACCUGGACAGCAAAAGAAUGGCACGAACUGUCAUGACGUUAUGGAUGAUUUGGUGGAGACGCAAUAAAAAAUGUUGGGAUGACAGGCUACCCUCAACCUUUGAAGUUAAACGACGAGCUAGAGAGUUCGUCUCUAGACGAUUGGCUGUGCGGGCAUUGUUGAUGAGAAUACAGCAGCUUAAAUGCUAGCAGAGUUGUGCAGCAAAAUUGGACAAAACAACAGCAAGGAAGCUUUAAAUGUACGUGGAUGCAGCAUGCUAUGUCACAAAAAAUAGAUACAGCAAUGGAGCAGGUGUACGGGAUGCAGCAGGAAGAUUUGUUAAGGCAAUGACAUCUCACUUUGUCGGCCAGUCAGAGGUGCAAGAAGCAGAAGCUCAUGGACUCUUGAUCACACUUCAAUGGAUACAACAAUUUCAACUCAACAGAGUAGAGAUAGAGAUGGAUUGUUUGAAUGUGGUCCAAAGCAUAGCAGGAAGAAUGGUGAAUCUAACUGAAUUUGGUAGUAUUAUUAGAAAGUGCAAACACAUGCUGAAUUUGAUUCAAAAUUGAGGUCAGUUCUGUUAGGCAGCAGGCAAAUCGGGUAGCUCAUGAGUUAGCUCAAGUGACUCGAUCUUAUGUUAGUCACUAUAUGUCUUUGAUUAUUGUCCAGAGGAUAGUACAGACAAGGCAUUAGAAGCAUGUUGAUUAAAGUAUUCAUGCAUGGGAAUGAAAUUAUAAUCUAUAUUCUUGUUUUUAAUGUUUAUGUACUCUUGUCACAUGGAUUGUUUUUUUACGGAUAUUGAAACUAUUUUAAUUAAUGAAAUGAAUUAAGUUUGCUUGUGUGAAGAAAAAAAAAGUAAGAUGUGAUUUAAUUAAGGAAUAUAAAUUAUAAUUACAAGGUUUAUUAUAUUUUUCUAAUAAUUACAAGGUUUAUUGUAUUUUUCUAAUAAUUACAAGGUUUAUUGUUGAAAAAUCAUAAUCUCGUUUCACUAACAAUUAAUCACAAUUGUUAUGGCAACAUUAUGUUGGUCCGAGUGAAUUGAACUAUGAUCGUUUAAGCAAAAUCUCAGAUUUUACACCGGAAAGGAAAAAGUUAGUUGGCGGGGAGACACCAAUAAAGGUGGUUUGGCCAGGUUUUCGGCGGAAUUAGUUCAAAAUCCGGUUGAUAACAUGGUUACCAAAAAAUACAUAGAUCAGUUAAAGUAGUUGACAAACGAGUUUGAGAGGUCAAGACGGCAGAAGUUUAGGGUUAAAGAACAACAAAUCCCUUCGGACAAAAGCAGUAGUAGUACCAGGAAUAACUGGUAGUUCCAAUCCAAUUCAUUUAUCAAAAAUAGAUAUAUAGUCACAUUCAAUUUCAUACUAAAAAGAUGUGCCCCACAUGCCCAGAGAAAAUAAAGAAUCAACCAAAAUUGGAUUUCCUACAAAUCCUUACACUGCCUGCAGACGCCUGAUUUGCUGCUCGAUUACUUCCAAAAUUCUUCCGAUUUGAUUCCCUCGCAAUUCUAGAACCAAACUGCAGCAAUACAUACAUAUAUACAAUGCAAUGACAGAUUAGUCACUAUGCAAAAAGAGUUGUAAAGCAAAAUGCUUAAGUGUGAAGUUUUCGAGUGCACACCUGUAUUGCUCGUUUAGGAAGGACUGCUGCUUCAUAUAAACCAAGCAAUUCUGCAACCUUCAAAAUAUAUAUUAACCGUGAGAUUUAAGUUUGGAAAUCCAUUUUCUAUGUUAGAUCUUCAGACAGAAUAGGGUUCAAUUUUUGGUAUAAUAAAAGGGAAUAUAUAAAUGCAAAUUCUAUGGUGGACCACUUUGACAGAUGGUCCAUGGUGUACCGGCACUUGAAAAUCACUGGAUACUACAACAAAGAAUCAUGGUACAUCAGUACCUGUCGGAAGUAGAAGCUCGUGAUUCUCCUCAUUUCUUAUGAGUGAGACAAUGACCUAACUAGUUUGAAAAACCAAUGGAAAACGAGCAUUAGUGUCUCAAAAUCGACACAUUCAUUUUCCUUUAUUUUUAACGAACCGGCACCGAUCAAGUCACAAUCUCACUAAUGAGAACAAGGAAGAACGUGAGCUUCUACUUCCAAAGGGCGACAUCGGUUUUCAUUGGUAUUUCAAGUGAUUUUCAAGUACCGGUCCACCAUAGAACCCACCAUAAAGUAUAGCUCUUUCCGAUGGAACUUCAAACUCACUUAUGAAUUCAAUUCAGGCAACAACACUAGUUUCAAGUCCUUAUAUUCAUAACUCCUAAGAUAUAUGAUCAUGUUACCAAAAAUUUGGAUCACAAGUUUGAAUCAGCUGAGUUAAGGUGUUAGGUUAUUGAAAACGGUCUUGAUAAAGUGUUGCUGAGUCAGCCAAUAAAUGGUGACAAGUUGAAAAUUCAUUCGUUAAUAACUUCAUACUUCAUAGCGGUAGAAAACAAGUAAAUAAAUCUCAGUCAACAACAAUACCUCUCUUAAUAUCUUUUUAUCACCGAUGCCACUAGGUUGUUCAAGGUUGGCAACCUCCCACAAUGGAAUGUUGAGUAAAAACCUUAUAACAUCCUCAUCCAAGAACGGGAAUCUAGCCUAAAGAAAAAACAAACCAAAAAAAUGAUAAGUAACCAUGAGAUUAACAUUCUUGCAAUAAUUUGAACAUUACCUCCUUUCCGUUAUCAGCAAUACAUCUAUCAUCUCUCCCUAAAUUUCUUUUCCAAAUUCUUUGCAUGUCGAGUUUCAUUUCCUCGUGUAGCCCCAGCCAACUGAUUAAGGCAUAUUAUACCAUCAGAGUCCAUUAAAAGAUAAUGCACGUGUAGUCAUAGUUCAUAAAUCAGUACUAUUAAGUUAGCACCAAGAUAACCUGAUAAUUUUGAGAUGCUCCUUCUCUAAGCAGAUGUAUAUCAAAAUACCACAUAAAAUACAAUGAGUCUUCCAAAUUAAUUAUCAAUUAAAAAUUUAGUUAUAUAAAUAUUUUAGAACAAAACCCCCCUAUUAACUUUGUUGUUUAANNNNNNNNNNNNNNNNNNNNNNNNNNNNNNNNNNNNNNNNNNNNNNNNNNNNNNNNNNAUACAAGUGGUGUCAAUCGGGUCCUUAAAAUACUCUUGCCAUCAAUUUAGUCUCUCAAAUUCAUCAAUUUAAUCCCUCAAUAAUGGAAACUCUCAUCAAAUUAGUCCCUAAAUUAGGAUUCCAUUUCACUCAUUCCUCAAACCCAACAAAGAAAGACUGAAUUUUGAAUAAUUGAGAAACUAAAAUGAUGAUAAAAAAAAAAUUUAGGAUGAAAGUAUCUUUGGAGGAGAAACCAGUGGUUUAAUCAAUAUUUUUAAAAACAGUGAGCUGAAUAUUAUCAUUUAUAAGUUGUAAACGUAAACAUGAUAAUAAAAUAUGAUUCAACAUUACAUAUUAAUAAUACCUUCCUCGUCUAAAACUUGUUCUAUGUCUCCCAUAACCAGCACACUGUUCAUCAGCACCAGAGCCAACAAGGAGAAUCCUUGCAUUGGACUUGUACUUAAUCCGUGCAUGAGUGUCAUCAUUAUCAUCUGCAUCAGACACCCAUCCAUCACCACCAGAAGCGAGCCAUAAAGCUAUUCCAAUAUUAAGGUCCUGAAAUGAUAUGUGCAAACCAAUCAUCAAAUAAUGUAAAGGUGUUUGAAAACUUAGCUGUAGGCUUUUCAGUCUGAAAUUUCAGCAGAUCGAGAAUUUAACUGAAGAUAAUUCUAAUCAAUAAAAACAUCAAACUUAUUCAAUGCUCUAUGCAAUGCUUGGAUAAAGGAAAGACAAGUUUAGAUUCUUAACGAAGACCUACUUUACCUCUAAUUUUACCUUUUCUAUUAUUAUAAACAUGUAUUACCUUAAGAGACCACAAGGUAAUCUAAAAUUAACAACUGAAAAUUAAAUGAUGUUGAAAAAAGUACAAACAUAGAAUACAGAACGAUAUGCCUUUUUGACAGUCUGAAAUUUGCAAUGGGUUCAUUAUUCAAAUCAAAUCAGAUAUGUUCACGGAUAUGACAGAACUAGAACAGUAAAUUAAUGAUCCAGAGGAUUAAUUUGUACCAUGUAGGUGUUGGCAGGAUUUAUGAGUGACAUAACAUGACUAGUUUCGAACAUCAAGUCUGACAAGUCAGCAUCAAUCUCGACGAGUCUCCACCUGCACUUUCAACAGACGCUGUAAAACAACUGAACAUGACAGAUGCAAUAAAAGAUAUUUACAUAAAUCAAUUCCAAUAAAUCAGUGUUGUCAAGAUCUUGACUAAGAUCGGAAGGGGGUAGCAAGAUCGCAAGUUGCAAAUAGGAUCGUAAGUUCCUACCCAAGUAAUUACGAAAGAUCGAGAGGGGGUAGCAAGACUGCAAAGUGUAAGAUCCUGCCAAAACGAAAAACAAUUCGCGCGCGCGAGUGUGUGUGUGUGUGUAAGCUUACAAGUCUUAACUAACAAAAAUCACAUGCAAAACAUGAGACUUUCACAAGUUUAAAAAUAGAACAACAAACUCCUCGAAAGAAACUACUCAAAGCUUAAACAUAAAACAAUUAAGUCCACAAAAGAAAAUACUUAAAGCCUAGAUUGAAUCACAAAUGCGCCAAUUACUCGUAACCUCCAUAAUAUCAACAUUUUCAUCUUCAUUAAUACCAUCCUCCUUCAUUGUCACUUUCUAUAACAUCAGGGACAUCCAAUUCAUCUACAGGUGCAAUACUAAUACCAAUGUUUUCAGUGUGAAUAAAAUCAUCAUCGGGAACAACCAUGGCCACACCAGUGACUUAACCAGGUCGAUCACCGGUCUGGGUUUUAAAACUAUGAGUGGAGGUAGUGGAGGAGAUCCACUCUCCCACCAUUCCUCCUCCUCCCAUUAUUUAGGCCAUGCCUUUUAAAAAAUAUAUAUCUACUUAGUCAGCUGAUGUCUAGCGUGGCUCAUGCUUAUCUGAGCAUAUCCGAGUGGGUCUCCCCAGAGUGAGAAAAUUCCUCAGUUGUUGGGCCGAAUUCAGAUUUAUGCUUCGGUAUGACAUGGGUCGAACAAUGACUGUCGUACAUUAAGCCCAAAAUAUCUAUGACGAUACAAAAAAACAAAUUAACUUCACUAUUAUUAAGUAUUUAAUUUUCUUGUGUCAAGAUCUCAAUCUUGCCAACAUUGUUCACAAUGAUUUGUUAUUUUAGAAAAUAAAACUUGAUGUCAUCAAUUUCAUUUUGAUGCCAAUGUAUUCUUUCAUGAACAUAUACAAACAGCAAAAUAUGUUGUUAUAUGCAUCACAAGAAGUUUGCAAAGCAAUGAAUGAAGGAAUGAAGUAUGCCAAGACAUUUUAAAACAAUAGGUCAAUUAUUAUACAUAUUUCCUCCCAACUCACAAAUUUAUUCACUUUUUAACAUUCAGUGUAGAUUCAUUCACAUCUGCGAGAUUUAGUUAAAUAUUUUCUAUUUGAAAUUAGAUUGCAGUAUUUCCUACAACGAUGGAACAAACAUUACCAGUCAAACCACAUCAUUAAUCAUACAAGAAAUAUAUGUUCCAGACCACUUGCAAAGUUGCAAUGCCUCUAACUAAGGAAAAGAUAUAUAGUUUACCGCAGAUAUCCAAUCUGAUAAUAGGUACAACAUUUCCUCUAUUUUUCAAUCUUUUCGACCAAAAUAAAAUAGAUAAAAUUCAAUAUCAUAUUACAUAAAUUUAUAAUUAUUCAAUAUGCACACUUUCUUAACAAACUUCAUUUUUGUAUAUAACAAUUUAAUAUUGAAAAAAAAAUAAAAUUCAAAUUCGGUAUUUAAGAAAAGGUAUUUUUACCAAGCAACAAGAAAUAUAUAAAAUAAACAAGGAUUGCAUACCUUCUGGAUGGUGCAACUCUUUUUAGUUCUUUCAACCCUGCCUUGGCAGAUUUUCUAUCAGGAGCCAACUCACCAUCAAAGCUUACAGUAAGUAGAUCAAUUUCAUCUGUCAAUUAAAACAAACGUUAGACAUUCGGCUCAUCAGAAGGUUCCUAGAAUUAAAACAUGUAAACUAUACGAACUCAACCAAUUCAACUUUAGGCGAUUCAACACCAAACAAGGAACUUGUUACAUAUAAUACAUUCAUAUGAUUUAAUCCAAUGGCUUGAAACUUUGGGAUGGGAUAGUUGAUUUGUGACAUGUUACCAAAGCCUCUAUGAUCAAUUGACCAUGCAAUCUAGAAGUUGAUCCUUCUUACUCCCAUUCUUCUAAAUUAAUAUUUAAGGUUCAACAUGUGCAUUGUUUAUGCUUCGAAAGGGCUCUUGCAGUAAAAGGCAUAUUAGAUAUAAAUCAUUCAUGUUCAAGAAGGUGCAGUAUAAUCACCAUAGAAGAAGGUAAUUUAAGCUUAUUUGGGAGCACUCACAACUGGGAUCCAGACAUUGAUCCAAUAAUGCAGAAAGUAUCAUAGAAUCCAGCCCACCAGAGAAAAGAACUGCAACAGGAACAAAUUUCUCUUGUCUGAUACCACAUAUCGCUGCCUAUGCAAUCAAAUUCAAAGAGUUCAAUCACGAGUUAUGACAAAUAUAAAUGACAUUGACUGAAGGAAAACAAGAUCAAGUCUACAAUAAAUACAAAUGUCAUUAAAGCCUCUAAGGUAAUGCCAUCCAAGAAUAAAAAUGUUGACUAGAAAAGAAUUGAUGAAGAUUUAGAAAACAUAUAAUGGAAAUCCAAAUUCAAUUAUUAGAAUUUCUAAAUAUGCCAAACACAAAAAAUUGGUGGAGAGAUGAAGUAGUUGCAAUUUGCAUAAGGGAAAUACAGGUUAUAAUAAUUUGUGUCAGAACUUAGCAUCGUGGCAGACUAGAAAUAUUUAGUUCAGCGUGAAUGCGCAUGAUUCUAGUAACAAAAAUUCUGGAAGUUUUCCAAUAUUCACUUUUUUGUUUUUAAAAAUUUCAAGAAAUACGUUCGUUAAAAUAUUUGCUACAUUGCUUAAAAAAAAAAUGCUAGAUAAAUAAAAAAUAAGCUGAGUUAAAACAUGCGAAUUGUUAGAGAAUACAAAUAUCAUUCACCUUUAUCACUUUAUCUUAAGAUUUUAUUUUUUUAGUUUUUAUAGAAAUACAAACAACGAUAGCCAUGACACAACAAUUGAAGUUGCUGUCGAUUGACUAAAAGGUCACAGAUUCACAAGUUUGAGUUGUGAAAUCACGAAGCUGAUAAAGAUUUUAAUGUAAGACACGAAUCUCGAAUUAUUCAUCACAACUAUUUGACAUCCCCAAAGUUGAAAAAUCCUAUCAACAUCAUACAAACUGAUGACAACACAUAAAGGAAUGUCAAAAGGGUGGGGAUAAAAAAUUAAGAGAGUAUUGUGAGUUGUAACAAUAAUAAACAUCACAUAAAAAUAAAUUUAUGCACACAUUAUGUGAAAAAAUAAAUAAAUAUAACAUAUACAGAACUUAAAUAUACACAUAUAAAAGUUAUUUUAAAUAAAUUGUUCGGGGAUGGAGUCUCCACGGGGUGGGGGAUAAAAUUCUAUCCACAUCCCCAAACACCAUUUACAGAUCAAAUUGACAUCGUAUUGUUAGCCAAACAUCAUAAGAGGUAUAAAUAGCUUUAUCAUCUGGUUUCAAUUAAGUUGCAUACCCGAUAAAUAGUAUACAAUGACGUACGCCGUAUCACAGAUUCCUUUAAAAGAUUUAGCAACAUAUGAGCUUGCAUUGGAAUUUCAGGUUGAAUGGAGCCUGCUAAAUCAAGACAGAGAUUGUCAUAGCCUCUAAAAACUUAAUAGUUACAACAGAAUUGCCAAAUAGUGGUAAACACACUAGAAUGUAUGGGAAUGGAAAUUAAGUAUUUUAAUAAAUAAAUAAAUAAAUGGAGAAUUAUGGCACUAUCAUGGUAAUCACCUGCUUCGUGUGGAACUAAAUCUAAAGAAAUUGAAUGUAGAUCUUGUUCCAUCCUAGAAAGCUUAUGCUGAGAUGUCUGCUGGUUUUCAGAGCUUGGUUCAAUUGAAUUUCUCUCCCACUUGAUAAGUUCAUUUAAUAUUGAGUUUGUAUAUUCAUGUAUCUGGACUUCUCCAACCAGAGAUCCGUUUGAAUUUGAAGUAUCCUCUUGCAUACUAUAUAUUCCACAUGGUAACUCUUCCCAGUAACUAAGAGGUUCUACGCCAAUAUGAGAUUCUUUUUCUGCAGCAAAUUAAUAUUAGUGAGUCCAGUGAUAAGUAGAAGGUAAGAGAGGUAGGCUAUACUAUAAAUAAGUGAGUGAGUUAGAUUUGAAUUAUUUGUGAUUAAGAUGGUAAGAGAGGUAGGCUAUACUAUAAAUAAGUAGAAGGGAUUGAGGAAGAGUGUCAAGUGAUUUGAGAAAGUGUUGAGGCCUUAGGAACGGAAUGAGCCACAUUGUUGUUCUGUAAUCAGGGAACUUCCUUAUUUUUUUUAUUUUUUUUAUCUAAGGGAACUUCCUUAUUAUUAUUAUUUUAAUAAGAUACGAUACCAAGUUCCAAUCAACUAGUAGCAGAGCUAUGACAAUACUGCAUUUUGUCCAAAAUUUGACAGAGAGAAAGCUUAUUAGUGGCUAUUCAAUGCAAAAUUUUGAGGCCAAUAAAAUUGUUGAGAUAAGCAGCAGCAAAUAAGGAGGCAUGAAAUCUCCUACAAACAGUCAUACACUUUGUUGUUGUUUCAUAAUGACAUAUCCACCAAUGUUAAAUGAUACUGAGUGCAUACUGCAUAGUUUACCGUACAUUCUGACUAUCACUAAAUGAGAAUAACUAUAGGUUAUUUUUACGAAGUGCCAAUAGGUUCUAUUUAGGUCACUCUAUUUCACAUAAAUUGAACCAUAAGAGCAAGACAACAGCAGUUUUUCUGUUCCAAUCCCAUGUAUUACAUACCAGAGGCUUGUCGAUCUGGAGAAACUGGCGAUACAGAAGAAAGAAGAAAAGUUGAAUCGUCUUUUGUAGGCCAGUGAACAAGAAGGCUCCUCCUUCCAAAUGCAUCUCGGCCAAACCAAAGGGUCCUUGAACUAUCCUGCAAUAAAAGAAUGUGCACUGCCACCUAUGACCCCACAACCACAAGAAUAUACACUGCUUUAAAAUUUGUACAGACAGAAACUUACCACUUUUAGUUACCUGCCAAUAAACGAUAGCCCAUGGUCCCUUAAUUGUAGAAAGAACAUCUGUGACGGAACCUUUCCCACAUUUAACACAGAAACCAGUCAAAAAAGAGCCACAGGAGCAACAAUUUCCGAGCGUCUGCAUGAGAAAUUCGGCAUCAUUGCAAUCAGUAGCAAGUUGAAGUCCUCCAAAAAUCUCACCUAAAGAGCAUGACAAAAAAUUAAAAUUUAAAACAUCUUAUUGCAAACCAUUCACUAAGAGAUAGACAUUCCACGAAUUAAGUUGAAGUCCUCUCUGAACCCUGUUUUUCAUUCAUUCUGACCCUGUUUUUUUUUGUUCACCUCUCUUACUUCACUUUCCUUCACUCUGUUUUUUCACCACACUCUGUUUUUCAUUCUUUUUUCAACUGUGACUGUAAUGGCCUUUUUUUUGAGUUAUUUUAUGAACUUAGUAUUUGGUUGUUAUGAGCUUAUGAAAUAUUAAUUAAUGUUGUGAUUUGUAAGUUAUUUUGUUCAUGUAUUAUAAUUUUUGUAUUCGUGUGUAUAUAUCUAUAUGUGAAGUUACAAUUUUUGCCCUUGAGUAGGAUCUUACAAAUCGUGCCAUGACCCUCGUGCUUAGAUCCUUCACCAGCCUACCGAUCCUGUUUAGAAACUCGAUUAUGAAUACAUUGCUCACGACGAACAUGAUAUCAUGGCAAAAACAAGAGAGGCCCAAUUUAGAUAAACAGCUUAUAGCAUAAUCGCUUAUCAUGAUUAGCGCUUAUCUAGAAAAUUCCGAUACUCUAAAAUUGCAAGUAUCGCGUCAGAUACUGUAUACUACAAUGAUAUGUGUCAGAUACUUCCCGAUACGUAUCAGAGAAGUAUCCAGUGAUUAAAUUUUAUUUUUUUACUAGAAAAAUAUCAGACACAUUUGCGAUACUUCCUAAUAAGUAUCGGAGAAGUAUCUAGUGAUUAAAUUUUAUUUUUUUAAUACAAAAAUAUCAGUCACAUUUCCGAUACGUUGUUUCUUGAUGAUGGGAAUGGAGGAGAGGAGACUAAAACAAUUGAUGUUAACCCUUAAGUAGUGAAUAUUAGAUUAUGAUAUUCUUUUUAUAUAGUAUUGAUGAUGUCUUUUAAGAUAUGUAAUUCACUUGAUUAGAUAAUUUUAGUAAUGUGAAUGUUUAUUUUAUCAUCAAUUUUAGUUUUUUUUUUUAAUGCAUAUUAUCAAUUUUAGUUAAGUUUAUAUAUUUUGCAUUAUAUAUUUAAUUUUAAAUUAAUUUUUUUUUAUUAAAGUAUCUUUGCCUCAUCGUAUCUUAAAUUUUAAAAAUUUCCCAUCGCCGUAUCGUAUCUGUAUCAAGUAUCUGGGCUGCUUGGCCGCUUAUCUAUAAGCUAUUUCUAUAACAAAAGAUAAAUCAAAUUGUUUUCAUAUAAGUUAUAAGCUACUUUCAUAUUCAUAAGCUAUCUUAGAGAAUUUUAUGAAAAUAACCUAAAAACAGCUUUUGAACAAGUGACAAGUUGUUUUCAUAAUUUCUCCCAAACAGUUUCACAAAUGUUUAUGCCAAUACAUAAACUUAAAUAAGUCAAUCCAAAUAAGCCAAAAUAUUCUACAAUCAGACAAAGUAGCAGAAAGUACCGUUAUAAAGAAGAAUGUUUCGAGAAGCAUCCACUAAAGGUUGAACAAGAGGAAGAGUUCCUCUAAGCUGCAAAGUUGCACCAAUGAAACAAAGUUCACCGUUACCAUCAUUGUGUGGAAAAUUAAUUUUCUUUACACCCAAACUAUCAGGACCUCUUCUCCGCAGAGCUUCUUUCAGGUCAUCUAAAGAAAUCACCAACUGCACAAAAUCAUACGAUAAAAAAAGAAUGGUGUUAAUUGUUUUUCGUAACAAGUUGUAAUAAGGUUAGUGAUUUUGAAUUAGAAUUUGGUGGUUACAUUUUCGGAUUGGCGAUUUGGGGAAGCUGAAUCGAAUGGAAGAGAUGAGAUGUUGAUUCGAAUGCCUGAGACUGUCAACGCAAUUCCACACAUUUUUCUUUCUGCUUCUGUUCUGGGGAAUGUGGUUUUUUUUUGUAGGGUUUUUGAUGGUUAACUCAGUUUGGUUCUGCUUGUAUUCAUAUUUUAAUUUUAAUUUAAUUUACAAUUUUAUUGUCUUCCGAACAAGGUUGCUUCCGUAGCAUAGUGGUAGUGCGUUCGCUUCGUAAGCGAAAGGUCGCGAGUUCGAUCCUCGCCGGGAGCUAUAUUGUUUUAGGUUAUGUUUGAAUAUGAAAUGUGUUGUUAAAUUUUAAGCUUAAUUUUUUUUUUUGAAGACAGGCUUAAAUGUUAUGUAGCCCUAUUAUUUUGAUUGAAUUUGGAUUUAACCACCUAUUUUUAAAAAUGUAAUAAUAUAAAUUAAAGUAGCACAAAUAAGUUUAUUUUUAAGACAAAAUAAGUUAUAAAAAUAUAAAAAUUAAAUAAAAACAAAUAUGCCCUCCAUUUCUUGUUAAAUGUCGUUUUUGAAGAAUUUUUUUGUUGUCUCGUGAAUUUAGCUCAGUGGGCAAGGACUCGAACCCCAUCAUUCCACUUAUUCACUUUAAGGGUGAAAUUUCUAGCCUAACUUUCUCGAUAACUCGACUUCACAUUUUUCGUAAAAUUUAAUGGAGAGUGGAAUAGUGUAUAUGCUAAAUUUAUUUUGAAAAAGAAAAUGAGAGUGUAUAUUAAUCUUGUCGUCAUUUGAUUAUCUCUGUGUUUAAUUUUUUUUAGGCUUAAUUGCAGUUUUGAUCCCCUAUUUUCACUAUUUUGCAGAUUUAGUCCCCCUAUUUUAAAAUGUGACAGUUUUGGUCCCCCUAUCAUAAUUUUUAACUAUAAAUUGGCGAUGUGAUAUGUUUUAAACGACGUGACAUAUGAUAUGAUGAUGAGAAAAUAUCAACAUCGAUGAAAUUGCAAGAUAAAUCCUUCAUAAAGUUAAUUUAAAACAUGUUGUAUCACCAUAUUUUAGACCAAAAUUGGUGAAUUUUAAAAUAGGGGAACCAAUUCUGCAAAAUGGUGAAAACACGGGGACAAAAACUGCAAUUAAGCCUAUUUUUUUACGAAUUGGCGAAUUUAUGAAUUGUUUUUGAGUCGAUUGAUUACUAACCAUAACCAUUGAAACUUAAAUAUGAGAUCAUUGUUCAGUCAAUAAGUGUUUUAGACAUAUCGAAUUAUUGUACUGUGAUAAAGAUAAUUAAUGUGCUAUCAAACUUUAUAUGAUUUUGAAUUCGCCUAAGACAUUAGUGUAUUAUUAUGAUAGAAAAAAGUUUUUAUUGGUCUGAACUAUUUUGUUAAUUCAUCGUAACAACAAGAGUAAAAUUAUAAUCUAAGGCUGAUUUUACCAAAUUGUGAAUAGGAAAUGAUUCCAAGAACCUGUUCAUCUAUAAUCUAUUUGAAAAUCACCAAUAUUUACUAANNNNNNNNNNNNNNNNNNNNNNNNNNNUACUUAUAAACCAUCAACUUUUUGAAAAAAAAAAAAAGUAAAAUUGUAAUCUAAGGCUGAUUUUACCAAAUUGUGAAUAGGAAAUGAUUCCAAGAACCUGUUCAUCUAUAAUCUAUUUGAAAAUCACCAAUAUUUACUAAUUUGUUUGAUAACCAAAACUUAUGCCAAGCAUACCUCCUGAUUUACAACCUUGAACACGAUACAAUUGUUUUGUCAAAAUUAAAUAAUUCUUAUGAAUACAAAUUUAUUUAUUAUUUAACGAUAGUAUAGUUUAGUUGACUUACUAAAUUGUCCUUAACCACCCAAUUGAAAAGUUCUAGCUAGUGGGAGACAUGUUUAUAUAUAGGAGAAUGUUAACAUGUACACUAAAAGCACAUGUUAAGGAAGCAAAAAUAGAAAGUAUUAAAUGUUGAAGCAUUAAAUUUUAACUUUUCAAGCAUUAAAUUUUUGUAUCAUUAAAAGUUAAAUUUUUAUAUUAAGGUACCUUAACAUGUGCCCUAUAUGCACAUGUUAACAAUACUCUUAUAUAUAUUGCAAAGAGGAGUGCUAGCAACACACUCUUUAACAAACACACUCUAUUCUAUUGGUUAAAAUUUAUAUGAGUCUCAUAAAAGUUAUAUGGGUCCACAUUUUUUUAUGGAACUCAUGUGAAUUUCAACCAAUAAAAAAAAGUGUGUUGAAGUAUGUUCGUUAAAGAGUGUGUUGCUAACAUUAUUCAUAUUGCAAAAUCACUUUAAUUAAUUAUGCUUUCUAGUGGGAGACAUCUUUCUUUAGAUGGAAAAUAUCACGUUAAUUAAAUUAUCUUUCUUUAAAGUUCAAAUUGAAUUAUACUAGUAGAUUACCAUGGUCCCCUCAUCUUUAAAUCUUGAGAGUUUAAUAAAAAUAUAAUUUAAAUCAUAAAAUAAGAUAUUGAAGGCACUAGUAUCUAAUUGAGAGGGGAAAUCUCAACUUGUGUACUCCACGGAUUUCUCGAUAAAAUUUAGUAAUCACUAGCUGCGGUGAAAAUGUGCGACGAUAGUUAAAGGAACACGUUUGCCGACAGUUAGAAGCAAAUACUGUUUCAAGUUUCAACAGAACACGUAUUCCCCACUCUAUUGUAUUAUUUAUGUCUGAAUCGAUAAGGUAGACCCACAUUAAAAUCUUCAACCACAAUUUUCAUAGAUAUUUUACAUUAUAAAAAUCACCACUAAGAUUAUAAAUAAUUGAAUCGAACAACCCUGUUCAAUCAUCUCAUAACUUAAAAAAAAAACAUCAACAAAAAAACAAUGGCAGCAAGCGGAGAAGAGAAGAAGAUUUCAACAAGUGAGCUUGCAGCAAGUGCAAAGAUUGUAGCAGAAGCAGCACAAUCAGGUUUCGGGAAAGAUGUUGACAAAGACAAGACAGCAGAGGCUGCAGGUGAUCUUCUAGAUGCAGUUGGUCAGUAUGCUAAAUUGGAUGAUCAGAAGGGAUUAGGACAGUAUGUUGAUAAGGCUGCUGAUUAUCUGCAUAAAUAUGAGGGUGAUACUCCACCAGCUUCCAAACCAGAUAAGCCCAAAGUUGAUGCUGCUGCUGCUAAGUCUGAAGAUGGAGGGUCAGGUGGUGGACUAGGUGGAGAUUUUGCCAAGGUUGCUGGAGGUUUCUUUAAAUGAAAAUUAUUAACUGAUUUGGAUUUAGCUUGUUAAUUGUGUCUUGAUUAUUAUCACUUUAUGUAUUGUUUUUAUCUUAUCUUAUAAUGAAUAUAGGAUAGGAUAGGAUAUGUAUGAUGUAGUAUUGUGUUGUGUGAUGAUGGAUAUGUAUUGCACCGUAGCAGAGUUGUGUUGUCCACUUUUGAACCAAGAGAUCUCAUGCCCCUGUUUGUUCAUGUUUUUAUUCCCAAUUCAGAUGCUAUAUACAUGUUGUGAAUUUUAUGUAGAAAUCAUCACAAGAUAGAAUUAUUGUUAAUGAUUGAACAAAGAUUGAGGUAAGAAUUAAGAUCAAAACAAGAAUUUGGGUAUUUCAGCUUUGAGUAAGAAACUCUUGAGCUUUCAUCCACUUUUAUUUCAGCUUUAUGUAAGAAAUUCUUAAGCUUUUAUUUAGUAGGAAUAUCGCACUAUAUGCAGGAAUCUGGGACACUCUACUUAUUCAUCUUUAAGGUGGAUUUUCUAGCCACUAGACUACUUGACAAAAAAAUAGUAAUUGACAUUAUAAUUAACUCUCUCAACUAGAAAAUAGUUAGUUAUAAACUAACUAACUAACUAACUAAAAUUAAGUUAAUAAUUGAAGUUCAAUAUGCCACAAAUAUCCACACUAGUACAAAAACAUAGAGUUACGAUAGAAAUUACACAACUUCCAUCAAAGGACUCCUUGUAACUCCAAGGCAAAGUGGACAACUCGUACCUACCCAUGGCAAGUAGCCACAAAAACUAAUAGAAAUAGUAAACUAAACUAAGAAGAAGAGAAAAUGAACAAAGAAACUUUAUUUAUAAUUGUAAACUAUUUGCAAGAGUGGAACUUAAUACUACAAGAGAGUUGAUAUCCUAUCCUAUUUAUAGUCUAAAGGACUUAAAUUUUAUACUCCUUAUCCUUAAUGGCUAUUGGAGUUUCAUUACAUAUAAUGAGUAUUAAAAAGAAAAAUAAAAGGUCAAAAACUGAUUUUUCACUUUAAAUAUGGAGGGAAGUUAACUAAAGUGGUUAUACAAUCUAUCAAUAUUUCACAAAUAUUUUACAUAAGAAUAUAACAUGAUUAUAUUAACACAAGUGGUUACAAAAUAAUAAUACUACAUCCGGUCCUAUAUAUAAGAAGAUGUUGACUUUUUAAAUACAUUGUAGAAUUGAUGUAUUUAGACUAUAAUAACGUAUCUAGACAAUAUUAUAGUCUAGAUAUAUCAAUUAUACAAUGUAUUUAAAAAGUCAAUAUUUUAUAUAUAAGACCAGAGAGAGUAUGAAACUUAAUAUUCAUCAAUGAUAUAUUUUUAUCAAGAUUUCAGUUUCAUAAUUAACUACGUAUUCUCCAUUUAGAAUUAUGAAAAUUAUUACAUUUUUACUUAAUAGUUUUAUAAAACAAAAUCCCUUUAUCACAAAUAAAACUCCCAAAAUAAUUUUUAUAAUCAAAGUAACCUUCACAAAAAUAUUUGAUGAUUAUAUAAAAUAAAUGAAAUUAUUUGUUUACUUAUUUUCAUUAUUUUCUUUUCCUUUCAGUUUCUUUCUAAUCCAAACAAAAUACUAGUAUUUAGUUAAACCACUAUGAUUGUUCCAGUGGUAAGUGAUUUAUGUAGUAUACAUGAGAUUCUAAGUUCAAUGUCAUGGACAACAUCGUAAAUAAAAAAAAAAGUUUAGUUGUAUUUUUAAUUUUGAGAUAAUCUAUUACCAAAAUGAGAAAAUUAAAAGAGUGGUAGUGAACACUGUUUGCUGCCGACAUAAGAAGCAAAAAGUGUUUCAAAGGAUACGUAUAAGAUACGUAUUCCCUAGGACUGUAUAUUAUUCGUGUCUGAAACGAUAGGGUAGAGGUAGACCCACAUUAACCUUCAACCACAAUUUCCAUAGAUAUUUUUCCUUUGCCUAAAAUCAAACCUCACCUUCAGAUUAUUAUAUAUAAGUCUAACACUUGCAGAACCUAUUGUUAUUCAUUACUUAAAAAAACACAGCAAAGAAAUUACAAUGGCAGGUAGCGGAGAAAAGUUUAGGGCAAAGGUGGCAACAGAGUCAGCACAGAAAAGUUUAGGGCAACAAGGUGAGAAGGUGACAACUGCUGCAGGGGAAGUUAAGNNNNNCUGCUGAUCAUGUUCAUUCCAAACCAGAGGAGCCCCCCAAAGCAAAAGAAGAAGAAGGUGUGAUUGGUAGUAUCAAAAAGACUGUUGGAGACUUAUUUAAAUAAACAACAUUUAUCACUCAUCAUCAUUUAAUUAGGAUAUCUUAAGGUGAUUAAUUAAUAAUUAAGGACACUAAAUUUGCCACCAUCCCUUUUAAGAUUGUUGUGUAUGUUGUUAACUCAUCCCUUAAAGCAGUACUAAGUUACCACUGUCUGAUAAUGGAUCGAAUAUGUAAGGUAAGGUUCCACUUUUCAGUUUGAACCAACAUCCAGCCCUGUUUGUUUCUGGUUUUAUUCCUAAUUCUAUUGCAUAUAUUUUAUUGGAAAAUGUUUCUUUGACACUAUAUCCAUUCAAAAUUUAAGAGAUAAAAAACCAAUAGAGAUACUAAUAUGGUGUUGAUGUCAUCAAGGUUUUUUAAAUUGCAGUCUGCAUCCGCAAUUGCAGAUGUAGUAUUGCUAAUACAGUAGCCUCGUAAUUUUAAUUCACGUUUACGGCCGUAACGUAACUGAAUCAAACGAUUUCGUUCAUGUUUGUUCGAAUUUUCUCACCGAAAAACAAAAUUUAUGAACCUCAAAUACUAAUCUGCAACAAAUCUAAUAAAAAAUUUACUUUUAACAAUCUCUUAACCGUAUAUUUUAAGUAUAUUCGAAUCAAUGUUAUGGAAUAAACUAAGACUCUAUAAUUGUGGAUAAAUAGUAUAGUGACAUAGUGGUCUUAUUUUAUAUAAUACGUGAAAUUUCAAAAUUAUUACACGCCGGAACAAUCGCAUCGUGUGUUGCAGCAACCACAAUGAAAAACCAUGGAUGUGAUAGGAAGAGAUAUUGAGAAAAUUANNNNNAAAUCAUGUCCUUGGCCAAGGAAUUUGAAGACUGAUUCUUAACAUCCUUGAGGAAAAUCUUUCACUGCCAUAUUGAUCUUGCAAGUAGAAAGAAAGAAGACUGCUAGCAAAAGAAUAAAAGUGGAACAAAGAAGCAAAUUAAAGUUAUUGUUAAGAAGAUGUAAGUGAUUGUUAGGCGUUAGGACCCAAUAGGAGGUGCUCAAGAAAUUAUAGGGUGUCUAAGUAAUAGAUAUUAUAUUAGUAAUAUAUGAUAAAUAUUAUUCAAUAAUUUUUUUGUCAAGUAAUUUAGUAAUUAAAAAUUCAGCUUUAAGGUAGAUAAGUAGGGUGUCUAAGAUAACUCAGCAUAGACAUAUAUAAUGUAAAUUCCUAUUAAUUCAAUAGUAUCUCUUUAAUUAUUGGAAUAUUUUAUUAGUAGGAUAUAAUAAAGAUAUUAUCUUAUUCUAUUUGUUUGGUAGUGUAUUAGAAUAAUAUCUUCUUAGCAAAGAUAUUAUUUAAUUUUAUUUUCUUAGUAGUCAUUAAAAAUAUGGUUUAGGGUCUGAGAGGUAGGAAUGAGAAUAGUUUUUAUUUUAGGGAUAUAGUAAGAUUCCUCUCUGAGUUGUGUUAGAGUUUUGCUUUGGAGUAGUUAUAGAAAGUAUAACUAGUAACUACUAUUACAAUUAUAUUAUGAAUAAAAUACUGUUCUAUAGGCUUGAACUUCAUUUAUGUAAUCAACUUACUUACAAGCAAUUUGUAACACAAAACUUUGUAAUUCAAAGUAUCAAACGGUGUUCGAAUACUUAAGGGACUAAGGUUAUUCAGCUGUCUUGAGAAGUUGAUUAGUGACCGCUGUUAUUGAGUUGUAAUCAAGAUUAUUAAUUAGUGGAUUAAGCCCUUGGUGAUAAGGGAAACUCACUCUCAUGAGUGGAUUGGAGUAGUUUCGGGAAACCAAUAUUAAAAUCCCUCUUUCUUUUGUUGUUCUUGUUUAUUCUGGUCUUUAUAGUCGUAAAAAGUCUUUUAAACUAGAAACUCAAUUCAAACUGCCUCUUUUUUUAUUUGGCGUUCCUUGUACUUUUUUCUUCUUCUUACUAUUAAUAUUAUUACGAGCAACCCACUUGGGAUUGGUCGAGUGGUGUUGGCUUGAGCCAUUGAAGUGUGACAUUAAUUUUUCGCCAUUUAUCAUUUUCAAUCUAAUACUGUAAUUUACAUCUGUAAAUCCUUCAUUCGCAUAAGUCUCAUAUAACACUUCAUUUUUCUUUAAAAAAUUGAAACACCUCCAACAAUAAAUUGAUAAAAUUAACAAAUAUGUUAUAUUCUUUAAACUUAUGAUUAUAUAAGAAACAAAUUAUAAAGGGUACAAUAGGCCUCACCUUAUAAGUUUACUUUUUGAUUUCUUGAUUGAAUUGAAAGAGGAGAAUCUAUUUGUAUAUCCAACAGAUUUACAGUGGUAAAAACUUUAUUGUUAUAUCAUAGUAACUAAAAAAAAAAAAAAUAAUAAAAACAGUUGUUUUUUAAAGGAAUAGUGGUUUGCCGACAUCAAAAAUUAAACAGUGAUUCAAAGGACACGUAUUCCCUAUUGUAUUAUUUAUUUAUUUAUAAUAUGAGGUCGAUAAGUAGAUCCACAUUAAAAUCUUGAACCACAAUUUCCAUAGAUAUUUUAUCUUGCAACUCCCUCGUAUUAUAUAAAUAACAGAACAACCCUAUUGAAGUCUUACAAAAAAAAGAAGCUAUCAUCAUUCAUUGGUUAAAAACAAUUAACAAAGAAACAAUGGCAUCAACUGGACCUAAUGAUUUUUUAGCCAGUGCAAAGGGGGCAGCAGCAUCAGCACAGACAACUUUGGGGCAACAAGGUGAAAAGGUAGGAGCUGCUGCAGCUGGUGUUCAGAAGACUGUUGGAGAGUAUGUUACCAAGGCUACUGAUUAUGUUCAGGGCAAACCAGAGGAGCCUCCUAAAUCCGAAGAAGGUGUCAUUGGUGGUGCUAAAAAGACUGUUGGAGGCUUAUUCAAAUGAAAUAAAUACUCUCACUCAUUUAGCAUCUUGUGAUUAAUUAAUUCAUUAAUAAGGACAUUAAACUUGCCAUAUCCCUUUAAGUAUUCAUUGUUCUGUUGUGUAUCUUAUCAUAUAGUAUAGUAAUUUCCUAUAGGAUAGGAUAUAUGCAAUCUGUUAGCACUGUGUUGUAAUGGAUCGACUAUGUUAUGUAAGUAAGGUAACAGAGUUCUGCUCUCCACUUUACUGAUCCUUCCCCUGUUUGUUUCUGUUUUGCUUAAUUCUGUUUCAUAUAUUAUUAUUCAAUUUUGUUUCCUUUUGUUCUCUUCUGGUUAGUGUGCUCUUUCAACAUGUUUUAAUUAAAUUUACAAAUUACUGGAGAGAAAUAUAACAAGUCCUCAAAUCCUAAGUGGAUGGAUGGAGUUAUGGACAAAAAUUUCAAAAUUAUUAGGUCGGAUAUCAUUAUUCUCCACUUUUUACAUGUGAGUUUUUAUUGAUUUGUCAUUUUGUUUAUCAAUAGUAAGAAAGAAAAAAAUAACAUAUAAUAAAAAAAAUGGAUUAAAUAUAUUUUUAGUGUUUACAAAUAGGGGUGUGCAAAUAAAUUGGUUCCUGUGAACCAAAUUAGUAACCAAAUAAUACCAGUUUUUAAAAGCCCAGUUUAAAGAUGGAAAAAAAAAACCAAUAACCAAAUUUGUAACUAAAAAAAAUGGAAACCAAACUUAAUUAUAUGGAUCAGGGGUAUCCACAAUUUCCACACCUCCCUAAAUCAAUUUUCACCAACUUUAAUAAUUUGAAUAAUAAAUAAAUUUAUUUAAUAAAUAUAUAAAAUAGGUGGUGGUGCUGGCCCGUCAACGGUCUGGUGAACGCCGGAGCUCCGGCGCCGACANNNNNNNNNNNNNNNNNNNNNNNNNNNNNNNNNNNNNNNNNNNNNNNNCGGUGGUGGCCGGCGGAGCUCCGACAGUCGGCCACCCCCUCCCACCCCUAUUUUUAUUUAAUUUAAUAAUAAAUAUAAUAUAUAUAUAUAUAUAUAUAUAUUUAAACUAUUAUUUACGUACCAAAAAAAAACUAGUAUUAUUUAAUUAUUUUAAUAAAAUCUGUUUUUUUUCCUACCCAGAAAAAUAAAUAAAAUCUGUUUUUUUUUUUUGAAAAAUAUGUAUUUUAAUUUUGUUUUAUAAAAAAUCUGAUUUUUUUAUAUAAAUAAAAUCAGUAUUUUAUUUCAAUUUUUUUUUAAAAAAUUACUCAUAUUUUAAAUAAUAAAAAAUGGUUUUAAAAUAAUUUAAAAGAAAAUUAUUUACAAAAAUAAUAGUAAUAAGUAGUAACUUUAUGUAAAGAAAAUAAAUUUUAUUAUCAUAAAAAAAUUCAUUUAUAUGGUUUAAAAUAAUUAUAAUCAUAUUUUAUUUAUUAUAUAUCAUUGUAUCCAUUUUAGAAUAAAUUUAAUUCAUUAAAAUUUACAAAAAUAAAUAUGUGACCCUUUGAAUUUUAUAAAAUAGUCCUUAGUUGAUUAGAUUGGAUUCAUCCAUUAUUAUCUAUUUUAUAAAAAAUUUGGAUAGAUUUUAUAAUUGGUUUUAGAACCAGUUUUAAUAAUAACCGAUUUUUAUUAUAAACUAAUUUCUGAACCAGUUUGAACUGAACCAGUUUUUUUGGUUUUAGAUGAAAGUGGUUUGGUUCAGUUCAUAAACCACAAAUUUUGUUCUAAUCUGGUUCGGUUCAUAACCAUCCCCUACUUACAAAAUCACAUUUGCAUUUUAUAGAGUCUAGUUUGAAGACUAAAAAAAUUCAUUUUCUUUUUUUUUUAAAAAAAAAAUAGCGACUAUUCUUACAAACUACAAUAUUAUGAAGGAUUAAAAUUUAAUAGGGACUUCCUUGAGUAAUAGGUCCAGAAUAAAUUUUAGAUUUAGCAGUGUUAAUAACUUGGCCAGAUUGAAAGACAUAGUUGGUGAAUAAUUCUUUGAGAGAUGUGAUCCUAGCUAACUUGCCUUUGCAGAAAAUCAUUAAGUCAUCAACAUAAAAGGUAUGGGAAGGAACAUUGAUGUUUCUUGUGCCCUUGAUAAGAUCCAACUUACGCUCAGUUACAAGUUUUGCAAUACUUCUACUCAAUGCAUCUUCAGCUAAGCAGAAAAGAAUUAAAAUAGCCCUCAGAUUUUCCAUUAAUAGAGAUAGACAAAAAUGCAAAUUUAAGAAUAACAUGGAUCCAAUUGCAAAAAACUUCAUUGAAACCAAAGCUGCUAAGAACCUUUAGCAAGAAAGACCAUUCUAAAGUGUCAAAAAGGCUUUAGAAAUGUGAAUUUUUAAAGCCAAGUUACCACCAAAGGGCUAAUUGUGUAGUAAAUUGACAGCUUAUGAGGCAAUACAUAAACAAUCCUUAAUAUUUCUGUGAUGAAUAGAUCCCAUUUAUUCCUCAAAAAUGAUGGAGGGCAUAAUCUUAGCUAACCAAUCAACAAUGAUUUUAGAUAACACUUUGAAUUUAAAGUUUGCCAUAGUUAUUGCUCUACAUAGAUCAAUUGAUGUAGCAUUUGAAAUCUUUGGAAGGAAAGCAAUGAUAUUUGAGUUAAAACCUAGCAAGAUCAAACUAGUGCUGAAGAAUUCCAAAACAGCAUUGACAACAUCUUGCCUGACAAUGUCCCAAUAGUGUUGAAAAAAGAAGGCUCCAAAACCUUCUGGCCUGGUGCAGUAUCUUUGUUAAGGGCAAAAACUGCAGCUUUGAUUUUUUGGUGAGAGGGCAACAAUGUAAUCAGAGCAUUGAUGUAAUCAGUGAUGAGCUUUGGGGUAACUUCAUCCGCAAGCAAUGGUUCCUGCAAAACAAUGUUAGUGCAAAAAAAAAAUUUGUAAAAGUUUACCACAUGAUGAGAUAUUUGGCUUUGGUUAAUGAGAACUUGUUCACCAUCUUGUAAGGAUGUAAUCAUUUUGGUUGAGGAUUUGAUUUUGGCUAUUAUGUGAAAAUAUUUGGUGUUCCUAUCUCGUUCUAAAUGCUAGUUCAAGUUAGCCUUUUUCUUUCCAAAAUAGUUCUUGUCUGUUCAGGGCAUUCUCAUAAUCAACAUGUGCAAGCUUCUCCUCUUCUAAUAAAGUCGCAGUUUGACCAUUAAUUUGGAUUUGGUGUUGGAUUAGUUGAUGUUUUUCUCAGCAGAAUUCACAUAAUCAUGUACAUUACCAAAUCAUUGUUUGUCCCAGCUCUUUAAAGACUCUUUCACAAGCUUCAACUUUUUGCUCAAAAUUGAUUGCAUACAACUCUAUCUAGUCUUAUCUCAGUGUGUUACCAUUGUCCCAAGUGAAUUCAGCUCCUGAGGUGGGUAAAUGAAUAAGGUUGAAAGCAUCAGUCCAGUUUUGGAAUCUACCAAAGGUAAUCUAGCAGGAGAGGUGCUACCUCUAUGUUCAUGCUACAUCCUGAUGGUGUUAAAGUCACCUAUAACAUCCCGAAUUUUGAUCCAGAAUAUUAUCUAAACUUUUGCUAUUGUUAUUUUUUUAUAUAAGAGGCUAGAAAUUCUAUUUAUCUUUUUAAUUCUAAUAAAAACUUGCGCAAGUGUAUAAAAGUAAAAUUGAAAGAUAAGGCUCAGUUUUUUGACAAUUUAUUGAGAUGCCAAAGAAAAGUUACAACACUGACUAUAGGAAUCCUGCAAAAUCUGUCGAACAUAUUAUAGAGUCUAUCAUUUGGGACCAACCUUUUGAAACCCAUCUAAACGGAACCCAUACGAUAUCGUCUAGGACGCACCAUAUUAAUCUGCAUCAGAUGGAAACACCAGCUUAGGAGACUUCUUGUCGCGGAGGCUUCUCAUGUAAGUUUUUGAUUCCGAACAUCAUAGUUCCCAUAUUCCUACUACAGAUAAUACCCUCCUUGCAACUCCAUUGGGACCGCUAGAUUCAUCUUAACUUAACGGCUCCCCUAUCUCUUUGCCGGUUGUUGCCAGUUGUCCCUGACGGUUAUAACCGUCUCUCUCCAUAUAAGAAUAAGACUUUAGUGCUAAGGUACACAAUUCAAUCACUUUUCACUUCACUUCUCCUUGAUCAUAUACUGACUUGAGCGUGGAGUGCUAACUUGUUUUGUAGGUACCUUUCCCCAUCGCAAAUCACCGUUCCUAAGGCCUAACGCCAUCGUAACCGCCUCGAGCUUCACCAUCGGAAUUAUCUACUUGUCUUCCAUUCAGAGCAUAGUAAAUCCCCAAGUUUAAUACGCAAAAGCAAAAAUAUAGAAUCAAAGAAAAUCAAAAUUAAGAAAAAUUAACAGAAUUAACUUUGUCAUAUGAUUAUUUUAUAAUUUCCACAUUUUGAGACUGAUGGAGUCUUAGAAAAUAAGAUAACCAACUGCAUUUUGUAUACUUGAACUAUACAUGUUCAUACUCAAACCAAAUAGUAUUAUGUACAUAUGUAUAUACAUUGGUGUUGUUCUAUCUUAGAAGCAGGAACAUGCCCCUGGAAGCUUGCCUGUUGUUCUAAUUGUGUUUGCCUUCUCUUUUGCUUUCAGCGUUUCAUUCUUUCUUCUAUCAUCUGAUUGUGCUCUUGCUCCAGCUGCAAUCUCAUCUAUAUAUUUUAUCUUAUCUUGAUAUUUCCUCCUAGCUUUCUCUCUUUUCCGCUCAUUUUCACUAUGCUGCAUUUUUCACAAAGUUACCACACUUUAUUAGAGGACUAAUAAGAAUAUGUUUCGAUUAGUUUAUUUGAAAUCAGGUUAACUUUAUUUUAUAUUUGUUAUAGGAAUAACUUAUGAAUAAAUAGUUAUUUGAUAAGCACAUAAUUAAGCUGAUUAUGCUAACUAACAUAGGCUAAUAUUUUAUUUUUAUCAAGUAGUCUAGAGGUCAGACUCGCACAUUUGAAAUGUGAAGAUAUAGAAAAUUCCGGGUUCCAACCCAGAUAGCCAACAACUGAGCUAUGGCCUAAAUAUGAAACACUACACAUCUUCGAUCUAAACAUUAAAACAUUCAAUAUGGUUCUAUUGAAUAGAAAAUGAAAGUCUUACCUCAUGCUUAUUAAGCUUGCGUCUUGCUUUCAUCUUCUUCCUCUUUUCCCAUGAAUCUAUUGUCUCUAACAACUUCUCAUACCUGAAAAAAUAAUUAUAUUUUCAUUGCAUUCAAUGCAUGAAACCAGAGAUUCACAACAUUCAUAUAUACUGUUAAUGAAAUAUAUAAUUAGUUGCCAUGCAUAUGUACCAACCUUUCUUUGAUCUUUAUGAGCUCUUCCCUUUCCCAAGAAUCUGCUUUUGUUUCUGUUGUACUUGGUCUAGUUGGUGGUCUGCUGUGGAUGAUUGAUAGUUGUGGUGCCGGUGGAGGUGGUGGAGGCGGCGGCGGCCUUAAUGACACGUUUGGAUCAUCAACUAGUGGAAGCAUUUUUGGUUUUGGAGUCUCAGGUUGUGUAUCAUCAUCAGCGUCGAAAAAAUGUUCAUCGGCAAAAGUUGGAGUCUUUUUAUGUUUUGGAAUAUCAGGUUUUUUAUCAUCAGUUCUCUUUGAUUUUUCACUAAAAGUUGGAGUCUUUUUCAUUGAUGGUGCUGGUGUGAAUGAGAUGGUGUUUUUAGGAAUCUUUUCUUCUCUAAUAGGUGAUGUUGUUGGAAAAUUGUUACCUUGUUCAUCUGUGAUUUUAAAUGAGCCUACACAUGAUGCAGAUUCAGUUCAUCAUAAUUUAAUUUUGUUAUUUUUCUCAUCAUGGUAUGAAUAAAUGAUAAAUAAUGACCACGAGCGGAGAUGAUUCAGGUCUCUUUGGGUUCAAAUUCAUCAGAGAGAGCUUUGUCACACAUUGUGGUUUAUCAGGUUCGAUGGAUUAGUCUUUACAGUUACGCAUAAUGGAUAUCUUUUUUUAAAUAAAGAAGAAAGAAAAAGAGAAAUAAUGUAUUUGCCUGGUAAUCUCUUGGAUGCAGCACCUAGCUGGGAAAAUGAAGAAUUUUUAUCAUAGACUUUUUUGCUUCUGCUCUUGGUCAAUGAGGUCUCAGGAAACUCACUCAUUUUCUUCUCAUGUGAAGUUUCUGAGACAUGUGAACUUAUUGCAAAUGCUGCAGCAGCUACAACUGUGGCAUGUUCCAUUUCUAUGUAAUCAUAAUCAUGACUCAUUUUCCUUGAAAUUUGUCUCUGAAACCAAUUAUGUGCCUUUUUCUUCUCUGUAAAAAUUUGGUCACAUGAAGGUGUUUGUCAGCUAAAUUAUUGCUUUAUUCAGUUUUCAGACAAAAACAAAACUAGAAAGACUAUUAAUGAUCUCAUCUUUGAGAAUCCAUUCAUUUUUAUAUUUAGUAUUUCAAUCUUAUUUUUCAAAUGUGUUUGGUCAAACAGAACAUUUUUUUAUCUUGUUUUGUCAAGUUUUGGGGGAAGUAACAUGUAAAAAAGUCAUUCAGUUUUUUCUUGCUUUUGACCCUAGACUUUGUUAAAGACAAUAACAUAUCAUAAAUACUCACCUUUGAAGGAUGAAGUUUUCUGUAUUGGUAUUUUCUGAUGAUCUCUGCUACCACCAAAAUCAGCUUUAUUCUCUUCUUCUGCACCAAUUAAUUUCUCUCUAACAAAAAUUUGUUUAGCAAUAAAAAAACAUAUUUGCAUAAAUAAAAAAAAAUAUUAUGAAGCUAUAAUUAUUAUUAUUUUUUUUUUGUUUUAUUUUCACCACCGGUAUCCGGCCUACUAGACCGCCUAAUCCGGUUCGGGGGUCAGUUAAGACAAUAAGUGGUUUUAGCCCCCUCCCGAUCGUAUUUGCAGGGGAUUGAACCAUGAUUCUCCCUACGAUGUCCAGCGUCAACUGGACCGACUAACGACGAGUAUUUAUGAAGCUAUUAUUGUUGUAUGGAUAUGAAUACCAAAUUAAAUGAGUGGUAAUUAUUUAUAAUAAAUGAUACAUAUACAUGACCAUCUUAAAUCUCUCCAGGGGUGAAAAGUAAAAAUGACUAACCUUAUUUGCUUAAUCCAAUUAUCCAUUCUAUACAGGAAGAAUUUUGUGCUUUAAUUAUUUAUGAGCAAUGUCUUGAUAUCCCUUGAUAAGUGGUAUGUGUUUAUAUUUGAAAGAGAAGAAACCAAGGAAAUAAGAUCCUUUUUGUAGAGUAUAGUCAUAGGCUGUUAUUGGGGACAAGCAAGGUUACAUAUACUUUGCAUGUGUUGUCUGGUUUGGAACUCAAGUGCCUUGUGGGGGAAGAUAAGUAUUCUUUUCUUCUUCAGAGAUAAUUACCAUCAGGCAUCAAGCAUAUUUUGAAUAUAUUUUCUAAUCCAGUUUUUUCUGAUGAGAAUUUUAAAACAUCAAAUUAAAUCUGCUAGGUAAAAAGGAUGUCAGAUUUUCUCUUAAAUUAGUGCAUCACUUUUAAAACAUUGAUUUACAUUAGCACGUGGAAAUUUCAUAUGGACUAAAUAGGCUGGACACUUUAUAAUUAUAAGCGAGAGGAAUGAUAAAUUUAAUAUACUGUAAUGUGUUUGGAUGUUUGGAUGGAGGAAUGUUUUGAGGUAAAAUAAUGUUUUGAGGGAAUUUAAAUUCUUUUGUCUAAAUACCAUUGUUUGGGUGAUUAAUUUGGAAAUUUGUUUAAAAUAAUGAGAUUCUAUUUUAUGAAUUAUUGUCCAAGGUAAAUUUAAGGAAUUUCAAAUGGCACCGAAAAGUUAGGAAUUUGAAAUUUCAAACUGACCCCUAUAAUAUUUUUAAAAUUACAAAUUGACACCUAAUUUUUUCAAAAACUGCAAAUUGAUCCCUAAAAAUUUGCAAAUUGGUCCUUUAAGAUUUUGAAAACUGGUCCUUAUUUUUCAAAUUUAUAACAGUGACCCAAGAUAUUCAAAAUGAAAAUUUCUAUUAUUCUAUCCAAACACACAUUUGAAAAUGAAAGUAAUUCAACUACAAAAAUUUAAAUAGCUUAGAAUUUCAAAUCCUCUAAAAUUUUUAAUUACUUCAUCCAAACACACUCUAAGAUUUUGGUUGAAUGUAUGAUGUCCAAGGUAACCGGCGGGGAGGGGGGGNNNNNNNNNNNNNNNNNNNNNNNNNNNNNNNNNNNNNNNNNNNNNNNNNNNNNNNNNNNNNNNNNNNNNNNNNNNNNNNNNNNNNNNNNNNNNNNNNNNNNNNNNNNNNNNNNNNNNNNNNNNNNNNNNNNNNNNNNNNAUAAAGUGUUUAACCUCAACUCCUCCAACCAAUGUGAGACUUAACUCACACUUGAUAGAUCUCAACAUCUCCCCUCAAGUGUGAGUCUCUCCGCAUCUGCGGUCCUUCACCACUUACUUGUUGCUCCCCGAAACCGGGCUCUAAUACCACUAUUGAGUCACAAGGGGGCAGUUGGGGGAUUAUUCACAUUGGGCUAAAAGCAAUUAUACAAGUGAGUUGAACACCACACUUUUACUCAAAACCUUAAGACAUUAGGUUUAUGGGUCUUCUCACCUAUAAAGUGUUCAACCUAAACUUUUCUAAGCAAUGUGGAAUUUAACUCACCUCACACUCACCACAACACUUUAUCACCACGAGAGAGCGAGAAACCUUCGUGACUUUUUUUAAUAUAAAAUUAUGUGCAAAAAGAAGGAUUGCAAACAUUUUAGGCUCUGUUCUCGAUUAUUAAGGUUUAAUCAAAGUUGAAUCAUUCUAGCAGUAUAUGAGUUUCAUUUUUGGUUGGGUGGAUGAAUGUUUUGGGAUAAAGUAGUUUAUCAUUCUUAUAGAGAAAUUAAUUAUUGUGCAGAUGCGUUAACUACUAUGACUUGAGAUGUAGGUUCUACUUUGAUUUUAUACGAGCAGUGCCCUGCUAAAAUUAGUUGUUUUUAUUUAGCAAACCUUGUUGGUCUUUCGAUUCCGUGACUUGUUAUGCGGUAGUUACUUUUUCUUUUGGGUUUCAACUUCUUCUAUUUACAUUUCCUUGUUUAUAUGAUUAAUUUAAAGAACUUUCAAAUUAAUAGGAAUUUAUUAUUUUUUCCAAAUUAAAUUUAAGCAAUUUUAAAUGACACUUAAAAGUUAGGAAUCUUUCUCUCAUAUGUUUCAAAAUUUUCAAAUUGACACCUAUAAACUUUUUAAAUUGUAAAUUGACCUUAAAAUUUUCAAAAUUGCAAAUUACCCCCUAAUGUUGUUCAAAUCGGUCUUUUAAAUUUUUGAAAAUUAGUCCCUAUUUUUCAAAUUUAAAAUUUGACAAAAAAAUUCAAAUUUUUAAAAAUGGCCCAAAAAAAUCACAAUGAAAUGUUUACUUUAUCGAAAAACACACGCACACACAUUUAAAGGUAAUUUAAUUAAAUUGUUCCGAAUUCUAAAUCCUUUAAAAAAAAUUAUUAAAAAAUAUAUGUAUCAUGAUAACUAGUGUGUCCUCCGGACACUAAUUAAUGAACUAAAAAUAUUUAUAUUUAAGAACAUUACUUUUUACAUUUUUAAGUGUUUGACUUCACAGAUCUUAAAAUAUUUUUAUUAUUUUUGCAUCUUUAACUAGCGUUCCAAGUCCGGGAGCAUUAGUUAGCAUUUUCAAUUUCUUAUUCGAGCAUCCAAACAAGCUCUAAAGAAAAGUAAAAAGUAUUUCGUGAAAAAAAAAAGUAAAAAAAGUAUUUCAUAAAAGUUUGUUAUGUGAUGUUCUACCAUGUGUUGUGCUGUUUUGUCGAGUACUUACUUUUAACCGAUCAAAUGGCCCAAAUAGUUAACCAUCGUGGACAUGAACUUAGCAAAUUGGUAAAAAUUAAGAGGCUAAUAUUUAAAUAGUUAAGAGGCACAAACACAAGUAUACAAAGAUCAUGUUGGUAAAUAGUAAAUAUUGUACUUGACAAAAAUUUGCUUCACAUUGAUAACACCCUUCAAAAAUGUUUACUCAAUAUUCUUGUGACUGAGUAACAACCAUAAAUAGAUAUGUCCUAUGACUUUCAGUGGUUCCACAUUAAUUAAACUCAUGGGAUCCUCCUCCUCAUCCUCAACAACCAUGUUCCUCUUUCACCAUUUCCAUGCUUGUUUUCAGAUUCUGCUAUUCUUUUCUACAAAAUUCUGUAUUCUCACAGUCUGUAGUCCUAAUUUCAAGACAGAGGAAUACCAAAUACAAGCAUGGAAAUGGAAAUUCUAAUUGCCCAUAUUAUUAUACUAAAGGGCAAAAGAAACAUUAUAAUAUUACAUUACAUGAACUCUGAGUUAUUAUACUAAUACUAAUACAAGUUUGGUCAUUACAAAAAAUAAAAAUAUUAAAGAAAGGUAAAAAGAUUGAACAAUAAUAAGCAGCAAAUUAAUCCCUGCAAAAAGAUUGUGUCUUUCUCCAUGCCAAAUUGAAGUGGGUUUGGGGAUUGAUGAUCAGUUGUGAAGUGGGUUUGGACCAGAGGGAACUAGUCUCUUGUCAACACCAUACCUUGGAUCAACUUCAACCCGAUUAUUUUCUUGAGGUGGAAUCGGAACUGAAUGGAUGUUGUUGUGAUAUAUUCUUUGAAGUUUAAAACAUAAAGAACGCACGGUUGUGUUGGAAAAAGAAUUACUACAAUGGUGGAGGUUUGUUGGAGAUGGAAGAAAUCUUGAGUUUGUUGAUGUGGAGAGGAAAAGGAGAAGCAAUAGUACUGUAGUGAUGAGUGAAGAAGGAGAAGUCUUCAUUGGAAUGGAAAAUGGGAAGGUAGAGAGAGAUGUGGGUUGUGAAUAAUAUNNNNNNNNNNNNNNNNAUGAAGGGGACCUCACCUUUACUCUUCACUCAACUCAAUUUUUUUAUAUUUUUUUUACAAACAUAAACUCACUUAAAAAGGGAGGGAGUUUCCGUCUCAAAAUAAUUGUCACAUUUUACCACUGCACAUUUGUCAAUGCACAAUUUUGAUCAUGAAUAUCUUUUGUUGUGUAUUAUUAAAAUAGUGUUAUACCCCCUGCAAAUUUUUUUUUUUUAGAUUCCCCCUGCAAUGUCAAGAUUCCUUGCGUUACCCCCUGGCUCAACAAGUGGGCAUAUGACAUGGACGAAUCUUGAUGUGGCAUGACACGUGAAAAUUAAUUUAUUUUUUAUUUAUUUUUAAUUGCCAACUCAGUAAUUAUUUAUUUUUUAAUUAAAGAAAUUUUUUUUUACGAACCUAGGUAAAAGAAAGUUGUCAUUUUUUUUUGCAGGGGGUAAUGCAAAACUCGCGUAUUUUGCAUGAGGUAACGCAAAACUCGCAAAAAAAAAUUACAACUUUCUUUUACCGUAAAAAAAAGUUUCUUUAAAAAAAAAGUUUUUUUUUUCAAUUUUUUUAAUUAAAAAUUAANNNNNUAAAAAUAAAUAAAAAAAUAAAUAAAUUUCCACGUGUCAUGUCACGUCAAGGUUCGUCCAUGUCAUAUGCCCACUUGUUGAGCCAGGGGGUAACGCAAGGAAUCUUGAUAUUGCAGGGGGUAAUCUCAAAAAAAUAAUUUGCAGGGGUAACGCAAAACUCGUUUAUUUUGCAAGGGGUAAAACACUAUUUUACCCUUUAUUUAUUUAUAUUAUAUGUGAUGUGUGUGUGUGUUGAGCCCACAUGAUCGAACAGAAGAAAGAAAGAAUAAUACCGGUCUGUGGUCCUCUUAUACCCUUCAACCCGGAAAAGAUUUGAAUGAAUAAGCAACACCAACCAUAUAUAGUAGUAAUUGGCAUGAAGGUGAAAAGAAUACAAACUCAUCCACUAUUAGAACUACGUGUUUUUGGUUUGAUCAGAACUACGUGUUAGACACGUACACAUGGUGUUAAUUUGUAUAUGUUUUUGGUACCUUAAAAACAUACAUUUUGACAUGUUUUUCACCCACAUAAAAAUAUACAUUUUGGUCUUAGGUGUCGCACACAUCAUGGGAAAUGCAUUGACCAAAAAAAAAGAAUUUGAUGUUAGAGGGGAUCCUUACUAUGUGCUGUAGCAAAGUUAGUUUGAACCAAAAACCAAAAAUAGCUUAUUUGUAGCUUCAAAAGAAAACCACUUACAUUCAAUCUUUUAAUUACCUCUUUCACCACUAUUAUAGGGAACAAUUAUGGAGUGAUUAGAGUUAAUAUAUCCAUACAAACAUUGAAAGUUGAAUCUUGUGCUCAUAAUCACACGCAUUGUGAAGAGGAACAUAACAAUGAUCAUCAAUUUGAAAUACUAAAAUAUAGUUUAGCAAAUAAAAAUCAACCAUAUGUUCCAUUAUUAACAUAACAUGAAAGUAAAAACAGCUACCUCCUAAUUAGAAAUUAAAGAUAUACUAAAUCCUUCAAGAACAAAAAAGAAAUCAUUUACCCACAUGGCAUUCUGUACAUUGUAAUUUGCUUUCAUCAUAUGGGAUAAUGACAACAAUUAAAAAGUAAUAAUUCUUAAACUUAAAGAUAAUAUUCAUUAAGGUACCUCAAUUGAAGAAGAACUUUCAAAAAAUGAAGUAAAAGUAAAAACCAAGAUAUAACCCAUUUGGCCAUUUCCUUAUUCAUCAACAGGAGCAGGUUGAUUAAGAUCAAUCAAACAAGGAGCAACACUUUGUUUGAUCACAAAAGUGUUGUCUUCAGAUCCUCCAACAAAAUGUGAUCUUUUAUGUCCUCCCAAUGCUUGUCCAGACUUGAAAAUUUUGUAGCAAAUUGGACAUUCAUAUUCUUUGCUUUUCUUUGACUUCAACUUCUUCUUCUUUUUACCCUUGUUGCUUGAUUUCUUUUUAUUCACCAAUUUACUGUUAUGAGAUUUUGCAGCAGAAAAAGAAUCACUUUCUGAACUUUUUUGUUCAUCACUCUCAUCAUCUGUUAUUGAAUCAUAAGAACAAUGUUUGUCCUUUUCACUCCUAAAGAACUCAUAUUUCAAACUUUUUCUAUCACUCUCAUAGAUUUCUUCAUAUUUUGCUUUCUUUCUCGAAUCAAACUUCCUAUCAUGAUCCAAUUCUUCAUAUUUUGCUUUCUUUUUGCAAUUCUCAAAUCUAGACUUAUCUUCUUCUUCUUCCAUCUUUGGCCUCUUGAAUUCGUAUUUUGAAACAUUUGAAUCUACAAUUUUGAUCUUCUUUGAACCAUAUUUGAAAGCUGUCGAAUCCGAAUUAAUUGAAAUACCAAUCCCACCAACAGACUUCAGCUUCUUCUUCUCCUCAACAAAUCCAUGAGCAUUACUAGAAACAAGUUUGUUACCAUUUCUGAUAACAAUCUCGGAUUUGGUCUCUAGAAGAACCGAGUUGUUAUUGGAAGAUUCAGAAACAAAACGACCCUUAUGACUAAAAAAAUCUCUAGACAAUAACAUCAAACACCUAGCAACCUCUUGUUGUUCCUGUUCCAUCUCUGAAACAGAUGAAGAACCAUUAACAGACGAAGAAGAAGGUUGGUUUGAAAGAGUAAGAGACUUGAACCUAAUUCUUCUCUUAUUUUUCCUUAGAUUCAUUGUUGAAGCAGCAACAACACAAGUAUCAUCAUCAUCAUCAUCAGAUUGAGUAUCCUCCUUGAUCUUUUUCUCUUUCUCAGAAUGAGAAGCCAUGUGACCACAAAGAGCUUUCAAUGAUGGAAAACCUUUCCCACAUUCUUUGCAAAAUUUGAUCAUUUCAUGUUCCAAUGCAGUGGUUGCAGCGGCGGCAGAGGCAACAUGAUUAUGAGAAUGCACAAACUUGAUUGUUUUCUUGGGAUUCUCUCUAAGACCAUAAAUGGGGUUUCCAUUUCCACCAUCACUAAGANNNNNNNNNNNNNNNNNNNNNNNNNNNNNNNNNNAACAGGUUCAAAAUCUCUCUUGAUAUCAGCAACAGCAGCAGCAGCAAUAGCAGCAGCAGCAGCAUGAGUUCUUUCUUCAGUCAUGUGGGUUCUGAUGUGACCACCAAGAGAUUUUCCACAUGGAAAUCUCUUUAAGCAAUACUUGCAAACAAACUUCCUCUUCCUCUCCUCCAUGGAUAAUUGAUAAUUCUGAAAUUUGAAUUUGAUCUAGUGUUAUAUAUUUAUAUAAGAAUCAACAACAAACUAUAGAUCACAUACCUGACUGAAAUCUGUAUGAUGAUCAAGUGUAAUAUAUAAUAGGGAAAUUAGAAUGAAGUGGUGGUGGUGGUGGUGGUGAUGAUCAGAAUUGUUGUUGUUGAUGAGAAGAUGUGACAGUUGUAUAAGUACAAGAUCCGACCCAAAAAAAGGGGAGAGACCCCUUCAUUUUCGUUUCCCAAUAGAAUGAUCAAAUAUCAUUAUAAUUUAAUUAAUUUUAUUAAAUGUGCUUUGUGAAAUAAUUAAAAUUAAUAAUGGGUUUGCUUGCCACAACACAAUGGGUCAAGUACUGUAACAUUAAAGAGCUACUACAAAUACAAUACAAGCUUAUGACUCUUUCUUUGUUGGAGGAGAGAAUUCCAUGCAUGAAAUCAACAACUAGUAGAUUAAUUAUAGGAAUUAAUUUUUUUCAAAAAAAAAAAAAAUUAUAGGAAUUAAUUAAUUUUAAUUAAUUAAAAAAAAUGUGAAGUGAGAACCAUUAGAAGAUCAUUUGAACGGCCAAGAUUUGUGUUAGUUUUUAAGAUAUAUAUAUAUAUUAAGCUUUUUUGGAGAGUACUACCAUAUAUGGCACACACAAAAUGAAGCAUCCUAAACAAAAACCAUGAAUAUGACUGUUAUUUUGAGUCGUUAUUUUAGUAUGUUUAUUUGAUGAUUUGAUGGUAUAAAAUGACGAUAUCUUGUUUCCUUAUUCUUAUCGUGUUAUUACACCGCUUUAUUGUGUAAACUAUUUUUACCCUUUUUGUGUUGCGUCUAGACUCUUGUGAGUUUAGAUUUUUAGGUAGAAGAUUAGUUCGCGCGGAUUGGGUAUUGAAGAUGGCAUUAGGCAACUGCCUUCGUUUUAUUUUCAGUCAUCAUUAUAGAGUCGCUCUGAUAGCGUAACACGUUCUUUUCUUUAAAGUUGUUAAGCUAUUUGAAGUUCUUGGAUAAUUUCCGCUGCAUGUUUUUAAAUAAUUUGAUGAUUGGUUUGAGAUGUAGACGUGUGACAUUGACACCGUAAAAUUGACGCCGAAAACGGAGGCGGCACCGAACUUUGUUGAACCGAACCUAACAUUAUGAAAGAAAUGAGAAUAGAAUGUUGCAUAACCCUAUAAGAUUUAGAAGUUUGGUGGUGCGGAGGACCGUUGAAAACACAGUUGCCACUCAUCACCCCAUUUGAAACAAAAAUUACAUGAUGAUGAAGAAAGUGUUUGGAUGUGAAAGGAAGGAAGAAGACACCUACGACGGUCAAUAUACAAAAAUAUACAUUUUGUAGCAAUAACUCGUCUAGUUCAGUUGGUAGAGCGCAAGAUUAUUAACCUUGGGGGUUGAAUAUAUAUGAAGUAAUAUUUUAUUUUUUUGCCAACAAAAUCCUUUAUAGUAAUGUUUAAUUUAUUACAUAAAAUUGAAUGUCAACAAAUUGGGAUUUUAGGUAGCUUAAGAAACAAAAUUUAGAACUAAUAUUCCAAAGAUCUGACAAAACAGAACUAAUGAAAAGAAUUAAUUAUAAGAAUAAGAAAGAAUAGGGGAGGCAUUGUCUCAGCUCAAUAUGAUGUUAUUCCAUUUAUGCCACUGCAGGCAUAUCCUUGAGCCAUGGAUCUAGUGGCUUACCAAUUGAAUAAACUAUAAAUCCAAUUUUCCUGAGCACGCCAACAUCCACAACAUUCCUACCAUCAAAUACAAAUGCUGGCUUCUGCAUACUGUCAUAAACUUUUUGGUAAUCAAGUUUCUUAAAUUCAUCCCACUCAGUCAUAAUGCAAACACCAUGUGCAUCUUUCACCGCCUCAUAAGCAUCCCAAACCACAGACACUUGCUUUAUGGAAGUAGGGCUCGGCGGUUGAAGAUGAGCAGGGUGGUCCUUAUCAAACUUCCUCAUCGACAGAUCCUUUGUGAUCUGAUCUUCGGUAACUUGUGGAUCAUAUAUGCUCAACCUUGCCUUAUCUCCCAAUAAACCCUUGCACACAUCGAUAGCCGGUGUUUCCCUUGUAUCGCCUGUGUCCUUCUUGAAAGCAAAACCAAGAAUAGCAAUCUUCUUAGUUGAAACUGUGUUGAACAUUGACGAAACAACUCGGUUCACAAACCGACUUUUCUGAUAGUCGUUCACCUUAAUCACCUGCUUCCAAUAAUUUGCUACCUCAGGAAGUCCAUUACACUCACAAAUAUAGACCAAGUUUAAUAUAUCCUUCUGAAAGCAAGAGCCACCAAAACCAACACUAGCAUUCAAGAACUUAGGACCAAUCCUCGAGUCUGUUCCGAUUGAGUGUGAUACCUCUGAGACAUCAGCACCUGUUGCUUCACAUAGUGCUGACAUUGCAUUCACAGAAGAGAUUCUCUGUGCCAAAAAGGCAUUAGCAGCAAGCUUAGAGAGUUCAGCAGACCACAAAUUGGUGCAAAUGAUUUUCUCCAUAGGGACCCAAUUAGCAUAAACAUCUCUCAAUGUUUUUAUGGCCUUUUGUCCUGCUGGUGUCUCCCUACCUCCGAUAAGGACUCGAUCUGGGUUGAAAAGGUCUUUAAUUGCCGUACCUAUUAGAGAUAAAGUUUGUUAAGAAGAUAACAAGGAUAACAAACCUAACUAACUCUUAACUAACUAUUUCAGUAUUAGUACCCUCAGCAAGAAAUUCAGGGUUUGACAAAAUAGUGAAAUUGGUGCCUUUCCUAUUAUGAGUCAAAAUCCUCUCAAUUGCUUCAGCAGUUUUAACAGGUACAGUUGAUUUUUCAACCACAAUUUUGUCCGAUUUAGAAACAUCGGCGAUCAUCCGAGCUGCACUCUCCCAGUAAGUUAAAUCAGCUGCUUUGCCAGCUCCAAGACCAUGUGUUUUUGUCGGUGUGUUGACAGAAACAAAGACUAUAUCAGCCUCUGCUACAUGUUUCUCCACUUCAAUGCUGAAGAAAAGGUUUUUUCCCCUGCAUUUCUUCACCACUUCGUCAAGACCUGGCUCGUAGAUUGGUAGGUGGUCGCUGUUCCAACCGUUGAUUCGCUGCGAUGAAAUAUCGACCACGGUUACUUGAAUAUCAGGACACUUUAAGGCAAUCACAGCCAUUGUGGGACCACCAACAUAUCCAGCUCCAAUGCAACAAAUCUUCACCAUUUUUCCUUUUUCUUAACUUCCUUCACUGUGUGACAUGAAGAUCAAAAUAAAUAAAAAAACUCAUACAUAACAACAAGGUAUAUUACUACUUUCAAAUGCUUAUUAUUGGUUAAUUAAGGCCAUAAUUGAAUAACUUAUAGACAUGAAAACACGAAAAAUUCUAAUAUAGACUACUUUAAAAAGUGGUCCGUCGUGGAUUAGUACUUAAGAAAUAUUUAAAAUUCCAACGAUGAUGUACAUCAUUGUUUGAACAUAUAAGUUAAUACUUAAUGGUCAUCCCCAUUUUUACAAUUGAGAUAACAACUUCAUUAAUAUCAGUUCGAUUAAAACAACUGAAAAAAAAUAUGUAACUUGUAUUGAGCUGACGUUAAUCACAUCAUUAUUUUAGUCGUAAAAACGAAGAGUCAUGAAUGUUUACUUUUAAAUAAUAUUGUCAAUCGUCGUCGCUAGAAUAUCUAAUAAUCUUAAGCACCGAUCCACCGUAGCGUUCACCCAUGAAAACAAUAUACAUAAUAAUUUAUCAAGUAACAAUACUUAUGCAGAAUAAAAUGAUUUUUUAAUAGCAGGAUCUGUGUGUAGUUUUCAAUUGGGAAAGCCAUAAAAGAAUAUUAAAUCCAAAGAACAUUCCAANNNNNNNNNNNNNNNNNNNNNNNNNNNNNNNNNNNNNNNNNNNNNNNNNNNNNNNNNNNAUAUAUAUAUAUAUAUAUAUAUAUAUAUAUAUAUAUAUAUAUGAAUUGAGGCAUCGACAGAUAUAAUACUAAUAAAAUAAGGUACAGAAAUGUUACCUAAACACAAUUUUUGAACAUAAGUUGGACAAAUAUACUGAUUUUCAUUUUUUAAUAAUAUAUUAUGCUUACUGAUUUGCGUGCAUAACCUUUUUUAUAUUAUGAUGUCGUAUUUUUAUCAGCAAGAAUGUGUUUAGAUAACAUGCCUCAAUAAGGUAGCAGAUCUAGGACAAAUCAUUUCAUUCACAGAAAUAAUAAAUUAAUACCAACCUAAGUGAAGAUCUUGUGAAGGUAACAAAGAAAAGUGAAGGUAACAAAGAAAAGAGAAAGAUAAAUUACGUUGUGUAAGUAACGGUGGUGAAGAUGAAUGAAGAAGAAGAAGAAUAGAAAGGUCGUUGUACUUUUGUUUCGGUUUCUGGAAUGCAAAGAAAUAGGAAUGAGUCACGAAGUAACAUGCGGAUCUAUUUACUAUAAUAAAAGCCAUAUUUAUACUAANNNNNNNNNNNNNNNNNNNNNNNNNNNNNNNNNNNNNNNNNNNNNNNNNNNNNNNNNUAUUAAAAAUAGUCCUAACAUCUAGCACUAAAAAAAAAGUACUAACACCACAAAAACAUGUAGUAAUUAUAAAGGUUUCUUUGUUGUCUCCAUAAGUUUAGAUCAAUUGGUACAUAAGAAUAUCGUAUUUUAUAUGCAGAGAUUUGAUGAUCGAAUUUUAUAUACUCCAUUUCUUCAUGUCAAAAGAAAGAAAUUUUGCCACCAGACUGCAAUUAUUCAUGUUAAAAUUAUAGGAGAUUCAGUUUUGAUAAAACAUUUAAAAGAAAUUAUAAUUACAAUUAUAAAAAUGCAGUAAAAUAAGAUAUUUUAUGCAAAAUAUAAUAUCUAAUAUAGUAAAUAUAAACACAGCAGCAAAAUAAUAAUAAUAAUAAUAAUAAUAAUAAUAAGGCUUAAUUAGUUUAUUGGUCCCUUAAAGAUAUUUUAGGUUUCACAAUGGUCCCUUAAAGAAAAAAAGAUCCAGAUUGGCCCCUUAAAGAAAAAAAGACCCGGAUUGGUCCCUUAAAGACAUAUAUGUUUGUCAUAUUGGUCCUUUCCGUUAAGUUUUAACUCCAAAUAUAACAAAAAAUUCCAAUGGUUAAAAUUUUAAAAAUUAAUAAGGUUUUUGGUGGACCACUUACGCUUAAUGACAUAUUGACAUCCACAAUUCAGUCAACUAAAACUAACGUUUUUUGUAAAAAAAUUGACGGAAAUGACAUAUUGACAUCCACAAUACAGACCUUUUUUUCUUUAAGGGACCAUUGUGAAACCUAAAAUAUCUUUAAGGGACCAAAAGACUAAUUAAGCCUAAUAAUAAUAAUAAUAAUAAUAAUAAUACCAAUACAAAUUAUGUUUAAAACAUAAAUAUAAAAUAAGGGUAUUCUAACUAGUGUUUUUAAGGAAACAAAAAUGAUAAGUUUUGCGGGGGGGAUGUGUUACUAAACCUACAAAUAAAAACCUUGCCUUAAAAAUUGUACAUUUAAUUUCUUAGAAGUAUAAAAAUUGCUUGUUUCAACAUAAAAAAUUUACUGUAAAUUUCUUAACAUACUCUCUUAAGUUCGGUCAUGAUGUGUUGAAAUAGUCUUGGACAACAAUGAUGUUUUACUAGAAAAUAGCUACCAGUUAGCUACAAUGGAUGUCGUAGCUAAUCCAAAAUUUUCUUGUAAUGUAUAGGGGGCAAAAUCCAAAGAAUUAUAAAAUAGGAGUAAAAUUCCGGAUUUUAAAAUAGGGGGUAAAAUUCCGAUUUAUUCAAAACAUGGGGGGUAAAACUGCAUUUAAGCCAAUAAUUUAUAAGUAUUUGAUUUUGUUAUGUAAUUUUUUAAGAAUAAACUUUUACUAAAAUUACUGUUCUCUAAGUCAAAUAAUAAAUUACAAUACAUUUUAUUUAAUAAAUAAAUGCAUUUUAUUGUGAUAGUGCAUAUAAGACUGUCCCAAAAUAAGCAAUGGGAACAGUUUUUUUGUGGCUACGGCUCAUAACCAUUGUUGUUGUGAAAUUCGAGAACCCUUUAUAAAGGAUACUUAGGAUACAGUCUUACGAAUAUCGUCGCUGUUUUGACAAAAAACGUUGCAAAAGGAAAAGACAAUGUCUCGGUUUGAUAGGCCCAAAAACCGUCCUCUUACCCUAUAGCAGCGGUUUUUUGGAUUAACCAACGGUUUUUCUCGUUGCCAUAGGACAAAAAUGUUGCAGUGAAAAUGCUUGGUAGCCAUAACAAAUAUAAUAUUGUUGUUGAAACUAAUACUACUAACAUUGUUUUUUAUAAAAGAAAAAAGGCAUUAAUGUUCUUGAAACUCAAGAGUUUAUAGCCAAACUCUCAAAACAACCAUAACUAAUAUAUGUGUAACAAUUAGUAGGAGGCAGAGGUGGAUCCGAACGUGGAGGUAGCUGACUUUGAACAAAUUUUUUCCAUAAAUUGAAAUAAUUGCUCCCUAAGCAAACGAGAAUCCUCCUGCAAUUAACGAAUCAACUCCUCGUGAGUCUUAUUUUUUCUUUUAAGAGUUGUGUUUUUAGUUGCAAAAUUAAAAAUUAUAGUCUUCAUGUGUUGAUCUAGACGGCUUGUACUUCUGUGCUUCUAGAGGUGAGAAACAUGGCCUUGAUCCUUUGCAUGACUUCAUACACAUCAAGUAAAAGGGAGGAUAACCGAAAGAAGAGUAAUGAUGCAACAAGUUAGAAAUUUAAAGAACCAAUUUAUUAGUUAAAAAGCUUAAAGAUUUGUAAUUUAAAUAACAUAACUGUUACAAACGUGAAACUUUUUUUUUUUGAACCAUUACAAACAUGAAACUUAAAGAUCCCUAAAUACACUUUUUAUAAGGAUAAAAAAAACAAAAAAAAUUAGACAUAUUCAACCUUCUGAAAAAAAUAUGAGAGAAAAAAUAAAUAAAUUAAAACUAUCAACAUCGAAGACAAAGUCAUUUCUCUAUACGUGGAAGAGUAUUAAACGCAAACUACACUCUAUAGUCUCAGAGAAAAGUGCAAAUUUAGAACUCAGUGUCCCAAAAAAACCGUAUCUUAAAAGAUAACAGAAUUCUCAUCAUGGUUUUGACACAUAUCAAACACUGUCCCACAAUAAGAACAUAUCUUGUAUUAGUAUGGCCUCACAUUUAAUAGCAAAAGCUGGAGGCGGCACUAAAAAAUAAAAAUUGAUGUAAACCUCAAAGAUUAAGACCCUUAACUCAAUUUAAGCCUAGCUCAUUAUUUCUAGCCACCCCUUAUAAAUUAAACCGUGUCCUUGUGCUUCAUACACAUCCUCAAUCAAAACAACAUAAGCUCAAUUUUCAUUCCUAUAGCUACCCUUUUCCCAUAAACACCUGAAAUUAAAUCACAUUAAUUAACAAUGGCAAAUUCUCGCAUUGCAAGGUUUUUCAUGGAGGUGGCGCCGCCACAAUAUGUUAAUGUGAUGAGGCAUAGAACAAAAAAAAUGAUGGAAACAAUAAGUGAAGAGGACAGGGAAAUUAUCUCAAAUGAUAGUGUAAUUUCCCCACCUAAAAGUUCAUCAACAACUUCACUUGCUGCAUGUACCUCUUCUACCAAUGCAACCGUUAAUACUGGGUACUUCCUGAAGGAAGUUCAUAGAACACUCUCAAGUUUGAAUCACUGAAGCCAAUGAAAAAAAAAAACAACCUCUGGUGGCUGUUUCCAUGGGUUGUUCUUUUUGUUAGUGUUUUUAUUCUUAUCUUUUAUUUUAUGUAAUGAUAUCCUAUUAGUUUGUUUUGGAGGAACAAGGAUAGUUGAGACUUGAGAGAGUAUAAUGUAACCUUAGGGAUUCCUGCUGCAUCUGUGUUUUUCUAUGAUGUUACAGGCUCAUAAUUUUCUAUCAAUAAAACUCAAAGUUUUGUGCCUUAAGUUAAGCAUCCACAAAUUUAAUGUCAUGGUCAAUUUCAAGUCAUUUNNNNNNNNNNNNNNNNNNNNNNNNNNNNNNNNNNNNNNNNNNNNNNNNNNNNNNNNNNNNNNNNNNNNNNNNNNNNCCAAAUCCCAUUUUCUUUGUGAAAUCAUACUUUUGAUCUUAAUAUAAAUGUAUUUUCAGCUACUUCAAUCUGUAUCUGAACACUAGCUACUUCUGAAUUUUAUACCUAAAAACACUUGGUACAACUUGGGAAGGGUGGUAGGAGUAUGGAUAAUAAAACACCAAGCAUAUAUAAAUGAGAAAAUGUAAGCGACUUCAGAACCUGAUACAAUAUGCUAAAAUUUCUAAAAUUUCCACUGUGUCAAAAAGACCAACCUGUAUCUAAAACAUAGGUAUCUUUCUUUUCAUUGUUUACUGUAGAAGAUAGCAACGAGAUAUCCAAGCUCCCACUGGUAGAGUUUAGAUAUCUGCUUUUGUCUUUUGAGUUUCCCCUCUAGAAACUUCUUCAACGAGGAAGUUUCUGAGUAGCCUUUGGUCCAAAAUCAUAUUUGGAAUCUGCAGAAAGCAAACCCAGAAGAUCAAACCUAUGCACCACAAAAAAACAAGAGAAUAACGAAAUAGCUAUAGCUAAGAUGAGAGGUACCUUGUCUCCAAAGAAAAUCUUCGUAUUAUUAGCAAUGGAUUCGAUAAAUUUUAGCUCAAGAAAUUCAGGGGUAAGUUUCAACCUGUUUGCUUCAGCUUCCCUUAUUACACUGGAAAUAGUAAGCAGAACAAGUUGACCAUUUCUUAUUUCAAAGACAGAUGAUUAAAAUAUCAUAGUCAUAAACUUACAUUAACCAAUGAAAUUAACAAAAGGAAAAUCUCACCGGUAGAAAUCUGCAUCCGCCAGACUCUUCUCACGUGCUAGGUACAUUGCAUUCUCAAUUUCUUCCUGUUUUCUUGCACUAUCUUUUUCCAACAACUUUUGUUCCAUAAGGAUCUUGCUAACAUUGGCAUUUUUCUCAGCCUCGCUAAUAGCCAUCUUCUUCAUAGUCUCUGCCUCCUUCUCGGAUACUUUUUGUUUCUCAAUAGCAAUUAAGCCCUAUCCAAUAGCAUACAAGGCACAGUGUUUAUCAAUAUCUAGAAUAGAGGAAAUUCAAACUGAAUAAGAAUCGCGAAGAGAAAUAUAAAAAAAAACCUACUACAAGCGAUUACAAUUUACAAGACAUGUAUCUCAGAUUAUGACAGUAUGAAUCAAUCAUAAGGUUAAAUACAGAGUUAGCACAUGUUUAACUCAUUUAAUGAGAUUAUCAACUAAAUAUUGCAUCUGUCUAGCUUCGGGCAUAUUUACAGGAAAAUGACAGGUGCUUAUACCUUAGUACGCUCCUCUUCCAUCUGUUCAUAGUUGUGGCUUAUGUUUUCUGGAAUAUUUGGCUUUGUGACACGGACACCAAUGAUCUCAAUGCCUGGAGCAUAACGGGUACAGUCAACUUGAAGAGCAUCCUUCAUCUUUUCGUCAAUCUGAAAGUGCCCCGAUGCUUGCUUGUUAAUAUAUUAAGAUGAGAUAACUAGAAAGGAGAAAAGCCAGAAGACAGUCAAACAAUACAUUUUGGGUUAACUCGGCUAACACAACAGAGCAAAAGAAUCACAAGUGUUGGGUGAGGGGGACUUAUGACUUGCAUCAACUACGUUUUUAGUGGAUGAGAAUGAAAGUUACAGCUUAAAAUAAUACAUCAAAGAUCAAACUAUUUCAUAUUAUGUCAAUGGAAACCCUUCAAUUUUGCUAGUUUGAUUAACCAUACAAUAUAAAUGAAAGUUAUCAGUAUAAAAUAAAACAUGGAUGUAAAAUUACACUUUCAAAUCAUUAAAUUACCUGAUCAAACACAUCAAUAUAUACUUGUUGAAGACUAUGAGAGCUGCAGAACUGAUUAAUCUCAUGAUGAAUCUUGUCAUAUAUCCAUGUCUUGUCAUAUUGUACACCAUAGUUGAGCAAUGUCUCAUAGACAGAUUCUUUAUGCAAUCGGUUAACAACCUAAAAGAAGAACAUUACUGCAUUUACAAUUAACAGUGUAAAAAAGUAGAAACUUGUAAACCAGAUAUUGCGUAUGACAAUUAUACUUGCUAUUACCUCAAUCUUCCCAAAAGUAAUCAUAACACCACCUUUAGUACCGCACGGUAUAUCUGUCACCUGCAAUUGCAACCAGUACUCAAAAUCCAAAUUAUAGAUCCAACAGAAACCCUAAUUCCCAACACUGUUCUAUAGAAUUUACCUCGUCUGUUUGAAGUGUCACUUGAACUGGCUCAAACUGAGUUAAGAAAGGCAUCUUCAUAUGGAAACCUGGAAGAAUUAAUAUCACGAACAUCAACAAAAAUUGUGCACACAUACAUCGAAGAAAAGCAUCGAAAAAACAAAUAAGCGUUUAGCACCUGGCUCUGUAAUUGUUUUCAGAAGCGCACCUCCUCUCCAAUAUACCCCCACAUGGCCUUCAGGGACUUGGUGAAUAACUGACAUUGUAUUUUUUAAGGAUGGUGAUGCUGAAGGAACCAAAACCUAUAGAUAAUAAGACAUCGUUUUAAGCUUUAGAUGUCGACUAGAAUCGAUUUCCAAAUAAUGUAAAUAAGUGGUAGUACAAAAACAACAGUAACCAAAUUAGCUAGGUGGGUUCAACUACAUACACAGAUUAAAUAAACCAUUAUGCAUCAUCAUCAAAAUCAAAGCACACAAGAAAUAAUAUCAAAACAACAAAUUAAGACAAAUAUUCCAUUUCCUAUUCAUUGUCAUAAUAUAAUGUUAGUAAUUUAAAAUUAUAGUCAUUCCUCUGUUUAAAAGAAGUGCAAAGGUGAGCAAAACAUUAAGUUGGAUGUCCUACCGUAAGUGCCCUAUGUAUAUAUGAUUACCAUAUCAUUUUUAUUGUGUUAACCCUCCGGUACCCAGGAAAAGUGGCCUGAUUAUUCGAAGUCCGGCCGCGAGGUAUGUAAAGUCUGGCCAAAAAUUGUUCCUCUUAGAAGUCGAACAUGGGUUCACCUAAACGAUGCGUUCAGUGGGAGCUCAUUAACUACUUGACCUCAAUCACUUGGUUACCAUAUCAUAUUUGAUGCAAAACAAAUGGUUUUAAAUUGUGGUCGCAAUUUUGACAAUAUCAAGCACAUUUUCCUGGAAUAUAAAAUUUCACAACAACCGUAACCACAAUCGCUAUUUAGAAGAAUUAUUAUUAUCUUAUAGAUGCUGGUGAGGAAUGCCCUAAAAAGUGAAUUACAUUUACAUUAACAUGAUUAUUGGUACUAAACUACUACUUUUUCUAUGUGUGAUUGUUUUUCCAAUGUAGGUAAUAUAUUUUUUCGUUGUGCAAAUGCAAAACAGGGAAAUUUUCAUGACGAAUGAUUAUAGACAUGAGAAAGAUAAAAAAAACAGAAUUGGAAAGGUUUUAAUUUCACUAUUACAUUUGCGGAAAGAGAGGAAGAGAAAGAGUUACCAAAGCGGCAAUGAGUAUGAAUGAGAGAAAGGGUAGCAUAAUGGAAGUUGAUGAAGGAUCACGAGUUUGCGAUAUUCGAGUUUGGUGCUGCGAAUCCAUGGCGGUGGAACUUUUUCUGUUUGUGUUUUUGAUUCUUUGAGUUUGGGUUUGGUAUAAAACACCUCUUGCUUCCUUAUUUGUUUGAUCGUGAGAUACACCAAAAAUUGAUUUUGAACAUAUCUUAUUUGUGGCCAAUUUUAUUUUGUCAGCCUACGGCUAUGUUUGGAUAGAUGGAAAGUGAUCGAAUUGAAUGGAAUGGAGUGAAAUAUAUUUAUAUUUCAUUGUUUGAUUUUGUAAAUAAUGGAUGGAAUGGAAUGGAGUAUGAUGGAACUCAUUCCAUCUAAUAGCACUCAUUCAUCUAAUUUUUCAUUCCUCCCAAUUUGGGGUGUAUGCAAUGGAAUGGAAUAAACUAAUAACAAAAAUACAAUUUUGUUCCUUUUUUUUUUCUUCUCUUUUAUUAAACUUUCUUUCUUCCCUCUCACUUGUCUUCUAUUGACUGUUCUUCUUCUGCAAUUUUAUUCCAUCGAUCCAAUUUUUCUAUUGACCGUUCUUCUUCUGCAAUUUUCAUUCCUCCUUAUUCUUUUUUCCAUUAUUUUCCGCCGUGUGUUCGUCACAAUGAAAUAAAGGGAUGACUGAGGUAAACAAAUAUAUAUAUAUUCAACUACGUACUAGUAUAUUUUUCGUCAAAAAAAAACUACUAGUAUACUACUAUUUAUUUAUUACAGUGUAUUACUAAUUAGGUAAGGUAAAUUCUUUAAAUACAUUAUAUUUUUUUGUUUGGUCUGACAUUAUAUAAUAAUAUUAUUUUAAUAUAAGAUAUAAUAUUAAAUAAUUUUUUGUUUUGUUUUUUGGUCAAUAUAAGAUAGUGUAUUUUAUUUCUAUGUAAUUGUGUUUUUUAAUUAAGGGUAUAAAUGUAAUAAAAUAUUUCUUAUCUGUUCCGUUCCGUCCACUUUCAAAACAAUGGAAUAGAAAUAUCCAAACAAUGGAAUGAAAUAUUCAUUUCACUCCUCUCCAUUCCACUCCAUUUCAUUAUGUUCCACUCCGUUCCGUUCCAUUCUAUUCCAUCAAUCCAAACAUAGCCUAUGUGUUUUUCGCACGUCGAGGUCGGCCAAGUUGUCAAUUUUAAUUGGCCACACCGUGGUUAUAAAUAGACCCCUUCAGACUUUUUAGAUCUCACACCUCUUUUUCUCUUCUUAUGUUUCUUUUUAUAUUUUUUUAGUAAUGUUAGUUCGUUUAAUUUUUGUCAUUUCAUGUUAUAUCUCCGUUUCAGGGACAAAAUUUCACAAGAGGAGAUUGUUUAGUUUAUUUAAUUGGCAGUUGAAAUUUUGGAUGUAAUAUCUAAAUUGAUGUAAUUUUUGUGUUUAAUGUUUUAAUAAAAAAAAAUUAUGUCUUAACUUCAUUUUGUCUUUCCUGAUUUUCUUUUUUUUAUGUAACAUAGUCAUUCGCUACUUAAGUAACAGAAGCCCCAUCACCCUACGACCAAUCCGCUACUUAAGUAGUGAAGUGACUGCAAUAAGAACCAGAAGCAAGAACCUAUAACCAGAACCAGAUUUUUGGACUUGUUAUCUCGUUGAGCAAUUUAUCGAUGUCGAUACACGUAAUAACAUUAUUCAUUUGCAAACAUAUAAUUAUCAAAACAAAAUAAUAACAUAAAAUACUUAUCCAAAAGAUGCCAUUACAAAAUAUAUGUAAUUAUCCGAACAAACAUAUAACAUAAUUAUCACAAAAGGAGACUAUGCAUAGCCCCUCCACCACCCGACCUCCCGUAUUACGGUGCAAAAUUUGAGACAUCCCAAAUUUGUACAUCACCCCUGGCACGUGACCCCUCCGUUAACUCCCCACUCAACAACAAAUCAUUUACGAUCUGUCAAAUUCUAUUUAUUUUAACGGCCAAGCUUGUUGCAAGGGGCCCUUUCUUCUCAGCUUCCCGCUCUAUAAGGGCCUUCUGUUCACACUGCUUCAGUGGAUCCCUUGGCGGCAUAGGCCUCUUGUUCACACUCCGUGCUUACCAUACGGGGCUCAUGUGAUGUGGAAUCCCAAAUUUUCUUUGUAUAAAUAUUUAUCCAAAAUUAUUGUUAAACUAUCGUUUAAUGUUACUCAAUUUUUUUCAUAUACAUUAUAUUAUUGGAAUUAUCAUAUCUUAUUUAAUCAUUAUAUAUGUUACGGCUAAUCAAACUCAUGCAUCGCACGGGUCGAUGUUCUAGUAAUAAUAAAGUAACGUUGCAAGGCGGAGUGGAAACAAACAAGACAACGUCGACGAGGGAAAGUAACGUAAGUAUAUACAUCUGAGAGAUGUUUAGUAUUGCAACCUUUUAAUUAUUGGGUCAUGCUAACCGGUGCCCCCGGGCACUGGUUAAGGAAACUAAAAAAGGAAAUUUUAAAAUUGAAAAUAACACUUUUUAGACUUUCGAGGCGUUGACUGCACAAACUUCAAUAUGAUAUUACUAUAUUUGGUUCCUUAAACAGUGCCCCGGGACACUGUUUAGCAUUUUCCUUAAUUAUUUUAUUUGAAAUUAAAAUAAAUUAUAAAGGGUUAUAGUUAAAAUAAUAAGAGUAAAAGUCGAAGAAAUAACAAAAAGUUAUAAGCUCAAAUGUUAAUUGAAAUAACAUCUGAAAAAUAAGCUAUAAACUAGUAAAAUAAGUUAUAAGCUCGUAGUAAAAAAACGUUAUUAAACAAAUCUUUUACUCUCUCCAAUCCAAAAUGUAAGUCACUUUGAUAAAAAUAAUUAUACCAAAUUAUAAGUCACUUUACAUUACCGGUGAAGCAUUUAAUGCUUUUUUUUUUCCUAUUAUACCUUUAACUAUUUAUUUUACUUUCUUUUUUCAAUUCUUCUAUUUAUUUUUCUCAUACCAUUAAUGAAGGACAAUUUUGUAAACUAACUCAUAAUUUCUCUUUUUCAUACAAUAUUAAUCAUAUUUCUUAAUUUAUGUAAUAUGAUCAAAACUUGAAACGGAGAGAUAUAAGCUAAAUUAUUGUGAUCACCAAUCAGAACCUUAAUUUGAACAGAAAAAUACAGCUGCCAGGUCACAAUUAAGCCAAGGCACAAAGUUGAAGGAAAAAUUAUCCAUGGAUUAUGGUAGCAUGCAUGCGUCAUGCCAAGUCCUACACUACACGACACACAUGCCACUGGUACCAAUGGAGUUUACGUCUGAUCACACGUGUAAAGAACCAUCAGAAAAUAUGACAAAGACAUGGAAAAAAGUACAUUACAACUCCCCGGAACACAACCUCCCUUUGUUAUUCCUUUUAGUCUUACAUUAAGAUUAGGAGAGGUAGUAUUCUAUUUUUAUUGUCCUUUCCUUGAUGUUUAGAAAAAAUAUUAAUGUCUUUAAAAUUUAAAAGAGGUCUAAAGAUAAAAUGAAUCUCAAAAGGGUCUAUAUUUCGGGUAUUAUUUAUUUAAUGGUUUUGUUAACCAGUGUCUUGCACUUUUUAAGGUUUUUAAUUAAAGAAAUUAUUUAUUUAUUUACUGACAAAAAAAUAUUAAUUUAAAUUAAUAGAAUACAUCAAAUACAAUCUCAUAUUCAAUAUCGUUAAAAAUGUAAAAGGAUCAAUCUGUGACAAACUCACAACAUACAAGUUAAUAGCAUACAACGACCAGUUGCCUACUACAAAUAAUAUGAUAAAAUUAAAGUGACCAGAAUAUUCAUGCUUCCGGAUCUGCAUCGUUGAUGCCAAAAUCGUUGAUAUAUGAAUCUGCAAAUAUGCAACUGAUCUUUCAACAAGAAUAAGCGAACACCACAACUAUACGAGAGGGAAACUAUUUAUUUAAAAAGUUAAACAUUUCAAUUUUUAAUGCAUUGAUUUUACACAUAAAAUUUAUUACUUCGUCAUGUUACUAUUAUAAGCAAAAAUUUAUUUUUUAGAUUCAUUAAAAAAUUAAUAUAUUUAGUCUACAAUAUAUGUCAAUUAAUACAUUUGUUUUUCAAUGAAACUAAUGUCCUAAGGACUCCGGGGACUUUCUUUAGUAUUUUCUUUAUUUAAUUAAUUUUUUGUUUUUUGGUGCACCCUUAUUUAAUUACCAAGAAGACUACUAGAGAGAAAAAUGUGAAAAGCCUUGAGCNNNNNNNNNNNNNNNNNNNNNNNNNNNNNNNNNNNNNNNGCUUAUUUCUCUUGAUCUCUUUUUCUUUUCUUUCUUUCUGCCUUAGACAUACUCACAUCAAAAUCACCUUCUCUUGUCAUGGCUUUUCUGGCCUAUGCUCUGCUUUUCCUCUCCCUCACUGCUCAUUCAAGUAAGCACCAAGAACUACUCCUAUAUGUUUGUCUAUCUUUCAAGUUUCAACAUUUUUAAUUAUUUAUUUUUAUUUAAGAAAACUAUGAAAAUUUUCAACAUUUAUAUAUUUUUCCUAAUUCCUGAUUUGGGUUCCUUUGAUUAUUUACAAAAACUAUUUCCUUUAAUUCUGGGUUUUCUGUAUGAAUAAUUUUAGAAAAAUAUCAAUUCAAUCCACUGGUUGGUUCUGUUUUUUUUUUCUUUUCUAUAUGAACUAGUUCUGUUAACACAACUAUUUUUUGCCCCUUUUUUAUUGAAACGGAAAAAAAUGGUUAUGCACUUAUUAGUCCCUCCUGGCAAUAUUAUAAGCAAAAAUAUAGCACAAUUGACAGAAAUGUCAAAAUUGUUAGUGUCGGACGCCAUGACGGNNNNNNNNNNNNNNNNNNNNNNNNNNNNNNNNNNNNNNNNNNNNNNNNNNNNNNNNNNNNNNNNNNNNNNNNNNNNNNNNNNNNNNNNNNNNUGUUUUUUUUUUUUUUUGCUGACCAGAGGGAGUAUUGUUCUAUGAAAAAGGUGGAAUUUUGGUGUGUAAUUAACCAUGUUUUAUUUUCACAGGUGCUUUUUACUGUGUUUGCAAAGAUGGUGUGGCUAUUAAACUUCUUCAGGAGGCAAUUGAUUAUGCUUGUGGAACUGGAGCUGAUUGUACCCCUAUUCUUCAAAAUGGACCUUGUUUCCAACCCAACACUGUAAAAGAUCACUGUAACUAUGCUGUUAACAGUUAUUACCAAAGAAAGGGUAAUGUUCAAGGUAGUUGUGAUUUUGCUGGUGCUGCAACAACUUCUCAAACACCACCUAGUAAGUAUUUCCGUAUAACCACUACAUAUUUUUCGUACAUUUUUGUGGGAUUUUAUUUUUAUUGAUUCUCUUAUCUUCCUUGUGUUUCUUUUUCUACAGCUGCAGUUUCUGGAUGUGUUUACCCUUCAAGUCCUGGGUAUGUUUCAUUAUACGUAUGAUUCUUGUUCUGUUUUUUAUUUUAUUUUAAUGUUGUUUUGUUUAUUUAUAAAUCAAAAUAAUUGAGUAAGUUUUUUGCAAUUAAGUUUGAGUUUUGUGAGUGUGACGUGAGAAUUUUGUGGAAAAGUCCCAUUUCUUAUAAGCAUUUUAUGGUUAGCACUUACCUAUUGGAUGUUUUCAUUUUCCAAAGCAGUUUUUCUUGAAGUAGUGUUUUUCUUUUUGUUUGCCAAGUAAAGAAGAAGAGACACACAAAAUGAGUGGGGUCCACAUCCUUUUCAUUUCUCCCUUAUUAUUAAUUAUUAUUAUUAUUCCCUACCGUGCUUACUUUUUAAAUUCAUAGAAUGUUGAAUGUAUCUGGUCUAUAUUAUUGAUUAGAUACAUCCAAUAUUCUAUGAAUCUAAAAAGUAAACUUCGUCUUAUAAUAAGGACCGGAGGGAGUAUUAUGAGAAGAAAGGUAAAUAAUCUGUUUUUUUUUUAAUUUUGAAUUGUCCAUAAUGCCCUCAUUAAUUAUGUAAAAUGUGAAACAUUUGUGUUUCACUGCCCUUCCAUUUUACUUGCACAUUAGUCAAAAGCCCCUUUUCUAUUGAAAUACUCCGUCGGAUCUUUACUCCUAUAACAAAAAAAAAAAUGUUUUUUAGAUUCAUUGGACGGUUAAUAUGCUCCCUCCCGUCACUGCAAAUUUAAUAUUUUUGAUAAAUUGAGAAAGUGAUGUAUCUUAUGGAUAAUAUGGACUAUAUACAUCACUUUUCUAAUGAAUCAAAAUAGUAAAAUUUGGUUAUAAUAGUAACCAAAAAGUAUCUUGUGUCGAGCGAGUAAGACUUGACAUGAUUUCGAUAUUUCCAAGUCACAGAUUUUGAUAUUUCCAAUAUCUUUGUUGUGAUUUGGAUUGCUGUCUCACACACUUUGACGUUUGACACAGUUGGCAUAUUGGUAACUGCAAGUUUGAGAUUUGUCCGCAUUUCAAGUUUGGUAUUUCAUUUUUUUAAAAAAAUAAAUUAAAACCUACAUUGAAAUCUUAGCGGUAUGAUUUUGAUUCGACAACCACCUAUGUGCUUAUGUGAGAUUACUAACUCAAAUUUGUAUAACAAUGAAAUAUGUUAAUUUUGCAUCUUAUAUCACUUCAAGUUCAAUGUUGAUAUUUUUUUAUCCUGGCUCUCUUUUGCAGCAAUGCAGGAACACCAUCGACAGGUUCACCCGGUUCAACUCCAAGUCCGGGAACCGGUACUGGCACUGGCACGGGAGGAACUGCGGGUAGCCCUACUGUGUUUGGAAUAAGUCCAACAUCUACAAUUAGUGGCAACGGUGAUCCUUCUGCAGCUGUAGUGUCUUAUAUGAAAAGCAUCAACACCUUGCUAUUGUCCUUUGUUUGUUACCUUGUGUUUUAGCCUUCAAGGUCUAAACUAAAGGUGCAAUGCUUUACUAUUAGUACUAGUGAGUUAGAAAAUUUUAGGGGGUUUUAUGUGUGGAUGAGAUUUUGCACAAAAACAUGAUGGUUAUUAUGUGAUUUUACUUAUAUGAAUCAUCUACUUGCAAACCCAAUUUUGUUUUGUUCCUCCUAAGUAGAAAAUUUUUUUUGUAGGGAAUUUGGUUUUUUAUUUAGUGGUGACAUAUUUUGAUUAUGACAACAUGGAGGGUAGAAGUAGUAGCCUUUUUCCAUUUGUAUAUCUAAGAAUAUGACCUGCACUAUUUUUUAAUUAAUUUAAUGGAAGCCAGCUACCCUAUUUAUUAUCUAGUUUACAUUAAGGUUCAAUUUCAUGCUAGCCGGCUUCUUCCUUGAUUUGCCUUUGACAUUCCUUGCAGAUUCAAAGAAGAUGAUGUAAUCUCAAAGUAAUUUAAAAUGUUGUAACGUUUUAUAAUAAUUUUAUAUAUAAAGGUAGGUCAUGCCGACACUAGUUAGCAAUUUCGAUAAAAGUAUAUGAAUCGACAAGUUAAAUUCUCGGAACUCACGAAAUCUUCCAAUGAGAUUUUCAUAUUGUAAAUGAUAUUCAAACUCAGUCCAUCAUGUAAUUUGAGUUGAAUAUUUUGCUUACACAACUAACUUACUUACCUACGUUUUACUUUAAGGGGUUUUUUCUUAUAAGAAAAAACGUUACGAUUGAAUCAAACUCAAAUAGAGUCGGUCCAACAUUAAAUUAGACAUAAAGCAAAUUUUAAGGUGAGGUUUUUGCAUAAAAAAAUAAUAUUUUAUUAAAAUCAUAGAAUUUUGAGAUCCGAUACCACCGCACCCCAUGUGCAUGCAUAAUGAAUUUGAGGGUAUGUGUUAGAUAAUAAAGUAUUGAGUUAUGUUGAUCUGUUAGUUUAGAGUUCAUUUUAUAUAUAUUUUUUAGUAAUCUUUUAUAUUGUUAAGCUAUUAGUAUUCUAUGAAACCUUAACCUCCUUUGUUAUUCUCUUCGUUUAUAUUUCGGGCUGAUUCUAACACUCUGCUUUUUGUAACAUUAUGAAAAGUAUAUAGGUUGUUCAAAGGUCACUAUAUCAACAAUACAAGAUGUGAAUUUCUACCAUCUCUUUCCGUUUUUGCAUUUCUUUCAUGCCGUAGAAGGAUUUUUUCUCUUGGACACAAUUGCUCCUAAAAGUCAAUUACGACUAAGAAUAAUUUUGUUUUACAUCUUGACACGCUUAGCAUACAAAUCUUAAAUAAAUACUCCCUCCGUCCCAUAUUAUAAGCAAAAAAAAUCAUUUUUUCAUGUCCCAAAUUAUAAGCAAAAAAAACUAACUUUUAUCAUUUUCAAGAUAAACUUUUACUUAAUUUACUCUCUCUCUUCUUUUCCCCAUAAUCAAUAACCAAUAAAAACUGUUUUAACAUCUUCCCAUGAAAUUUAUUUCAACAAACACACAAAAAGUCAACCUUAAAAUUAUCAUAUUUUACUUUUCUUAAUAAGUGUGAAAAUAUUUUUUUUACCUAUAUUAUGGGACGGAGGGAGUACUACUUACAACGUAGUUAAUAAAAGUGCAUGCCGGCAUUUUUUGUAAUUUAGAACACAAUCAAACUAGGGAAAGAUGUUUUAAUCUGAAUAAGAAAUGGUGAGGACAAAUGUGUUUUGACUUUUGAAACUAUUUGUUCACGAUUAGUUAGUGUCUUGCAUCGGAUGAAUGUAGUAAUGUAGUUAGACAAGAACGGUCCAUUCAAUUAAGAUUGAACCGAACUGUAUAAUUGUUUUAUAUUUGGACUCUCUGAUGAUGGUCAGAUAUUCCUUAACUGCAUGCAAUUUUGAAUGCAUCCAAUCUAAAUCCCUUGUAUCGAUGUAUCAUAAUUAAAAUCAAGGCUUAAAUGUAAUUUUGAUCCCCUAUAUUUAGUAAAAUGCGAAAUUUUGGUCCCCAUUUUGUUUUGUGCAAUGUUGGUCCCUUAAUUUCUUUUUCCGCAAUUUUGGUACCUACUAUUUUAAAAAAAUUCAGACAUUUGGUCCCCUAACACACUCACAAGUGCAUGAGUAUAUCAUCGUAAUAAAAAGAGUAUAGAAUCCACAUGGACUAAUGAGCAACAUGGUAUAACUUUCAAAUCAAGGAAACAUAUAGUGAUUUUUAUAAAAACAAUAGUGAUUGAGAUUGAUUGGUUUUGAGAGUUGUAUUUAAAGGCAUUAUGCCUCACUUUGAAAAACAAUCAAUGAAUGAACAAUUAUCUCCUUGCAUAAUCUUUCUUAAUUGUAUCGGAUUCUAUUCUUUUUUUUAGGUCAAGUAGCCUAAUAACUAGAAAAUUCACCUUAAAGGUAAAUAAGUAGAGUGUCUCGGGUUCAAAUCCGGGUUCCUGCACAUAUAGUGCGAUAUCCCUACCAACUGAGCUAUGCUCAAGAGGACGUAUCGAAUUCUAUUCUAAAUCCUUAGAAUCCCUACUCUUGAGAAUUAGAUUUUUCGGUUUGUCCUAAAAUCCAUUUACCCGUUACACUUGCAGUUUUGUCCACUAUUAAACUUUUGUACACCCAUUUACCCCUAUAAUAACACUCGACCAACUUGCAAGCUUUACAAGAUCUUUUAUAGCAAGAGUGGUCAUUUCUCUGUAUAUAGCUCUUGAAUGUAGCCUGCUUUCAAUUUUGUUAGACUAGGUUCCAUCAUAUGAGUAAUAACAACGAAUUUUUUAUAAGCAAUAAUAACUAUGCAUUUCCUAUAAGCAAAUAUAUCCUUUUUACUUGUUAGUUUAGCUUAUUGCUUAGCAUCAAGAUUUAAAACUACGGUAGUUGCAGAUGUCACAAUCUUUGAAAUUGCACAGAAUCAAUAAUACUGUUGCGUUAACUACAAUUCGAAGUACAUUGCUUAGCAACGAAUUUUUUAUAAGCAAUAAUAACUAUGCAUUUAGCUAUAUGUAAACCAUUCAUUACUUCAAUUUAACACUUUACUUCAAAUAUAUAAAAACAGUAGAAAGAAAAGCUUCGGUAAUCAUAAGAGAGAAAUAAAGAGCGACACAUCAAACUUUAUAGCAUUUGUUGGAUAUAAGAUGAACACAGUAACUAUGAAGUCCGGUUCAAAGUGAGCUGCAAGAUAAGCUGAAAAAUGCUCUCUUUGCAGCCGGGCUAUUAGAUGCCUCACUACAGCGUCCAGGGUCAGCAUGCUAUUUCAGUGCUGUAAAUAAAAAUAAAAAUAAAAUAAAUAUCAUGAACAGAAAUGUUUGCACAUAGUUUUGUUGCAAAUAAUGCGAAACAUUGCAUAAAUAUAGAGAAUUGGUGGUAGUUUUAGUCAGAGAUGGUUUUGUCUCGAGAUAUAGUACAAUUGUAUAUACAAAGUUAGUGCCAAAUUUGUCGACCUAGAAAAUCAUAUAAUUAAAAGGUAUUAAUUGAAACAUUGACUGAUUGAACAUCCAACCAACCUAACUUAGGCCUCUUUCAAUUGAGUAAAUUGUUGAGCUAGACAAUCAUGAUCCCCGUUUUACCAAAAACAAAAACAUAAAUACAAGGUAUUGAUUGAAACAUUGACAGAUGAAUUACCCAACAUGCUUACUUUAUAGUCACUUUAACUAAUCUGUGUUACUGAUUGCAUUUGCUUCUGUUCUAACAAAUUUAGUACUGAAGCUCUGUACCGAGAAAAUAGUACCGAAGCUAAUUAUGAAUCAUACACAUACCUCUGGUUCAACAGGUUUGGCUUCUUCUGUUUUGACUUCUUCACCUGCAUGAGAACAUUCAUUAUUUGAGCACAGUGAUAUAGAGUUGCUUAACACAACUAUCAUGCAACAUCAACUAUGAAGAGCAUAUUUUUACUUCAAUAGCACAAUCAUUUAGGACUCGAAUAUGAACCACAUAUGCUACUCCACAUCCUUAUAAUUUUUAUUUAUUUUUAUAUUUUUUUGAAGUUAAUCAACAAUAAAGAAUCAUUCUUUAUAUUAUUGGACAUUCCUUACGUCAAAGUUAUUCAUCUAUGUUUAUAAACAUCAAUAAUGGAUCAAACUUCAGUUUUCAUCUAUGUAUGUUACAAAAGUCUUACUUGACUAUUUGAAAAGGUAAGUUACAUCUUCAAUUUAUCAAGAUAACAUCCAAAUAACAUUAUAAUGACCGUUUCAAUAGUAAAAUUCAUCAAGUAUUUUUGAAUUUUUUUUAACUAAGAUUGUGAUCUCGGUGUUGUCAAUGAGGGUCUAAUUGAAGUGUUGAGUGGUGAAACAUUAUUUGUAGUAUAUCAUCAAAUGGUCAUGCAUAAAAAUUUCUAACAGAACUGAACUAAUUGGUUCAACGGUGUAAAGAUUUUUAAAGAUAAAUGACCAACUUGAAAUUUUAAAUUAGGUUAAAGCACCUCUUGUGUAAUUUUGCCAAUAAAGUAAAGAGGAGUUCUUAGCUUUAACUCUUUAAGAACUCAAGAAAUCACUUCAUUUGGAGAUGCUCUAAAUAACAAGAAACUUGGUUGUGCAAUUGAUUGGUCAUGAAAUUUUUAGAUAUAAUCUUUAAAAUUUAUAUCUUUUGUUAUACAUAUUUAUUAUAUAAUAUAAGUAUGAAGGAAAAUAAAAUCUCACUAUAUUAGUAAUCAUUGAAUAUUAAAGAAAAGGUUGAUGUUUGAGAGGGAAAAAAAUUUGCAAAUAAAAAGACUAAGAACUAAAGCAAAAAAUUGAAAAUAAGAAAAAUCAGAGUGAAAAGAUAAUUGCAUUUAAUGUUAUACUGUCAUGCUUAGUUAAUUUAAAAGUUGAUAUAUAGAAUAAUAUAAUAUGAUGAAUAUAUUACAAUACAUUUUAGUAUUAUAAUGUAGUGUAGUGUGUAUGAUGUAAUUUAUUUAAAAGUGGGAAUAGUUAUUGUUUGGAUUAUAAGCUGUUCUGUUUCAUAUAAGUAUAUAGACAUGGACUAAUAUGUCUCAAAAGAAUGUUAGCGGGGCAUAGCCCAAAUGCAUAAUAAAUCUCAAUCAUCAUCUUACCUCCAUCCUCAGGUAAAUCGGAGGUCCAAAGUGUAAGGUUGUCUCUCAACAAUUGCAUGAUCAAAGUACUGUCCUUGUAUGACUCUUCACUCAAGGUAUCUAAAUCCGCAAUUGCCUCAUCGAAAGCUUGUUUAGCCAAAUGACAGGCCCUGUAUGUUUCAGUAAUGACAUUUAAAUGAGAGUUAGCAAUAAGAGCAAUUCACUGAACCUAUGCAGAUCAUAUAAUAGUGUUAGAACUUAGAAGCACAGAUGUGUGAUGUUUUUUGAAUUAAAUCUAGAUAUAUUCCUUGUUGAAAACAAUUCUAUUCGAGGCCUACAUAAUAACGAGAGUAUGAUAGCUCUCAAGAAAUUUGUUUGGCACAAAAGAUCAAAAAAGGGAUCUCUCAGUAAGCAGUAUCCUUGAACAUAUUCCCACCACUUGUAGAGCUAGCAUACUACAACUAGGCCAAUCCCAUUGGAUUAUUUGUGUGUGAUAGGAUGUGAGAAAAUUGUACUCCUAUAUUUUAUAACAGAUGAUUGUUAAUUAACUUGGUUGGAUGGACCAAUACCUAAUGAGUAAUAAACUAAUAAUGUUCAAUAAACUAUAAACCUAAUGAGUAAGAGAUGAUUUUUUAAUGGCCCGAACUAAACAUAUGAACUUCACACUUUUAAUCGUGCAUAGUAAUUAGUAAGAUGGUAGCUACAUGGUCACCCUGUCCUCUAUUAAAAAACCCGUUUGGUCUGAAAGUUUACUUUUGGACAUCAUGAAAUUUACUUCCAGACGGAACAAAAUCAGUAACUUGCUAAACACACUACCAAACUCAAUCUAUGCCAUUAAAGAGUAUAAGUAACUUGCCUUUCAGGAGAGUUCAGUAUCUCAUAGUAGAAAACAGAGAAGUUGAGUGCAAGUCCAAGACGGAUUGGAUGUGUUGAUGGAAGAUCCGUGCUUGCAGAUGCGGAAGCAGCCUAACAAUCAUAGAAAUAUUUUGUACAUUAAAACAAGGCACCAUAAAUAGAGAUUAACACAAAACAUUCAGUGGUGAAAUGAGGGAGAUAUCAGACAAUAUACCAACCUCAUAUGCCUUCAGUGACUGCUCAGCUGCCUCCUUCCUAUCUUGUUCGCUCUUAAACUCAGCAAGAUAUCGAUAAUAGUCACCUUUCCUGCAGGAUGAAACAAGCUUAUGGAAAUCAAAUAGAGAACCAAAGCAUGAAAAAGCUAGCAAGAACAAAGAGACGUCAUGUUAUAUGAGACGAAAUAUUAUUUGCAAAACCAGAACCAAUAAGCAGAAUAUUCUGUUACCUUUUAUUUCUCAGCAAGUAAUAUAUUGAGAUACAAAAAUAAAUUCAAGAUACAAUGUUCCCUUUUAUCUCAGAUGUUAUACUUAAUAUUAAUAUGUGCUACACUUAUGAAUGAAUUCAUAUCAAACGAUUCAUAUUAUUGCUUUAACAAUUGGGAUUUAAAAUACAAACUUAAUUAAAUAUGAGUCGUGUGAUCUUUCAUCCAAUGAACAAAAUCAAAUAUAGUGAUCACAAAAUAUUUUGACCGUGCCUGUGAACUUUUUACUGCAUUAAAAUCGAUUUGCAAUUUUAUUCCAUUUGGAAACAGAUUCUCAAAAGCAGAUGAUUAUUAAAUUAACCAAGAAAACGGCACAGGUAAAACAACAUGACUCACAUCUUAUAGUAGAAAACAGUAGCUUCUCCUGUGGUGGAAGAAGGAAUGAGAUGUUGGUCAAUAAUUGUGAGAAUGUCGCUGCAAAUUUUGGACAGUUCCUCCUCAACCUUUUGGCAAUAACUCUUGAUCAGUUUCACAUUGUUCUCAUUUCCCUUACCCUCUUCUUUCUGUUCAAUUGAAGACAUAAUUCUCCAAGAAGCUCUCCGUGCACCAAUGACAUUUUUAUAUCCCACUGAGAGGAGAUUCCUCUCUUCCACAGUUAGUUCAACAUCAAGUUUCGCUACGGUCUUCAUGCACUCAACCAUUUCUGCAUCAUAUAUACAUAUAUAAGUAUGUGUUUUCAACAUCAAUAUAUCACAUCAUUCAUUAAUUGUUUACAAUUUGUAUGUUAACACCACAAAAUUACACCCUACAUAACAACUAUCAGUCUAACCAUGCAAGAUGGUAGACAUUCAACAAUAGUUAUAUAACAUUUUGAUAAAAUUAAUUUAAAGGUGACACAAAUUGAUUUUGUAAAAUGGAUUCUGACUAAAAGCGAGUUGAAUGUAAAAUGAUUUAUGUUUGUCCCAUAAGUCCUAGCUCAAGUAGCAAAAAUGCCGAAAUUGAUAGGCCGGACGUCGUGACCCGGGUUCGAACCCCAGAUCUCACAAGUCACAAUUAUAUGUGAGUUUAAUUUAAGUGGAUUACCACUUGAUCUAAGACCAAAAAAAAAAUGAUUUAUGUUUGGAUAUAUUCCCGUAAACAUGGAUGGAACAUUAAAUUCAAGGCUAAAAUCAAUUAUAGAUUCAAGUUAGAAUUAAUUUCGAACAUCCAAUCAUACCAAAAGUGAAACCAAUCAAAAUGCUUUAUGAUCCCAUGCAAGUAGAAUCAAGUAUUUAUUAUCAACAAAAUUUCUAAUUCUGUCAAAAACAAUUGUAUUGUAUCCAAUGUAGAAUAGUAAUUGAUUUGAAAAACUCCAAAUAACAACCAAACGUACAUUGAAAUUAACAUUAUGUAUAUAAAAUCAAUUAGAUAAAGUUAACAUUAAUUAAUCUACACAUGAUUUAAGGCACAAUUAAAGGAACCAGGAAAUGAAUGAAGAAAACUGAAACCUUCAUAUCUCUCUGCUUGCUCAGCAAGCUUGGCCAUGUAAACCUGAGUCUCUCUCUCUUUCUCCGUCGACAUUGUUGUGUAAGAGGGGAAAAACCAAGUUUGUGAUUGUGUGAUGUGUUUGUGGAGAAGAAGAAUGCAAGCGAGCGAGGAAGAAGGGAAUGUACGAAAGGGUAGUUAUAUAGGUGGAGCAACUUGUGGAAGACUAGAUCUCAACCGUUGGAUUUAUGUCAGAUUUUCCUGGCUUGUAAUUCAUGUCAGAUUUUGAAUUUGAAUGAUGAAGAAAGCGCACAUGAGAAAAAAAAAAUUAAAUGAAAAAAAUUAAAUGAUGUGAGAAUAUUAUUAUUAUUUUAUUUAUGGCUUAUAUAUACAUUUGGUCCCUUACGUUUAUUUUAGGUUUCAAUUUAGUCCCUUACGUUUAAAAAGUAUCAAUUUGGUCCCUUACGUUUAUUUUAGGUUUCAAGUUGGUCCUUUCCNNNNNNNNNNNNNNNNNNNNNNNNNNNNNNNNNNNNNNNNNNNACUUGGACACGCUGACACGUGUACUGUUCAAACGGUGUUAGUGACAAAACUAACGAAAAGGACUAACUUGAAACUUAAAAUAAACGUAAGGGACCAAAUUGAUACUUUUUAAACGUAAGAGACCAAAUUGAAACCUAAAAUAAACGUAAGGGACCAAAUAUGUAGUUAAACCUUUAUUUAUUUAUGAGCUUGUGCCGUGUCUAAAUACUUUUUUCUUGGAUUUGUGUUUAACUAUAUCCUCUCCAUUUCUAAUUUUUUUUCAUUACCUCCAUUAUUAUAUAGCUUUGGGAAUAUAAAUGCAAAAGUGUGAUAUUAAGUAGGUCCAGAUAUCUUUUAUACACCCUAAAACAUUUAAAAACUUUGGUAAUAGAAAAAAUAGAAAUAAUAGAAAAUGGAGAGAAUCUCAACUCCUAAGUAAUUAGGAUCCUCUCUAUAUUCUAAAAUGGAGAGGAUCUCAACUCCUAACUAAGUAUUUCUCAAUAUAUUUUUGAAUGAGACUCAUCCAUUUUACUCAUGUCCAUCCGUUGUAGUCAUUCACAAUGACUAGUUCAUACUUCUUACCAUUCAUUUACAUAGGAUGUUUUAACAGGACCAAACAAAUCAAUGUGUAAAAGUUUCAGACGCCUAGAGGUAGAAACAACAUUCUUUGAUUUGAAAGAGGUUUUUAAAAAUUUGCUUUUGUGACAUGCCUCACACAGAGCAUCUGGAAGCAAAUUUCAAAUUAGGAUGACCUCCGACUAAAUUGAGUUGAUUAAGCCUUGAGAUUCUUCUCAUACUAAUAUUGUUCAAUCCUUCUGACUAACGGCUUUACAUGACUCUUGAUUAAAUAUAAUGUCAUAACCAUUGUCAUUUAAUUGUCUUAUUGCCCGAUGAUUAUGCAUUAGAGCUUCAACUAAUAAAACAUUUUUAACUGAUUGUGCUAGCAAUUCUUAAUACAACGACUCUUAUUCUGUCCUAUAUAUAUAUAUAUAUAUAUAUAUGGGACUAUAAGCAUUUGAAGAAAUAAGUUUUGAACUCACAACUACUGAUAUACUCUUUGAAGGUAAAGCACAAAAACCCUUAGAAUAUUCUUACAAACUAUGUAUCUUAAAAUAUCANNNNNNNNNNNNNNNNNNNNNNNNNNNNNNNNNNNNNNNNNNNNNNNNNNNNNNNNNNNNNNNNNNNNNNNNNNNNNNNNNNNNNNNNNNNNNNNNNNNNNNNNNNNNNNNNNNNNNNNNNNNNNNNNNNNNNNNNNNNNNNNNNNNNNNNNNNNNNNNNNNNNNNNNNNNNNNNNNNNNNNNNNNNNNNNNNNNNNNNNNNNNNNNNNNNNNNNNNNNNNNNNNNNNNNNNNNNNNNNNNNNNNNNNNNNNNNNNNNNNNNNNNNNNNNNNNNNNNNNNNNNNNNNNNNNNNNNNNNNNNNNNNNNNNNNNNNNNNNNNNNNNNNNNNNNNNNNNNNNNNNNNNNNNNNNNNNNNNNNNNNNNNNNNNNNNNNNNNNNNNNNNNNNNNNNNNNNNNNNNNNNNNNNNNNNNNNNNNNNNNNNNNNNNNNNNNNNNNNNNNNNNNNNNNNNNNNNNNNNNNNNNNNNNNNNNNNNNNNNNNNNNNNNNNNNNNNNNNNNNNNNNNNNNNNNNNNNNNNNNNNNNNNNNNNNNNNNNNNNNNNNNNNNNNNNNNNNNNNNNNNNNNNNNNNNNNNNNNNNNNNNNNNNNNNNNNNNNNNNNNNNNNNNNNNNNNNNNNNNNNNNNNNNNNNNNNNNNNNNNNNNNNNNNNNNNNNNNNNNNNNNNNNNNNNNNNNNNNNNNNNNNNNNNNNNNNNNNNNNNNNNNNNNNNNNNNNNNNNNNNNNNNNNNNNNNNNNNNNNNNNNNNNNNNNNNNNNNNNNNNNNNNNNNNNNNNNNNNNNNNNNNNNNNNNNNNNNNNNNNNNNNNNNNNNNNNNNNNNNNNNNNNNNNNNNNNNNNNNNNNNNNNNNNNNNNNNNNNNNNNNNNNNNNNNNNNNNNNNNNNNNNNNNNNNNNNNNNNNNNNNNNNNNNNNNNNNNNNNNNNNNNNNNNNNNNNNNNNNNNNNNNNNNNNNNNNNNNNNNNNNNNNNNNNNNNNNNNNNNNNNNNNNNNNNNNNNNNNNNNNNNNNNNNNNNNNNNNNNNNNNNNNNNNNNNNNNNNNNNNNNNNNNNNNNNNNNNNNNNNNNNNNNNNNNNNNNNNNNNNNNNNNNNNNNNNNNNNNNNNNNNNNNNNNNNNNNNNNNNNNNNNNNNNNNNNNNNNNNNNNNNNNNNNNNNNNNNNNNNNNNNNNNNNNNNNNNNNNNNNNNNNNNNNNNNNNNNNNNNNNNNNNNNNNNNNNNNNNNNNNNNNNNNNNNNNNNNNNNNNNNNNNNNNNNNNNNNNNNNNNNNNNNNNUUGUCUUAUGAACCGAUGAUUAUGCAUUAGAGCUUCAACUAAUAAAACAUUUUUAACUGGUUGUGCUAGCAAUCAACGACUCUUAUUCUGUAUAUAUAUAUAUAUAUAUAUAUAUAUAUAUAGNNNNNNNNNNNNNNNNNNNNNNNNNNNNNNNNNNNNNNNNNNNNNNNNNNNNNNNNNNNNNNNNNNNNNNNNNNNNNNNNNNNNNNNNNNNNNNNNNNNNNNNAAGGCUAAUAAUAGUUUCUUAUAUUAACUCAUGUGUGUAUCUAUUUAGGAGAUUCAUUAUUUUUAGAUUGCAUAAAAAUUUGAUUUGUUGUUCUACAAAAAAAAAAAAAUUGUUCAAAUAAAAUAAUAAUAAUAAUAUUUUGUUGCUCUAGAAAACAAAUUGAUUUAUUGUUAUUCAAUCACCCCAAACAUUACUAUUCCCCUUUACGUUUUCAUUCUCAUGGUGUAUGAAUUGAGUUUAUGAAUCUAUUGGACAUAUAAGUUAUAAAUCAUUGAAAGCAAAUACAUAUAUGAAUCAUCAAUCAUGGUAUAUAUGGGUAUAAAAAUUCAAUUUUAUCGGUUUUAGUAUAGAAAACAAUUUUAAUUAAAUUGAGUUUGGUAGUAGGUUGUUUAUGUGCAUAGUUUGCAAUUGACAUUGACAGUUAAGCAAAGGAGAAUGAAAACGCAAGGAGAAUAGUAAUGAUGGGGAUAACAACAAUUUAUUUUUGUAGAACAGCAAAUCAAUUUUUUUUUGUAGAAAAAAAAAUUAUUUUUUUUUUGGUAGAACGCUUAUCAAAUUUUUUUUGGUAAAAUAACAAAUCAAAUUUUUAUGCAACCUAAAAAUAAGGAAUCUCCUAAAUAGAUACACACAUGAGUUAAUAUAGGAAACUAUUAUUAGCCUUUGAUUAAAAGAAAUAGACGGUUGAGAUUNNNNNNNNNNNNNNNNNNNNNNNNNNNNNNNNAUAUAUAUGGGACUAUAAGCAUUUGAAGAAAUAAGUUUUGAACUCACAACUACUGAUAUACUUUUUGAAGGUAAAGCACAAAAACCCUUAGAAUAUUCUUACAAACUAUGUAUCUUAAAAUAUCAUAAGACUUAAAAAUUCUGAGCUUAAUUUAGUUUAGGGUCUUGCUAACUAGUGCCCCCGGGGCACUCUUUAAGCAUUCCAUUAAAAGAAACUUUUUAUUCAAAAAAUUAAACACUCCAAUUUCCAAUGCGUUGACUUUAUGCAUUUCCAUAAAAAUUCUAUAAAAAACUUAUUAUUUAAGGGCUUAAAAAGUGCCUCAAAGGCACUAUUUAGCAUUUGCCUUUAGUUAUCACUCUUUAAGUCUUAUGUGAUUAUAAUUUAUAAUGAAUAAACUUUCUUAUGUGAGGAGACCGGACUAUCCCUAAGAUUAAGGAAUUAACUAGUAUAAAAACUUUCUAUCAUUUUCUAUCCUUUUUAUACUUGAUCAUUCUUGCAAACUAUUCUUGACUUAAAAAGUGUUUCAGACAAAGAAAACACAAUUUAAAGUUUUGAACCCUUUUUUAUUUUUGUAUUUUUUUCAAAAAUUUUGCAGAUUUUUUUUAUUUUUAUAGCAUCCAACGUUUAAGUAGAAAAAUAACAAAUUGAAAAACUAACAAAACACACGAGAAGCAUUAAAAAAACGUGAGCCGUUAUUAAAACAUUAUAAAGUUGAUGAUUCCCACCAAGAAUUUGAUCGCCGAGUGUGCCGUCAAAAGAAAUUCUCUCGAUUUCCAAAGGCAGAGGAAGAUAAAAUAAGGAGAUACAUGUCGGUUAGAACAGUCCAAUAAGGCAUAAGCAAUAACCAGCCGGCCAUAAGACGGACGACAUAGAGGAAUGAUACCACAUCUGGUGACCUGGAUUUGGAGAAUAAUACUAUAUAUAUAUAUAUAUAUAUAUAUUAAAUUAAAUUUUUACAAUCUGUUUUGACCAACAACAAAAAAAAAUUACAAUCUGGAAUCACGUUAAACCAAACAUAUAUUAUCAGAACUGCAUAAAUUCUUACUAUAAUUUGGAUCACAAUUAUACAUAAAUCCUAUACCACAUAUAUUUUAAUUUAAAGAGUAUUAGCUGUAUAGAAAUUCUCUAAGAGCAUUACUGUUGGCAAUUUUGAACGUUUUGCCUUAGAAAUUUUAAUUCGAAAACAGUUUCUUAAAUUUGAAAUUAUAUUUGUAGAAACUUUGACCCAGUGGAUCAACAAACAAAAUUCUUAUGGACUGAGUUCUCACUUCUCAAAGAAUUCUGUAAGGGAAGGUUGUGCUACUAUCUCAAUUUCAUUAAAUUUCGUGGCCAUUCACAUUCUUUCUCAAAAACUGGUGAUUGUUCAACAAAAUGCUAUAAUUCCAAUGAUCAAUAAAGAAAUAAAGAAGAAUAAAAAAUGCUAACAAGAUAUUGGAUGAAUGAAUUACUACAAACAACCUUGACAAAAAGAUAAAAAAGAACUGUAGCUAAAUUCAACAUGAACCUUCACAAUCUACAGCUUCUUCAAUCUCUUGACCAAGUUGUGGUAAAGAUUGAAGUCAAGGCUCUGAGCUCUAUAUAUACACGUGGCAAUUAAACAAUCCAUUCCCUGAAAUUGUAUAAAUAGUGACAUUAUUUCAGAUGUAUGCUAGCUAUAGCCAAAUUCAUAUCUGAAUUUCAGAGUUUCCAGGAGGACUUGAGUUAUCAUGGACCUUGCGUCUGGGAUGACUUGCACAAGUUUUUCUUAAUGAAACCAUGAUGUUUAAAUUUAAUCCAACAAAAAUGCUACUCAUUUUUACCAAAACAAUAAAAUUUACCGAGUUUAGAUAGAGAAAAGAAGAGUGUAGAGAAAUUACCAGAGCAAAAAAAUUGUGUUCAUCUGUCAUGGUGAUUAGUGAGAUAUAUUAGUGCUCAAUCAUUUUUUCAAAAAUAAUUUCUGGCAAACAAGUAGACGCUGGUCACUGCCAUUCUGAAGAUCAAUUAUCCUUGCUUCCCAACGUACUUGAGUUGCAAGCGUGCGAGCCAUCUCAAUUGUUCCCACUGUAUCAGAAAGAAUGACCCAUCCCUACAAAAAUAGUGACGUGUAUUAAGAAAAAUUAAGCUACAUAGACCUUUCCAUUACACUGAGACUGACAACUAUUUGUAUUCAAAAACACAAAUCCAAUAUUACAUUUCAUACGGAAUUCACAACAAUAAAUGAGCAUGCUUCAUUAGAGUCAACUGGCUUAUAAACAAUCAUCUGCCAAGAUGAGAUCAUCCUUUCUGGAGGUUUUGCCCAAAAAAUGGUCAGAAAGGAAGAGGGUGGAAAGUACCAGAUUACUGUUCCUUUACACUUAAAAUAACAAUGACGAAACUUUCCAGCACAAUCAUGAAAAGGAAUAUAAACACCAAGAUCAUACCUCUGGCCGUAGUAUCCUAUCCAUCUCCAAGAAUAAGUCUAUCAUGCUGCACCGUUCUGAAAUGAACUGUGACAAAAGUCCAUUUGCGUGAAGGAGAUCAUAUGUUCGUGGGUAGGUGGGGAAAGGUUCACACCUGAAGAUCAACAUCAUUAGUUAGAAAGAAAACAAUUAUCUGGAAGUUCAUAUGCAUUAACAGUAUUUUACAAAAAGCUUUGCAACAAACUCGACGAAUUUUGAUCCAACAAAUCAGGUGCAUGCUACAUUAACCUUAAAAUUUAUUCUCAAAAGGAAAACAAUUUUAAAAAAUAAACUGAAUAUUUGGUACUGAAAUUUCAGCACCAUAUAUGCAGUAUGUUAAAGGAAAUUAUCGGCAUAUUUAUGAAACUUGUAGUAUGUUUGUUAAUGGAAACUAUUUGCAUAUUUAUGAAUCUUACGAAUCUUGCAUUAAAUAUCAAAAUAUAAUUUACUAAAUAAAUAAGAAGUUUCCAGGGAAUUAUUUUGUACAUAUGGUACAUACACCACCAAACCAUUUUCAGCAAUAAAAUAAUCAUGAACAUCAUCAUAUCUUUUUUAGUAAAUUAUCUAAAACUAUUUUUAAUUUUCCAACUAGUAUAAACUACAAUUCUGUUAUUUGUCAUAAGCAUUUCCAUUGAUAGUGCACGAGAAAUACAUUUAUCAGGCUUUCGUGGUAUUGUCUGUUUAUCACCCUCAACCAAAAACAGUCUUACUCCAGUCAGUUUUUAAAUUAUAAGAAACUUUGUCUAGAUCAAACACAACUUGUCUAGAUCAUGAACAAAUAGCAACAUACCAGUCAUGCAUAACACCAGCAAAACCUCUCUCUAGUAUGAGAGGAAGUGCAUUAGAAGCCCUGGCAGGAACAACAUUCAUGACCCACACUGAUUUUUUCUCCUCCAGCAGUGCAGCAUUCAAACCCCCAUAAUUAGAACUCAUGUCCAUAACAUUGCGGAUCAUGUUAUAUGGAGGCAGUGGAUCUUCAUCUCCAGGUCUCUUUGGAUGGUCAGAGAAAAUUAACGGUGUAAGCAGGGACCAGUAAUUAUCGACAGCUGACCUCCAAAAAUGCAUGUCUUCAUAAAACUCGUCAGGCUGAACUCCUGCAAUAAUAAAGGGAAAUUAAUGAAAAGGAAAAGCAAAUCAAAACGGGAAAAAAAUUUCGCAGAAGGAAGAGGAUGUAAGCUGAAUGCUUCUAAGAAAUAAUACUUUCCAUGAAUUUCAAGCUCAGCUGAACUAAAUUCAGAAUCAAAGGAUUUGUUCUGUAUGGCAAUCCAGCGCUUGCUAGAUGUACCACUAAUACAUGGUACAAGAGGCUUGUAGUAUGAUUGAGUAUCAUCCGCUUCUUUACAUAGUUGAAUAGCAUGCUGCUUGCUAGAAUGAAGAAACAAAAGCUAAAGUUAUAUUAUCGUAGUAACUAGCAAGUGAUCAACGGAGAAAGACAAUAUCAUAACUAGCAGCAGUCUUGUUCAAAAAAUAUAUAUAUCACCUACACUAAUUCAAAUAUCCUUACCGAGAUGCAUAACAAUCAAGGUCAGCAGUCUUCUGCCAGAUGAAAGUCUCAUCUUGCUGAGCUAGGAGCGUCCAACAGAGUUGCUGAGUCAGCUCUUCCAUCGGGUUCAACGUGAUUCUCUUUUUCUCCCUUGAUGAACCUGGUAGCUUGCUUGUAGGUGAUGUUAAAACAAAAUAUCCUCCAGGUUUAAGAACACGGUCAACUUCUAUGAGGAACAUUCCAUCUGUAGGAUGAGGUCAAUAUUAGAGAUCAAAGGAUACCAUUUCAUACAGAAGCUAAACAAUACUCAGUAUGUUAUGAAAAGUCGUGGAAGGAUAGAAAAAGCAAAUGGAAAUGAUAUACAAAGAAUGGAAGAAAAACAAGAAAAUGGGACAACAUCCAAAUAUAAACGAUAUGAAAAGCCAUCCAUUUAAUUGUUGAAAAACAAAUUAAUUAAAAAAGAACACCUUUGAUUUGAUAAAUCGAAAUAUAUUUAGGUUCUAUGAGCAAGAUAUUAAUAGAUACAUAGACUACUGGGCAUAAACUAUCAAAAUCAAACCAGGAAGUGACUUAGAUUUGGACUUAAAUCAUAUACAUUCCAUUCUAGGACAUACAUACCCAAGAUAUUAAAUCAGCUUAUAAAAGAUGAAUUAACAUAAAAUACAUAGAGGCUAUGGAGAUGCUAGGAAAAGCCAAAUGGUAUGCAAUUCGAGAGUAUCUGAUAACAUGGUUCCACAGUUCCACUGUCCCAAAGCUUUGGUAAUUAGGAGGUAGCCAACAAAAGUUCAAUAUUAUUUGCAUGUCUCUUCAUGGAACCAUAAAUAAGGUGGGUGACAAGUAUGGUGCUUCUGGAUAUUUGAUUAUAGAUAUUCUUAAAAGGAUCAACAUGUCAAGUAUCGAUUAUCUCAUAAACUUGAGUUGUUGGAUGAAGGUCAAGAAUGGUUUUAUAUCUCUAACACACAGGAGGAUCACCACACAUUUGUUUCAUUUCAAGGGUUAGUUAUACCUCAAUCACUGAUUUGACAAGUAGCCUAAUCAUGCUAAUUUUGGUUUCACAGUCUAUAACACCAAUUAUUGCACGCCCAACUCAGUUUUCUCUCUUAUUUGUUAACGAAAUACAACUUUCGACAAAAACUGUGACUUGAAUUUAAAAUAUAUGACAUAUGAAUCUCUACCUAAGAGAUUAUAUUGAUAAAGAAGUUUGAACUUUAUGAAGUCUAUAAGGAAAUCCAUUAAGCUAAGAAUAAAAAAGUAAUGCUCAUAGCUAUAAAAUUACCCUUUUCAUCCCAAAUGAUGCCACAUUGAGCACAGUGAAUCAUGUCAUAUGAUAAUGAUGGAUAUGGAAGCUGUCUUGCAAUGAAGUUGCCAAUCAUAGCAGGAAGACCUCUCUCAAGAGCCAAUUGAACUUGGCUGCCAGUUGCCUCAUAUGCCGCAACACAAACCGCCAUUAUUUUAAGUGACAACAAAUGAGCUCCAAAGCUACCAAAUCCACAAUUAAUGUCCAGUAUAGUUCGAACCUGUUAUAUUAUGAGCAAAAUAGAUCAGUAACAUAUAUUAUGCAACAAAAGACCAGACCUUAGUGAAAAUCAAGAAGAGAUAUAUGGGAAGCUGAAUAGCAUAAUCUUCCUUACUGUACCAUGCACGAACUUUGUCCCUGUAAAACACUACACGGUUCCCCGAAAAAAACAACAAUUGUUGGAUUAUGGUUAAUGGAUGACUUACACCAGCUUGAGGAAGUUCAGUAUCACUUCCUAGCCCUAUCAUCUCUGCAAUUUGGCGAGAGUAGUCUUUCACCCCAUCAAAGAUCAAACCAUCCUCUGAGUGAAAGGCAAUUUGAUUCUCUUCUAGUAGCAUCAACCUAGAGAAACCACAGCACAACAUUUAUUUAUAGAAAGUAAAGGAAAAAAAGAAGAAAAAAACUUUAUGAAUCAAUCACAGCCCUGAUAAAAGUUAAGUUACUUUCAUUCAAGCAAUCUAUCAUUCAAAAUUAACAAACAAUCAUUCAAUCAAUCAGUAGUUACAAGGGUUUCAAAAUUCAAAUAGUGGUAAAAAAUAAAACACAACUGAAAAGAUUUUUUUUUAUCCAAAGGAAGUACCUUUUGGUCAUACUUCCAGAUGAAAGAAAUUGAUCUUUGGUUAUCUUCACAUUCCCACUCCAUAUAAUAUCUCUGCCACUGGGCCAACGCAAUGGAAUUUUGUAUUCCUUUGGAGGACGAACCAAACACCGGUCUUCUUCCGUCAACAAUUUGCAGUGCCGAUCCAGCUCCUCACCCUGUUCAAAUCCAGACAACAAAUUUGCAGUCACAUUGUGGCAUGGCACGUAAUUUUCCCUUUCUUUUCCACAAAGUCCUAAUUCCUUUUGCCUUGAACCACCACUGGAAACAGAUUUCAGCUCCAAAUAAUCAACCGCUACACGCUCCUUUAUCCUCCUGUAGUUUGUGUAGAUGAGAGAAGCCGGUCUCCGAGGCGAGGAAUCAAUUGCAUUGGAAGAUGAAGAACCAAACAAUGUAAUCAGAGCCAGAACAGUAAUCACAGUCAAUAUUAACCAGUUUAAUUUUGGUUUAGGGCCGAAAAUCAUCCACAAUUUAUUCAACAAAGAGCUUCUCAUGUCCAAAAUCGUAAAUCCGUCACGUACAGAGAAAGAGANNNNNNNNNNNNNNNNNNNNNNNNNNNACUAAAUCGUAAACGUAAACACCUUUAACCCUGGUUUUCCAACCAUAACCUAUCGUAAUACCAUGAAUCUUAGCCACAAGUACAGCAAGCAUUGAAACAAUAGGCUGAUCUGAAAAAGGAAAAACCGCGCAACGCCGAUCGAACGAAUGAGGAAACAAUCGAUGAAUCAGAUCGGAGAGUGAAUUGAAAAUGGAAAACGAAUCCGAUCGAAGAAGUUAGGAGAGGAAAAUGGAGAAUUAGGGUUUUUGGUUGAAGAAGAGAGUGAGAUUGAUGAUUUAGAAAGCAAAUUGUGAAUGGUGAAGAAGAGCGCUAAUUGCGGUUGGGUCCAAACUGUUUGGAUUCUUGUUACUAAACUUUACUACUUCUCUUCGUAAUUUUUAUCAAUUUCCUUAUAUACUACUACUUCCGUUUCAUUUAUUAAACAGAUCCAAAAAUACAGACCAUAAUUUACUUUUUAAACAAACAAUUUCUUUAAAUGGAAUUCUUGGAUUUCUUUAGUAAUGACGAGUUUGGAUAAUAAAUUAUAAGUUAUGAGUUCGAUUCACAACUUAUUGUGAAAAAAAUUAUGCAAAGUGGUGGGAUUAAACUUGAGAAUCGUUUGUAGCUAGAAUUGAUUUACUUGAAGCUAGAAAUUGUAGUUUCUGAUUCUAGAAUUGAUUUUUACACUUAAAUUCUUUCUUCAACCCACUUUUAUAUGAAUAUAUUCAAACAUAAAUCAAUUAUGUCAAACUCAAUUCUGUCAAACUCAAUUCUGUUAAAAUCAAUUCAGUCUACCGCAAAACCAAACACAUACUGUGAAGAAGAAUAUUUAUAUAUAUAGUAGUAACAAAUAUUGAUUUUAUAUGGUCUUGGGCUUAAGCGCUUUGUAUUUCAGAAAAAUAAAUAUUUAUAUAUAUAGUAGUAACAAAUAUUGAUCACUUUAUUCUUUUAAGCUUAUUUCAGUAGGUGUGAACGUCAAAUUAUAUGAGCGGUGUUCGAACUUCAAACACUAUACUUAUUUACUUUUAAGGAUGAAAUUUUUAGUCAUUAUAUAUAUUUCGUGACAAAAAAAUAUUGAUAACUUUUUUUAGUCACGAUUACACAAAAAAAAUAUAUUAUAUUAAAAAUACAUAGACUAUUUUAUUAUUUUCUCAUUCUACCUUUUAUUAAACAUAUAUGUGUUACUAAAUAAAUAUAAUAACUAAAUUUUAAAUCCCUUUAACUUUNNNNNNNNNNNNNNNNNNNNNNNNNNNNNNNNNNNNNNNNNNNNNNNNNNNNNNNNNNNNNNNNNNNNNNNNNNNNNNNNNNNNNNNNNNNNNNNNNNNNNNNNNNNNNNNNNNNNNNNNNNNNNNNNNNNNNNNNNNNNNNNNNNNNNNNNNNNNNNNNNNNNNNNNNNNNNNNNNNNNNNNNNNNNNNNNNNNNNNNNNNNNNNNNNNNNNNNNNNNNNNNNNNNNNNNNNNNNNNNNNNNNNNNNNNNNNNNNNNNNNNNNNNNNNNNNNNNNNNNNNNNNNNNNNNNNNNNNNNNNNNNNNNNNNNNNNNNNNNNNNNNNNNNNNNNNNNNNNNNNNNNNNNNNNNNNNNNNNNNNNNNNNNNNNNNNNNNNNNNNNNNNNNNNNNNNNNNNNNNNNNNNNNNNNNNNNNNNNNNNNNNNNNNNNNNNNNNNNNNNNNNNNNNNNNNNNNNNNNNNNNNNNNNNNNNNNNNNNNNAAUUAAAAAGUGUCGGGGGCACUCGUUCAUUAGCAUUUACCAAUAAAAUAUUACAAGUAGGCUUUCUUAAUUUAAAAUGUAAUCUAAAAUUAGUAGCCUAGUUCAUAAAAAUAAAAAUAAAAAUAAAAAUAAAAAUUAGUGGCAUUGCAUUCGUGUUGACAACUUACUUACACAUCGUGUUGCAGGCAUAGUAUCUUUUUUUUAGUAAGUUUGUUUAUACUUAUAAUAGUAAGUUGUACUACAGCUCAAAAAACAAACAUAUGCGCUGCACCUGCACGUCCAGCUAGCAGAUAUGAUUUCGUAGCAUUCAAAAAGUUCCCAAACGAAACAAACAUCCAUUGGACCUAAAUAUUCUAGAUUUCAUGCAAGAUCGUAUAAAUUCAGAAUGUUUUAUUGGAAAAUACUAUCUUUUAUAGUUAGACAAAAAUUAAUAUUUAAAAAAUAUAAUGUGUUAAGAUAAUAAGUUGUUAGGCUUUAUAUUAUUGGGCCCGUUAGGCUUAUAGUCCACUAGGUUUUGCUAUAUAAUCUCUUGUAACUCUAUUUUAUUAAGCAAAUGCAAUUCUAAUAUUAUGUAACCGUAGUUGUCUCCUUUGUUAUUCCCCUAGUUUGUAUCUUUGAUUCUAACAUGAUAUCGAGAGCUUGUUUCGAUCCUCCUUAGAUUGUGUAUUGUUAUCCGCUGCCGAGUUCCCAAUAGUUUGGGAAUGUGAUUAUUCUAUUGAGGUUGUGUUGCUGCGUUUUGAGUUCUCUUGGUUAAUUUCUAGGUUGGUCAAAAUUGGUUUCUAUUGAUGGUUUCUAUUGAAUCAAAUGAAUUUGGUUCGGCGGAGUGGAGAUAAUUUUCGUCUGCAAGGAAUCAACCUUUUAUGGCUUAUUGGAGAUUUAUAGGUACCGUCACUAAUAUCAAAUUUGGAAUUGGCAGUGCAAGGUACUUUGGUUAUUGGAAUAUCUCUAUUAGGCACAUGAUGUUCUACGGGUUGAAAGUGGCUUUUUGAUGGUGUCAUACAUUUGUAUUUGUCUUCCAUUUCCUUUGAAUUAGUUGAUUUUUGCUUUGAUUGUUGAGAAAAUUUAUUGAGUCGUCAUCAUCCAUAAUGUCUAGUGUCCUUUUAUGGUACUGUCUAUUGGUUCCUAUGUGUGAUUUAUGUUGGGUUUGUUUGUUUUCUUAGAGGAAAUGACACCGUGUGGGUGUUUGAGUUAGUAAAAAAAAAACAAAAAUUGGUUUGUUGGUUUGUUUGUCUUGAUUUGAUUUCUUUCAGUUCCACUUGAAUUGGUUUCGUUUCCAUAUGUUUCAAUUCGGUUAUUUGGUGAGUCAAAGUGCUCACAAUUUGAUUAUUUGGUGAGUUGAGUGCUCACAAUUUGAUUUCUUUUGAUUGAUUGUUGGUCUCUCUUGUUUGAUUGUUUCUCUUCCCCUUUUUUGAUUCUUCUUUGUUUGAUUGUUUCUCUCUUAUUAACUUCUUUUGUCUGAUUACUUCCCUCUAUUGGUUCUAUUUGAUUGAGCUUAUCUCCCUAUUGGUUUCUCCUUAUUAGUUCUUUUGUUUGAUUGCACUUCUCUCUUCUAAUUGAUUACAUUGCACUUCUCUCUGUCAAUUCUUCUGUUUGAUUGCUUCUCUCUAAUGAUUUCUUCCGUCUGAUUGUUUCUUUCUAAUGAUUUCGCUUCUCAUUGAUGAUGGUUUUGUCUGGAUCCUGUCUUAUUGCUUCUCCCUGCUGAUUUUCUUAUGUCUGAUUGCUUCUGAUGAAUUCCCUUCUCUUCUGUUGGAUUGCUCCCCUCUGUCUGUUCUUCUAUUUUAGUUGCUUCUCCUUCUAUUGACUGAUUCUUCUGUUUGGUGAUUUAGUUCACUUUGGAUUGGAACAAUUUGGUUUGGUAAAGUUUGGAUUUGUCGGAUUGGUUUGGAUUUGGUUAGCUUGGACUGAAUUGGAUGAAAUGGAUGUUAGCUUGGUUUGAUUUGAUUCUCCUCUCUAUCUCUGCAGGUUCCUCUUUUGGUACUAUUUGUGGCUCUUGGUUAUGAUAUUAGUUGAUUUAGUUUAAUUUUAUGGGUUAAUUUUGUAACAAGUUUAAAAGCUUAGUAAACUUUAGCUUGAGGGAUAAUAUUAAGAUAAAAUGUUGAGUUUAUAUUAUUAAGUAUGUUUUGUUUGACAAACUCUCGAUGCUUUUUGUUGUUGCAUCGUGAGUUUGAGGGUAAGUGUUAAGAUAAUAAGUUGUUAGGCUUUAUAUUAUUGGGCCCGUUAGGCUUAUAGUCCACUAGGUUUUGCUAUAUAAUCUCUUGUAACUCUAUUUUAUUAAGCAAAUGCAAUUCUAAUAUUAUGUAACCCUAGUUGUCUCCUUUGUUAUUCCCCUAGUUUGUAUCUUUGAUUCUAACAUAAUGCACAAAUUUCAAACAAAUAUUAUUACAUUUCCAUUCUUAACUUUUAGAGCAUAUGUUAAAUUGUCCUUAAGAUAAUUUAUUUUUGAAAAAUACUGACUAGUGUUUUUAGGAUAGUAUUAAAUAUACUAAAUAGGUCUUAAAACUUUUUUCUUUUUUAAUCAUCAGUAUCCGGCCAGCUAGACGGUCUAAUCGGUUCGAAUGUCAAUUUUGACAUCAAAUGGUUCCGACCUCCUCCCGAUCGUAGUAUAUUGUUUUUGGUACAUACUAUUAUAUUUUAUUUUUUCUUUGACAUGAAUGCUAUUAGAUAUGGACUAAUGCUACGGUGGACCACCUUUACAAGUGGUCCAUCGUGGAUAAGUGAUAUACCAAUACGACUUUUAUAAAAUUUACUGUUAGAUUGAAAAUUUAUAUCAUAUAGAUUAUCUAUAAAAAAUUCUUAGAAAAAUUAUAAAUGAUUUGAUAUGUUACUGAGACAUUGUGUCGUGACAUUUAACAUUAUCCUUAUCCUUUUUAUAAACAAAAAUAAUAAGAAAUUUUUUAUAUAUAUAAUCCUUCCACAGAGUACUUCUUAUAUUACCUUUUUUCUUAAUAUUCUUAUAUUACCUUCAUGAUUUUAUUAAAAUUUCAAUAUGGAUUAAUUCAAUGUUUUCUUAUUAUUGUUUUUAAGAGAGAACAACUCAACUCAUAUUCAGUGUUUUUUUAUUAUUUAUUUUUUAAAACUAAAUGUAUCAUCCGUGCGCAACUGUAAAGACUAAUUCCCUCGAGGUAACUGAGAUCCAUUUAAGAUGUUGAUCUCUCCUAACAAAUGCUUCUUCAUACGCACCGAUCAGGGAUCGAACCCAAGACCAAAUGGUUAAGAAGCCCAAGUAUUUUUGCCACACUAUAUUGGUCGGUAUGGUUUCUAAUAAAAAUGUGUUAAAUUGAAUUUAUGAUUAUCGGACGUUGUAUUACGCAUGGAGAAAAUGAGUUGUAACAAACAAAAUUCUUUCAUUUUCUUCUAAGCUCAAAAUAUAGAGAACUCUCGAUACAAGAAAAUGUAUAACAACCUGAGAAUAGAAAAUGAAAAGAAAAAACAUCCCUUGUUUAACAUUGAGUUCGACACUUGUGGUGUGACCAGCCCAACAUCUUUGUUUGAAGCAAAGCUUUCCUCGUUAGUUUGCUUUGGUUUGGCUUGUUUCGGGGGAGAGGUGAGCCGUUUAUGCUGUAUGGAAAAAGGAGCUCUCGUACUGUGCCAAACCUAACGAGGCCAAACAAGAAAAUGUAUAACAACCUUAAGAAUAGCAAAUGAAAAGAAAAAACACCCUUGUUUAAUAUUGAGUUCGACACUUGUGGUUCCUCUUCGAUAAUCGGUUCCAAUUUGAAGGAAUUUGUGGAUGGAUCUCAUCUCUCUUGCCAUUUGAAAAAUAAAAUGCAAGCAAUCCGUUGUUGUUUUCGAUGAAGAAAAUUAUUGUAUUGAAUAUUUAUUUGAAGCAAAUGAUUGAAUACAAUAGAGAUGAAAAGAGUUAAAAUAAAUAUGUUUUGAGCCCGUAAAAAGAGGACAAAACAUGGAAUGUCCAACUAUGAUAUAAUAUGGAUAUGAUAUUUUCUCUUUAGGCCCCCCACGUUUCUUUUAUACCCCCCUUACUUACGUUUUUGCCCCUNNNNNNNNNNNNNNNNNNNNNNNNNNNNNNNNNNNNNNNNNNNNNNNNNNNNNNNNNNNNNNNNNNNNNNNNNNNNNNNNNNNNNNNNNNNNNNNUGAAAAGAGUUAAAAUAAAUAUGUUUUGAGCCCGUAAAAAGAGGACAAAACAUGGAAUGUCCAACUAUGAUAUAAUAUGGAUAUUGCUUCAAUCCAAACAGCAAAGGAUUUAGGCAGAAUAUGUUUUCUAACUAAAUAUCGGUAACAAUUCUUUUUUCGUUACAAAUUCGGUGACGAUGCUUCUAUUUUUAGAAGGAAUUAUGUUUGCACUAUAGAGAUGGUAUUCUUAGGGUUGGGGACCGGCCAGGCCAAGCUUUGACAGGCCUGAGUCUGACAAACGAUUUUUCUUCGAGCCUAAGUCUGGUCUACGGCCUAUCAAAUGUUAUUUUUUUUGGCCUGAUCUGAGCCUUUUUUUAUAGCCCGGCCUUGUAGCCUAUUUAAAAGUCUGUGUUACAUAAAGACCUCUAUAUAGUCUUUUUAAAUACAGGCCUUAAAGCCUAUUUCACAUUUAAAUUUUUAUAAUUUCUACAACAUUAAGAAAAAGCUAAUAAAAUGAUGGGGAAAUAGUCAUUUUCGUCCUUCAUUGUGCAACUUGCUAUCAAUCUGGUCCCUCAGUGAAGAAAAACUAAAAUAUAGUCCCUCAAUGUGCACUCCGUUAGUCAGUUUAGUCCCCGGCGUUACAUUUGGCCGUUAACUCAACAAAAAAGCUGAUGUGGCAUUUUUUUGGGCACACACCAGCUUGUUGAGUUAGCAAUAGUUUUACAAGUGGCUGAUGAUUUGGCAAAGGACGAAAAUGAUAGUAGAUACCAAAUUUUCCCAAUUUAAAUCCUUAAAUCCCAAACCACAUUGUUCCUUUUUCUUCUCUGUUGCUGCUGUUCUUCAUCUUCUUCCAUGUUUAUUGUUUUUGUUCUUCAAUUUGUUGUUGCCUUCCAUUAAUAGAGAGAAUCGAUCUACAUGAUGGGGGUGAUGUAAAUUCGUCACAACGUAGCAACACACCUUCUUCGCGAGCUGCAUUUCCUUCUUCCAUUAAGAUUUUUUAUGGUUGUGGUCGAAUUGCAGUUCAACGUGUUGCACAAACCCAGGCGAAUAUGGGUAGGGCAUUCUUCACAUGUGCAAUUAACAAGUUAAUUUUUACUUCUAUUCUUCACAUGUGUCAUUUUUAAUUCUUCAUAAUUCCAGGUUAAGGUGAUUUGGGUUUAUAAAAUUGAGAACAAAAACAAACUUCAUUGCUGGAUGAUUAUGGUUGUUGUGGAUACUUUGUAUGGGUUGACAAUUUGAUUGAAUGUCAUACAAAUUCAAGUGAUGAAGGAAUUGAAUCACUUGGCUUGCAUCAUGGAAGAGAGAUUGGGCGACAACAAGCAAUGGGUGGACAACUUUGGUCCCUUAUUGCCAACUCAACAAGCUGAUGUGUGCCCAAAAACUAACACAUCAGCUUUUUUGUUCAAUUAAUGGCCAAAUGUAACGCCAAAGACUAAAUUGACUAAUGGAAUGCACAUUGAGGGAUUAUAUUUUAGAUUUUCCUUAGUGAGGGACCAGAUUGACAGCGAAUUGCACAAUGAGGGACAAAAAUGACUAUUUCCCCUAAAAUGAUUAACACAAUAAUUAAAAGCUAAUAAAAUAACCUUAUACACUAUAACUUAUAAGUUAGCAAAACACUAGAUCAUCAAAUCCAGAUUCUUCAAGUGUAAGCAAAACAAAUCUAAAACCCAAGGUAUAAAGUCUAAUUUCUAAUUUCAUUUGUGAAUUGUGCUGUAAAAUAUUUUGUCUAAAUAAUAUAUUUUUUCUUUGUAAAAAAAAAAAUAUAUAUUUUCUCUAAUGUUUUGUAUUAUAUAAAUAAUAUUUUUUUACAAGAUAUAAAUAAUAAUAUUAUAUAAAUAUAAAUAUAAAUAAUAAUUAUUAAAUAUAAACAAGCCGGCUUAUCAGACUUUGUUAGCUUUUUUAGAAGUCUGAGUCUGACCUAUUUAUGUAAAUAGAUAGGAUCAUUUUAAAGCCUAAGCCUGACAUUUUUAAUAAACAGGUCAGGCCAGGCUUCAACAGGCCAGUCCGAAGGCCCCUGUAGGCCAGACGGCCUAUUCCCAACCCUAAUUAUUAUAGUUAUAUAUUCUUUUAGGCUUAAUUUUAGUUUUGAUCCUCUAUUUUUAUCAUUUUAUAGAAUUGGUCUCUCUAUUUUAAAAUUUGACAAUUUUGACCUAUCUUAAAUAUUUUGUCUAAAGGAAUUAAGUUUAUAAAGAAAUUUUCAUACGACUUCAUCAAUGUUAAUAUUUUCCCAUCAUCUGAUCAUAUACCACAUCAUUUAAAAUAUAUUACAUCGACAAUUUAUAGUUAAAAAAUAUGAUGGAAGGACUGAAAAUAUUAUAAUUUCUUUGCAUUUAUUUUUCUCUAUUAUAUGGUACCAAAGUUCGACUCAAGUAUUUUUCUCUUUCUCAUCAAUAUCAUUUAUAAAUUAACAAAUUUUGUUUUUUUCUCUAUUAAAAAAAAUUAUAUGUUUUCAUCCCAAAAACUUUCUUGUUUUGUUUUAGUUCUAAUGGACAAAAUUUUGAAAGAAAAAAAAAACAAAAUUUUGAUUUGUUUUUUUUAUAAUUUUUGAACAUGAUAUGACUUAUAUAGGUUUAACGUAAUAUAUAGAUGUAAAUUUAUAGACACAUCUUAGAACAUAAAAUAGAAUUGGUUAUUAGAGACGAAAAAUAAAGUAAGAAUUUUUUUAGGAUGAAAACAUGUGAUUUUUUUUUAGGAACGAAAAAUACAUUUAACCCUAAGCAUUUUAAGGUAGAAAACAUGUAAUAUUGGUGUAUUGGGAAGAAAAAUAUAUGGAGCACAGAAACAAAAAUCACACAGCAUAUAGGUAUACUUCAUUUAUCAAAUUCUGAAAAAUUUAUAUUAUUUUCCCAUUUGACAACAUACUUUAACAUUGAGAACGAUUGCUUGUGGAAUCACUAAAUCUUUUACAUUACAAAAUGAUCAACAUGCUCGAGCACCAAUAUGCAGAUGUGAAUUCUUAGGUAUCAUUUGACCUAACUUUUUUUUCUAUUCUUUUUCCUUAAAAGUAAGCUAGGUUAAACAACAAUUUUUAAAAGCUCUACUAAAAAAACAGCUAUAUUUUUUAAAAAAAUUAUAAUAUAUUAUAAAACAUAUCUUUUAACCUUACUAUAAUAAAAUAAAAAACAACUUUUAACCAACCUUUUUAUAUAUAAAAAAUAAAUAAAUAAGAUUUACCAAGUAACUUUAAUUUUAGUUUUAAAACUAUUAUUUCUAGUUUUAUAAUUAAAAGAGUUUCACACCUAAAAAAAAUUGGGUCAACGGUACCUGCAUUUUCUAAGUAUAAAUUUGCAUGUAAUAAUAUAAUUAAACAAACAGCAAGGAAUAAUAAUAUAAUAAAACAAACAAGGAAUAUAACAACAAAAUCUUUAAACAAAAAUGAUAUAUAACUGGCCAAUUCCAAAACAAUCAUACCAGAAAAAUUAGAUACAGUAGGAAACAAAAUUGGAAGAGAUUAAGAAAAAAGAAGUCAGUAUGGAGAAAACCUGAUUUAACCAAAGAACUCUGACGAAAAAAUAUCACAGAAACUACAAAGCAAAAGACUCUAAUUCAAAUUCAAACCAAAAUCCCUAAUGCCUCCCUCUAUCUACUAAGAAAAUCUCGUUGCCACUCAAUUACCGACAAAAAGAAGCACUUUACUGAGCCUUCACUGGCGGUUGACGAGCGACUUUUCCUCCUCCAUUCUGAUAACUCCUUGGUGCAGCAUCUCCAUUGCUUCGACCGGUAUUAUUGCCUCCUCUAGGCCGGCCAGAGAACUCGCCUCGCCUGUCAAAAUCAUUCCUUCCGUUAAAGCCACCACCACGGCCACCACCAAAGUUGCCACGGCCCCUGAAGUUAUCAUUUCUGUCAUUUCGGUAUCCACCACGUCCUGCAGAAUACAGACACAAUCACUCUAUUAGCUGCAACAAACAAUGUACAAGUAANNNNNNNNNNNNNNNNNNNNNNNNNNNNNNNNNNNNNNNNNNNNNNNNNNNNNNNNNNNNNNNNNNNNNNNNNNUCACACAGGAACACAAUUGUACAGCAAGAUCAACAAAAUAGACUUAAAAGGUUCAAAUUUAACAAGAGAAAUAAAUAUGGCACACUUGCCUCGCCUUUCUUCAAUGGAAAGCCUACGGUUGUCCAACAUAACAGGAGGGGAGGCCUGAAAUAAAACAUACAAUUUUUCAGAUGAAGCUAGCAGAAGGCUUCGUACACUUCUCACUUAUUGAAAAAAUAAGUUAAACAUUGAAACAUUUAAUAACAAAAUGCAAGAAAUGUCCCCUUGAUAUAUUUGGAAAAAGAAAAAAAAAACUCAAGAUUUAUAAAACCCAACCAACAUUCAAUUUAUGACCUUGCUGAUAAUGACUAUUAAUAGAAAUACUCCAUACCUCUAGGGCACUUUGCAGUGAAGCAGCAGAUUCAAAUUCCACAAAACCAAAGCAAGAUCCCUGUUGCUAAAGGAAAAAGUAUCCUAUCAGUAGCUGUAAGUCAAUGUGUGGUUAGUAAACUGGGUGUUGGAAAUGCUUAAAACAAACGAACCUUGUUACUUCUAACUUGAAUACCAUCACGUUUAAUGGUCCCGAAUUUCUUGAAAACCCGGUCCAAUUGCUCUACUGUUGCAGUCAUAGGCAAAUUCGCAACAAAUAUUGCAUGAGCCCUACCUGAGGAAAGAAUAAUUACAGAAGUUAUGACAGAACAUACCAUUUGAAUGAGACUCUUUAUACCGAAUUAUAUAAAUACUUAACCAUAGAGUCAUAAAAAGAGUAACAAUAAAAUUACCUCCAUUCUCAAUAUUCUUUUCCGAUGGAAUGUCCAUGUUAGGGGCUGGUGCUUCAGGAGCAGGCACGCUAUGUACACGGGGUGGUUGCACAGCGGGUUUUGCAGGAGAAGUCCUCGAAAGGAAGGGAGCAGAAUUAUCUUUAUAGGCACUCACCUGGAACAAAUAAUUGCAGAAAAUUUAUUGUAGGAUAACUAAAAAAUAAAGAUGCAAGUAAAUAAAUUAAUUAAUAAACAAAACUCACAAUGGAUGCAAAAGAUUUUUUGGGAGUAUCCUCCUGUGUAUUUGAAGGAACUUUCUCAAUGCUUGCCAUUUGUUCCUGAUGACUUGACUCUUUAACAUGAUUAACAGGAAUCACAUUUUCAGUAACUGAUAAUUUUCCAUUCUCCAGUGGUAAGCUCACUUCUUUGCUGAUGUUAGUGUCAGUAUCAGCAAUAACAGGUUGAAUGGUUGGAAUGUCUUCAGCAACAUGAAUAGGCUCUACAGUCAACAAUCAAAAGCAAAACUUUAAAACCCAAACUUCCAACAAUAAAAAGACUCGUAUAGUGGAAGAAAAAGAAACUAAAAUUCAAUGGGAGGAUAUAUUUAGCAUUAAAUAGCAUAAGGAAUCAAUAUUCAAAUGCAAGUAUCUGUAGUUCAGGCAUACAGCUUGAAGAAUCCCUAAUAACUGUCGUGUUUAUAAAUAUUAAUCUUGUGUGUGAUAAACUUGAGCAAUUCUAAACAUUCUUCUGUAGAAGACUCAAACUUUCUCUAAAAAGACUUGAAAACUAUCUCAUAUUAUUUCAUGUGAUUUACCAGGAUCUGGAGUAAAAGCUUCUGAUGGAGCACUUUCAUCAGCAUCAUUUGCUGGUACAGUCUCAAUAUCAACAGACUUAUACGCAUCAACAUAUCUAAAAACAUCAUUCAAAACAUAGAAGCCCUUGUCCUGUGGAGCUAGGAAAAAGGACUGAGCAAAUUUGCGUUUAACAUUGUCAGUUCCGGUCAAGCAGCCAGUCACUACAACCACAACCCCACUAUUAUAUGAAGGCUGAGCAUCAGCACUCAGAACCUCUACCCUAUAGCUUGUGUAAUCAAAAGAUUGUAUCUUUUUAUCAAUUUCCUGCAUCAAAUUAAAGAUCAUCGAAGUCAGACAGUGGUAAAUCAUGUGUCACAAUACACCAUAAUCAUACUCAAAAGCAAUAAAAAAUAGAACACCCAAAAUAUUGCAACACAUUAAGCUCGAUCAAACAUUAACUUGAACUGUAAACAGGGGAUUGAAAAUACAGCAUUCAUUAUUAAAUCCACAAAUGCCAAUCACAAAUCAUAAUAACUUUUGAUACUUUUAUUUUGCUUUGCAGAGAACAAAAUUACUCAACAGCCAGCCAACAUGAUAUUAAGUGAUUAAGAUUUAAGAGCAUGAUACAUACUAAUAAUAAUAAUAAUAAUAAUAAUAAAAAUAAAAAUAAUACAGAGGAUAUAUUUCACAUACGAACCAGUGUUAAGGUUUGACAACAGUGUAAAUCUGGCUACAUAUGAAUGAUAUCUAAUCUACAAUUUACUACAAAGAUAUGAAGCAUAUCCUGAUGCUGAUUAGGGUGCUUUCAAUAUAACAAAUAUAACGUAAUUAGGCAUGACUCAUUUUCUCAACAAAUAACAGCACAGCUAUUUUUUCAAUCAAAGAAAUACAAUUCACUGAUUCAGCAUUAACAACUGUUAAACAUGACCUAAAUCUACACUUAGAUAAUUGAACACAUCUAAAUUAUAACUAAUGAUUAAAGUUGAUUGUUUGAACUUACAGCAGUGGUAGUGACAGUUGUCAUGGUACCGUCUUCUUCAGGUCGACUCAAGACACUUGAUUCGUGGUAAAACUUAUGAACCUGAUCCGGGUCUUGGUGAAGAAUUGAGUAAUACUGCUCGACAAAAGCAUUGCCAACCACCUGAGGGGUUGGGGUUUGGACUCCAUCAGAUACUGCCAUCUCUACAACAUAACACACAAACAUAAGUUAGUAAUUUCAAAUCCAAAUUAAAGACACUCCUAUACACGACAAAAAUCCGAUCAUCAUUAACCCUAGAAACCACCGAUCAAAUAAAUGUAAACAAUUCAUAUGACCUAACCUAUUCAACGAAUACAAAAAUCGUAACUUUUAACAAUUAAAGCGAGUAUUUUUAUAAUGUUUGAUUGAAAAGCCCUAAAUCUGAAUAACAGAAUAACAACGAAACCCUAAUAAACAAUUAGAAAUCGGCGAAAUUGAAUAAUUAAAAAAGAAAAAAACACACACGUACAUGGAGAGAGAGAGAUCGAGAUCGAGAAUGGGAGAGAAAAGUAGUACGUACCUCCUUGGUGUGAUGGAGAGAUCAAAGAGAGAAAGAGAAAUGGGGAGGGAGAGUGAGUGAGUGAGAAUGCGUGCGGCUGAUGAGUGUAAGUACAAGAGAGAGUAUAUAUAGGAUCUGUUGUGAUGAGAGAGCAAGGGCAAAAUUAUUAUUAGCAAAAUAUUUAUACUCCAUUUUUUUUGUCAAAUACUCGAUUUAAUUAUUAUAAAUAAAUAUUCCAAUUUUUUUACUUUUAGUGAGCCAAACACAACAACACAUAACAACCCGGUUUAUUGUUCACACGUGAGAAUGGGAUGGAACCAGGCCAAUGUUUUGUUUGUUUUUUUUUUUGUUUGGUUCCUUCCUCUCUCUCUCACUCACUGCGGUUAUUAUGUUUCAUGUUUCAAAUAGUAUGGCAUCCAAUUUGGAUUUAAAACCAAAAUUCAUUCAUUAGAUCAGAAAUUAAGUGGUUUCAGCUCCCUCCUGAUCACAGUUGUGGGGGAUAGAACUGUGGUUUUCCCUACCAAGUUCAGCGUCAAUCACCACCGAUCGCAGUUGCGGGAGAUCAAACUGUGGUCCUCCCUACCAAGUUCAGAUUCAAUCACCACUAAACCAACUAACGAUUGAUUAUUACUAUUUUUUAUAUUUAUAAAAUUUUAUUUCGUUUCUUAAUUAGUAAGAACAUCGCAUUUUUUGCAUUUUAUAUAUAAGAAUGGAUCGGCAAUCGCAUUUAAUUAGUUGAUGACAAUUUAUAUAAAUAUAUAGUAUGUCAUGCAAUUCGAUCGAAAAAUGUAGACUUUUUGUUUAUACCAUAAGCUUUCGAUGGUCUCCACCAAGCUAGAUGUUUUGGUGGAUUGUAGUUUACUCAGGUCUGUGUGGAUUGUGUUUAUUUGUCGGCGUUUUCUUUUAGUUUGACAAGGGUCUGGUUCGACAAUAGUGUUUUCGGUGGGAGAUGUUUCUAUUCUACUUCACUUUGGUUAUAGUGUUUCGUUCUGGUUUUAGGUUCGAAUUUGGAGUAGGACGAGAGUGAGUCAUUGUAGAAUUUUAAAUUGUGUUGUUUGGGUUUGGAGCAGUAGUUUUGGUUGAGGUAAUGGAAUGAAUUAUGAGUGAUUGUGUAACAAAUAGAAACCUACGGUCUACAAACCACUAGUAUGCCUUACUUCUACGUAUGAAGCCUUUUUUUAAAACUAAGAUCUUACAUGUCAAAUUUAUUAUAUAUAGAAGUGUUUGUGUUUAUCGUCGAGAAUAACUAGUUGUACUCUGAGGGAGUUGCACAAUACUGCAGAUAAUUCUUUAGUUUAAUGUGACAACACGUCUCCGAUUAUUAAUUUUCAGUUAUCCACAACAACAAUCUAAAAGGAAUUAUGACCGAAGACGAAUUUGACUAUGGCAAAAUAACCCGCGGUUUCCACUUCUCACGUAGUUAUACCGACACGCCGACAAUGGUCACCUACCUCAAAUGUAGGUGUGGUGAUUUUAGAUUUCCCUUACUUUGUAAGACGUAAAACUGUGGGGGUUCGCCUGCUAAUAAAGGGACCAGAGGAUAGUGAUCGACUUGUUUGUAAAAAUAUGAAAAGAUAGUAAUCAAGAGAGAGGUAGAAAAUUAGAAGAAGGAUUGAGAAAAAAGAAUAAGAGUAUCUAAUAUUUGCAAAAAUAUAUGUUUGUCCGUUAUCUAUCUAUAAUUUUAUACUAUUGUGAGAUGGGGAGAGCAAUAAGGAGUCAAAGCAUGGUAUGCCUUAAAAGUAUCUGAAUCAAUAAGGUAAACUAUCUUCUACCACAAUUUCCUUAGAUAAUUUCUCUUUCAAAAAUCACAAUAAUUCAAACGAUAAACAAUUCAACAACCCUGUUCAAUUAAAGUCUUGGAGAAGCUACAUCCUACGUAAAACCAUGUCUUCGGAAGCUCACAAUGCUCCAGGGAGCGGGGAAGAGAAGNNNNNNNNNNNNNNNNNNNNNNNNNNNNNNNNNNNNNNNNNNNNNNNNNNNNNNNNNNNNNNNNNNNNNNNNNNNNNNNNNNNNNNNNNNNNNNNNNNNNNNNNNNNNNNNNNNNNNNNNNNNNNNNNNNNNNNNNNNNNNNNNNNNNNNNNNNNNNNNNNNNNNNNNNNNNNNNNNNNNNNNNNNNNNNNNNNNNNNNNNNNNNNNNNNNNNNNNNNNNNNNNNNNNNNNNNNNNNNNNNNNNNNNNNNNNNNNNNNNNNNNNNNNNNNNNNNNNNNNNNNNNNNNNNNNNNNNNNNNNNNNNNNNNNNNNNNNNNNNNNNNNNNNNNNNNNNNNNNNNNNNNNNNNNNNNNNNNNNNNNNNNNNNNNNNNNNNNNNNNNNNNNNNNNNNNNNNNNNNNNNNNNNNNNNNNNNNNNNNNNNNNNNNNNNNNNNNNNNNNNNNNNNNNNNNNNNNNNNNNNNNNNNNNNNNNNNNNNNNNNNNNNNNNNNNNNNNNNNNNNNNNNNNNNNNNNNNNNNNNNNNNNNNNNNNNNNNNNNNNNNNNNNNNNNNNNNNNNNNNNNNNNNNNNNNNNNNNNNNNNNNNNNNNNNNNNNNNNNNNNNNNNNNNNNNNNNNNNNNNNNNNNNNNNNNNNNNNNNNNNNNNNNNNNNNNNNNNNNNNNNNNNNNNNNNNNNNNNNNNNNNNNNNNNNNNNNNNNNNNNNNNNNNNNNNNNNNNNNNNNNNNNNNNNNNNNNNNNNNNNNNNNNNNNNNNNNNNNNNNNNNNNNNNNNNNNNNNNNNNNNNNNNNNNNNNNNNNNNNNNNNNNNNNNNNNNNNNNNNNNNNNNNNNNNNNNNNNNNNNNNNNNNNNNNNNNNNNNNNNNNNNNNNNNNNNNNNNNNNNNNNNNNNNNNNNNNNNNNNNNNNNNNNNNNNNNNNNNNNNNNNNNNNNNNNNNNNNNNNNNNNNNNNNNNNNNNNNNNNNNNNNNNNNNNNNNNNNNNNNNNNNNNNNNNNNNNNNNNNNNNNNNNNNNNNNNNNNNNNNNNNNNNNNNNNNNNNNNNNNNNNNNNNNNNNNNNNNNNNNNNNNNNNNNNNNNNNNNNNNNNNNNNNNNNNNNNNNNNNNNNNNNNNNNUCACAUACAAGAAAAGCUUGUUUCAUGUGCUCAUAUAAUUCUCUUACUUUACUAUAAUUAUUUUAAAUAUUAUAUGACAUAUAAUGGAAUGAAUUAUGAGUGAUUGUGUAACAAAUAGAAACGUACGGUCUACAAACCACACUAGUAUGCCUUACUUCUACGCAUGAAGCCUUUUUUGAAAACUAAGAUCUUACAUCAUCAAAUUUAUUAUAUAUAUAGAAGUGUUUGUGUCUGAGUCAUCUAGAUAUGUUUAUCGUCGAGAAUAACUAGUUGUACUCUGAGGGAGUUACACAAUAUUGCAGAUAAUUCUUUAGUUUAAUGUGACAACACGUCUCCGAUUAUUAAUUUUCAGUCAUCCACAACAACAAUCUAAGGAAUUAUGACUGAAGACGAUUCUGACUAUGGCAAAAUAACCCGCAGUUUUCCACUUCUCACGUAGUUAUACCGACACCCCAACAAUGGUCACCUACCUCAAAUGUAGGUGUGGUGAUUUUAGAUUUCCCUUACUUUGUAAGACGUAAAACUGUGGGGGUUCGCCUGCUAAUAAAGGGACCAGAGCACAGUGAUCGACUUNNNNNNNNNNNNNNNNNNNNNNNNNNNNNNNNNNNNNNNNNNNNNNNNNNNNNNNNNNUAAUCAAGAGAGAGGUAGAAAAUUAGAAGAAGGAUUGAGAAAAAAGAAUAAGAGUAUCUAAUAUUUGCAAAAAUAUAUGUUUGUCCGUUAUCUAUAAUCUUAUACUAUUGUGAGAUGGGGAGAGCAAUAAGGAGUCAAAGCAUGGUAUGCCUUAAAAGUAUCUGAAUCAAUAAGGUAAACUAUCUUCGACCACAAUUUCCUUAGAUAAUUUCUCUUUCAAAAAUCACUAUAAUUCAAACGAUAAACAAUUCAACAACCCUGUUCAAUUAAAGUCUUGGAGAAGCUACAUCCUACGUAAAACCAUGUCUUCGGAAGCUCACAAUGCUCCAGGGAGCGGGGAANNNNNNNNNNNNNNNNNNNNNNNNNNNNNNNNNNNNNAUGGCGAGCGCAAAGAUUGUAGCAGAGGCAGCUCAGUCAGGUUUCGGGAAAGGAGCUGAUGGGAAGGAUGUAGACAAAGGGAAGGUGGCAUCUGCUGCAGGGGAUCUUCUAGACGCAGUCGGUCAAUAUGCUAAAUUAGAUGAUCAGAAGGGGUUAGGACAAUAUGUUGAUAAGGCUGCUGAUUAUCUGCAU
rnacentral:lncRNA from 1 species